GAGGGAGUACCUUCCUAGUCGCCAUCUACCUCUUAUCUUUCAGAUCUUCCUCGAACUGGAGGACCUAUUGCUAGCAUUCUUCAACCACCUGAGCCUCUGCAAGAAACUCUUCAUUAUCCCUGAUGACCUUCUUGGACAACCUGAUUAGCCUCUCCUGACCUCCGUCAUGGCGCGGGAUGCCAAGUGAUUUGUUGCAGAUUUCCUCAUCAGAGGGAUCGAACUCACUGUUGGGUUCCCCUCGUGCUGUGACACAUCAGGCGGAGGACUCUUGGGGCCAUUGUCCUUGUUUCCUUUGGCAUCUCCAUUGUUAUCAUUGACAUUGUAAUCACCACCACCAUGUAGAUCUCGUAGGUAGAGGUCUCCUCCACUUGCUUGAGGGCACCUUCGCUGGUGGUCGGCUGUCCACAGACUCACCGAUCUCCUCUUCCAUGUGCUUGACCUCAUCGGUGUUUCCUUUGAGGAUGUAGGUAUGAUCUUCAACGUUGGUGAUGGGAUGGGUGGUGGGUGGGUGAAGAAAAUUGACUUCCUAUGAUAAAUCCAUGAUCCAAUUUAACAAUAAGAUCAGAGAUGUUGCGUCUACUACUCCUCGAUCCGGUGAGAAGCCAAGCCCGAGAAGAUUAGCUCUACUCGGAGAUCUGCGGUGUACUCCAUGUCAUUGAAUCUUACGAUCUAGUCUAGAUCAAAGGCCUCGACCUGGCCGAGAUCGCCUGUCGAGUUGGCGACAAGGGUGAUGCCACUAGAGACGAACAUUUGGCCUGACAUAAAGAUUGCACCGGAACCAAUCAGAGCAUUGAUCCCUACUCCCAUCACGACGCGAAGUCAUUCAGCUAGAAGGACCUGCAUGCAUGGCCACCAUUCCCGAAGCGAAAUCUGGCUGAUCCUUCGGUAGGGUAUCCUAGCUAGGCUAGUGACAUGAUAAGAUAGGCAAGGGAUCUUACCCAGGUUUGGGCUCUCUAGGGGAGAUAAUAUCUCCUGCUUGUGUUUUAUCACAUUGGAGUGUAUCGAGAGUACAAAGUACUGAGAGAUUGUAAGUUUUCUAUUUACAAGCCUGGUCCCUCGGUUUAUCUAGCAUAUUGGGGGGUCCUAGGGCACAUGGAUCCUAGUAGGCUACGUAUGAGGAGGUGUAAUCCGUCGUGUAUGCCAAGUCGUCUAGAACCUUCAUACGAUAUGCCAUACCUUCAUAUGAUAUGCCAUGGGCAGCCCAAAGUGGCCCAGGAUAGAACUGACAAGGGGUUCUCAGCCAGGCCCAUCAGGCCAAGUGACAUCAUGGUGAGAGGCUCCUUAGAUGGGACACCAACAUUAUGCAUGGGCCGAAACACGUAUUGGGUCCUAUGCAGCUCCAAAACUAUAUGGCUGAUAAUCCUACUAAACCUAACUGGGCCAAAAUCAACACGAGCCAUUCAUGGUCCGGUAUGUACCACAUGGCUUAAAUGGGCCCAAAAGCAUCACACGCCAUUACCAGGCCAAAAUAUAUGGUAGGGCUAAAACUACAAAUGGCCAUUAAUAGGCCGAAAUAACUUUAGACCAUAAUUGUCCCAAGCAUACCUCAGGCCAUUAACAAGCCAAAAGACAACUCGAGCAGUAAAUGAGACAAAAGAUACCACGACCCUUUAACUGGCUGAAAGUUAGAUCAGACCGGAAUUAUACCUAGGAAACCACGGGCCGUUAACAGGGUGAAAGGCACAUCAAACCAAAAUGAGCCCAUGUGUACCAUGGGUCGUUAGUAGGCCGAAAGGUACACCUGACUACAAAUGAGCCCAAGUCCACCAUGGCAGGCCGAAUGACAUAUCGGGCGACAAAUGUGCCCAAUUCCACAACGGGCUGCUAACAAGCUGAAAGACACACCAGGCGACAAAUUGACCCAAUUCCACCAUGGGCCACUGAUACAUCUCCAACGUAUCUAUAAUUUUUGAUUGUUCCAUGCUAUUAUUUUAUCUGUUUUGGAUGCUUUAUAUGCAUUAAUAUGCUAUUUUAUAUUAUUUUUGGGACUAAUUUAUUAACCUAGAGCCCAGUGCCAGUUUAUGUUUUUCCUUGUUUUUGAGUUUCGCAGAACAGGAAUACCAAACAGAAUGAAACCUUCAUGUUGACUUUUCUUGGACCAGAAGACAACCAGGAGACUUGGAGAUGAAGUCGGAGGAGCCAUGAGGCGUCCACAAGGAUGGAGGGCGCGCCCCCACCCUUGUGGGCCCCACAUGACCCUCCUGACCUAAUUCUUUUGCCUAUAUAUUUCCAAAUAUCCCCAAACCACCAUAAGGAUCCACGAAAACACUUUUCCACCACUGCAACCUUCUGUACCCGUGAGAUCCCAUCUAGGGAUCUUUUUCGGCACCCUGUCGGAGGGGGAUUCGAUCAUGGAGGGCUUCUACAUCAACCCUAUUGCCCUUCUGAUGAAGCAUGAUUAGUUUACCACAGACCUACGGGUCCAUAGCUAGUAGCUAGAUGGCUUAUUCUCUCUCUUUGAUUCUCAAUACCAUGUUCUCCUUGAUGUUCUUGGAGAUCUAUCCGAUGUAAUACUCUUUUGCGGUGUGUUUGCCGAGAUCCGAUGAAUUGUGGAUUUAUGAUCAACUUAUCUAUGAAUAUUAUUUGAAUCUUCUCUGAAUUCUUUUAUGCAUGAUUUGAUAUCUUUGUAAUGCUCUUUGAACUAUCAGUUUGGUUUGGCCAACUAGAUUGGUUUUUCUUGCAAUGGGAGAAGUGCUUAGCUUUGGGUUCAAUCUUGCGGACAGUAGUGGCAGCAAGGCACAUAUUGUAUUGUUGCCAUCGAGGAUAAAAAGAUGGGGUUUUCAUCAUACUGCUUGAGUUAAUUCCUCUACGUCAUGUCAUCUUACUUAAUGCGUUACUCCGUUCUUUAUGAACUUAAUACUCUUGAUGCAGGCAGGAGUCGGUCGAUAUGUGGAGUAAUAGUAGUAGAUGCAGAGUCGUUUAUGUCUACUUGACACGGACGUGAUGCCUAUAUUCAUGAUCAUUGCCUUAGAUAUCGUCAUAACUUUGCACUUUUCUAUCAAUUGCUUGGCAGUAAUUUGUUCACCCACCGUAUUAUUUGCUAUCUUGAGAGAAGCCUCUAGUGAAACCUAUGGCCCCCGGGUCUAUUUUCCAUCAUAUAAGUUUCCGAUCUACUAUUUUGCAAUCUUUUACUUUCUGAUCUAUAAACCAAAAAUAUUUACUUUAUCUUUUAUCUAUCUCUAUCAGAUUUCACUUUUGCAAGUAACCAUGAAGGGAUUGACAACCCCUUUAUCGCGUUGGGUGCAAGUUAAUUGUUUGAUUGUUUGUGUAGGUAUUAGGUGAUUUGUGCGUUGUCUCCUACUGGAUUGACACCUUGGUUCUCAAACCGAGGGAAAUACUUAUCUCUACUUUGCUGCAUCACCCUUUCCUCUUCAAGGGAAAAACCAACGCAAGCUCAAGAAGUAGUAGGCACUAACACCCUGAAACAAACAUCAGGCUGCAAAUUGGUCCCAGUGUAAAGACACACCAGGCUGUAAUUGGCCCCAAAGACACCAUGGGCCGUUAAUGGGCCAAAACUAUCAAAGGGCCUUGACGAAAACAUUUCCAUGACGUGUAAUCUUUCAUCAUAAAAGUGGACACAUUCAUGAUGAAAAAGUGAAUAGUGUCAUGGAACUCAUCCACGACAACACAUGUAUGACUAUCUUGAUUCUGUCAUUAAACCGUCACAGAUGUACAUGGGUGACAGAAAACGUGACCUACUGCGACAAAUAUGUAUCAUCAUGGAUGUGUCUUUUUUGUAGUGAAGAUAUCUAAGAGUCCUCUUAACCACCAAAUACUGUCUCUCCCUAGGAUUAGCUUGAUAUCCUACAACAUGUAUACACUCAACAUAAUAUCUAGUCUAGAUGUCCAAAGAUAAAUCAAAAACUCAAUCAUAGAAUGAUAUGCCUUUGGAUCGAAUGGUUUACCAUUGUUGUCUUAAUCAAGAUGCCACGUAGUCGGCAUAGGUGCCUGUCAUGGUUUGGCAUUUGUCAUAUCAAACUUCGUGAGAAUAUCUUCAAUAUACUUUGUUUGUGAGAGAAAGAUCACUUCUGGAUAUUGCUUGAUUUGAAAGCCAAGAAAGAACUUCAAUUGCCCCAUCAAUGACAUCUCAAACUUUUUGGCCAUGGUUUUCACCCUUGGGUCUCUUAGUGAAAAGAGUGGGAUUGAUUACCCCCAUCACAAAUUCUUCCUCGGCUAGAAACUCUUUAAGGUGAGCAUUCCAAACACGUGGAUCUUGCUUGAGAAUGUACAAUGCCUUGGGGAGUUUAUAGACGCGGUCCUUGUGGUGAUGAACCCGAGUGGUUGUGCAACAUAUACUUCCUCUUGUACAGGACCAUUAAGAAAUGCACUUUUCACAUCCAUUUAAUAUAAAGUAAAGGCAUUGAACGUGACAUAUGAAAACAAGACGCAAAUGGAUUCAAGAUGGGCAACAGGGAAAAAAUAUUUCACCAAAGUCCGAACCUUCAACUUGGGAGAAAACUUGUGCCACUUACCUUGCCCGAAGGAAUUAGGUGGAGGCAAUUGCUUUGAUAGUCAGUGUCGAAGGAGACCGAGAUAGGGUAGCGGUUGCAAAUCUAGCACCGCAUGUCCUGUUCAUGGGUUGGGGAUAGUUUUGGGGGUGAUGUGAGAAUUUGGUUUGGGAGGUUUCUUUGGGGGGAUGGGAGGUAGUAGGGGUAGGCCAUGCAUGUAAUGUGGUAUUUUUCUUCUAAUUUUUCCAAGUAGGAGUGCAUGUAACUGGAAAUAAGCUGGCAUGCUCUAACAAGCCUAAAACAAGCUUGCUGCAGGAACAAAAAGUCAGAGCCAAAGGCUAUCCAAGUACCACCUUAAUUAAAAAAUUGAGGUCAUGUACAUUGUAUAUGAACAUUUAUUGCAUGACACAUGAUAUCUCUACUAUUAAAGGGGAAUAGGUCGUUUGCUUCCUUGCCUCUAGUUUUUUUCAUCCUUCGAGUCCAACCGUCCCACCGAUUUGUCUUCAACUUUAGUAGCCCGACAUCACAUCUCCUUCCUUUAGUAAUAUGAAAAUUAAUCCUUUUUCAUUUGGCAAAUUGGAAACGUAGUAACCCCACUGAUUAUUGUCCAAUUUUAUUUGCCAAACACCACAUCUCCCAUCAAUUUGCAUCCCCUCCUACUGAUUUAUUUCCAAACUUAUUUGCCCGACAUCACAUCUCCUUUCAUCAAUAAUAUGGAAACUAAUUCUUUUUUCACUUUGGCACAUGGAAAAUGUAGUACUUCCACUUAUUUAGUUCCAAUUUUAUUUUUCCAAAGUGGAAGGGGUACUGUGAGCGGAUGAGCCAUUGACAUAGGUGGUGAGAUUGGAUUAGUGAGACGGAGAUAGUGGGUGGAAGGUAUACAGAAGACACAAAAUCAAUAAAAUAUGUAUGCCCCCGUUGUAACGGCACGGACAAUAGCUAGUCAUCACACAAUUUUCCAACAUCAUCAUCAUCAUUGUUGUUGUUAUUGUUGUGAUGAAUUUGUGAUGCUAGACUUAAUGUAUUCCUUUGAGUUUGUACACUGAAAGAUAAUUCUCGUGAUGACCAAGUCUCCAUAUCAAAAACCUCUAUUCAUUGGCGGGAUCAACCCCAUCCCCCGCGUUGUCCUCCUCUAGGGCGACUCGGGCAGUAGUGAAUCCACACCCACUCAAGACCUCAUCCCCUGUGCUCCCCCUCCCCUUGCCACCGGCCCAUGGUCUUCACCGGGCAAAUCUCACGCGGAUCCGGUGGCAGCAGGGCUCUGGCGUCCUUGGGUCGCUGCCAUCGAGUUGGGGGCUUUUGCGGCGGCUGACAGCACUGCGCUCCUCUGCGCAGGUCGCAGGUGCUUGCAGGUGGCGAGAGGACAGUGGUGGAUGCACGUGUGUUCCAGUGCAUGGAGGUGCCGACCCCCCCCCCCCAGAUCUGAUAUGGAUCUGGGUGGGUUGGUGCUCGGCCCAUGGCUGCGAUUAGGCGGUGACGAGCUGGAUCAGGGCGGUGCGGGGGCCUGCCGUCGUGAUAAUAAAGGUGGCGGUCCUCUUGCUCCUCUCGCAUCACGACAACAUCCUACAUGGUCGGUUCUCCUGGAUCUAGUCAUCGACGUGUUCCGGAACUGCUGUCGGAGAUCUUGCCCAAGAUAUUUGGAUCGAGAAUUUGGUUGUGCACGCCCAUUUCAGCGUACGAGGUUCCAUGAGGGCGUGACACGAAGCUCUGUUGUUCGUUGACACCAUGGGACAUGUUGGCUUCUCGAUUUCUGUGGUGUAAACAACUGUGGAGAAGGUCAUGGUGGCUGAGAUCGGAGAAUCAGUUAGACAGACGGCGUCUUCGAGGCGAUGGAGUCACCCAGGUGUUUCAUAACUCUCAGGACCAGCAGGGUCAAGUGGGGGUGGUAGCACCGGAGGAUUCAUUUUUGGUGGUGCUCCUCAGGUGCUGAGCCUUCAGGGUGAAAAACUAAGGUCUGGCCUUCACUGGUUGUGCCUGGCAAUUGCCUUGCAGAAGGAAUUGUUCUGAGAGCUCAGACUUCUCCAGGGUGAAAACCUAAGAUUUUGGAUCAGGCAACAACAGCGCUUGUGCAUUGUUUCCUUCUUGAAGGCGUUGCUUUUGAAGACCUUUUAUAUUUUUCGUGUGCUGUAUCUUGUGAUGGUUUUUGUGCGCUGAUGAGAGGAGUUGAUCACUAUGGUGGGAUCUUUUUUUUCCUUUGGCUUUGUGUAUCCUGUAUGUCUUUGAGACAUCUUAUAUGUGCAAAGGCUGAGUGUAAUAGGUAUCUUCGCGAUAUUAAUAUAUUCUUGAAAAAACAGUGAAAUAUAAUUCUACGUGGGAGCAUCAAGUAGUAGAAGCAUCUUAUUUUUGAAUAAAAAACGGAGAUUACAAAUGGUGACCAAAUUCGACCGGUUAUCACAGUGACACAACCAUCUCACGAACUAUCUGCGCUGAGACUCGAGACCGUCAUGACUUCAUAGGCGGCAUACUGACCGUGUGAGAUGAAGGAAGCCGUGUUUGCCAUGCACUAUUAAUCUGGUAGCGUACCUAAUGCGGAUGCCCUUUCACAAUAUAAUUACCUCUAGUUUCCCUCAAAGAAAAAUUACCUCUAGUUAGUAGGAGUAGCAAUGCUGAUACAUCUCACUGUCUCGCCAUAUAUACGGUACGGCAAACCUAGAGAAUAAUGCAAAUUGGCUUGAGUGCAAGUAGCCAGGAAGGAGUAGGACCAGCAGCAUGGCACACGGCCGUUGAUUCUAUGGUGCAGAGGAUAAGGUGCGCAGACAUGUGGUUAUUUAUCCCGACCUUAUCUGGACGCCGGUGAUGCGCGGGGGCUAAUCGCCGCUGUGGAACGGCAGCCACUCCUUCCACAUCUUGUUGUUGCUCAGGAAGGGCCAAAGGGUUAUAUAAGCCGCUGCUGACCCAACGCAGCAGUCCUCAAGCCAGAGUGCCUCCUCCUAGCAAGCUAUAUACCUACAUAGUACAGCCAUGGCCCCCACCGUGAUGGCCUCGUCGGCCACCUCCGUCGCUCCUUUCCAGGGGCUCAAGUCCACCGCCGGCCUCCCCGUCAGCCGCCGCUCCAACGGCGCUAGCCUCGGCAGCGUCAGCAACGGUGGAAGGAUCAGGUGCAUGCAGGUAAACAACAUCGUCUCUGUCUUUCUACUCAUUUUCUACCUCACGGAAGACAAUAACAAUCAUAUGUGAACUUUCAUAUGGUCAAUUACAUACAAUAGUUUCAAAUCCCGACGUCAAUCAGCACACAAUUUAGCCGGCUUCUCCAUCUGAUAUGUGCAGAACUAGAGUUAUAGUCUGUUAAUGUAUACAUGACUGUCAAUCUGAUUUGCAGGUGUGGCCCAUCGAGGGCAUCAAGAAGUUCGAGACCCUGUCUUACCUGCCACCGCUCAGCACGGAGGCCCUCCUCAAGCAGGUCGACUACCUGAUCCGCUCCAAGUGGGUGCCUUGCCUCGAGUUCAGCAAGGUUGGGUUCAUCUUCCGUGAGCACAACGCAUCUCCUGGGUACUACGAUGGCCGGUAUUGGACAAUGUGGAAGCUGCCUAUGUUCGGGUGCACUGACGCCACACAGGUGAUCAACGAGGUGGAGGAGGUCAAGAAGGAGUACCCUGACGCGUAUGUCCGCAUCAUCGGAUUCGACAACAUGCGUCAGGUGCAGUGCGUCAGCUUCAUCGCCUUCAAGCCACCGGGCUGCGAGGAGUCCGGCAAGGCCUAAACAGCUCACUCACGACAGGCCAUAUAUAAAGUGCCAUUGCAGUUUUGUCAACUCUGACAUUGCUUUGGGUUUUCCUUCUCCAUUUAUCUUUCUUAUUUGUUCCUAAGAAUAUGUGUAUGUCCAUGUUCAUGUACCAACAUGGCUCGAGAAAGCAUGCUCGUAUGUGAAUGCUAUCGGUGGCUAUGUAUAUGCACGGACGCAUAAUAUUAUACAAUAUGUCAACUAUAUACGUUUUAAUGGUAACCAAUGGAAAAUAUCUCCACCGCCGUGCUUAUUACUUCCUUCAUCCCAAAAUAAUUGUCUUAACCUUGGUAUAACUUUAUACUAGAACUAAUUCAAAGUUAAGACACUUAUUUUGAAACAGAGUGAGUACUUUUUAUUAGUAGUCGACGGUUGGACGUUGUCUUAGUUUGUAUCCCUAAAAUGUAUGGUUGUAAACAUGGCUCCCCAGAAUGUUGGACAACAAUAUUUUAUUAGUUGUAUUUAUAAGUGCAACAUAGGACUAAAUCUCAGGCCAUAGUAUAAUUAAAGGGAAAAUGAGAAAGUUGUAUUGAAUUUGGUGCAAAGAUGAAAUUAUUACAGUGGGCUCUAAUAAUUUUUAGAGUGUGAAGCAAAUGAAGUUAGAGAAAAACAAGAUCUAUCAAAGGAAACCGGUUAUUUCAUUUAUCCGGUAAAAAGUCUAUAAUAGAAGUGUUGUAUAAAUGGUUUGUAUACUCUUGUUGUGUCUCGUAAGGCAUUGGUUGUGGUUUUCUUGCUUAUAAGCCAGAAGCCAAACCAAACAUCAAAACCGCUAAAUGUGCUUUAAUAUUAACAAGCCACCUAGAAAACUAGUGAAGUGGUGAAAUUAAUCUCAGAGAUCGUUUUGUUGCUUUUGAGGCCAGGUAUUCGAGUUUAUUCCCCAAGUUGAUAGUUAUUUAGUCACCAAUUCCUUGGGUAUGAAAAAAAAGAACCCUCCCAAUAUCUCCCAUGCAUGCCCACGUAUCGUGCCCCUAUCGCAUCUCUUGAAUGAUUAAAGUUGCGGCGGUGCUACCUUGUUUGUGGCCAUCGGUAUUCUUCCCUCGUCACCGCCUGAGCACUCGCCCGCCAUCAAUGUCAGACGUCGCCUUCAUCACACCAUCCUUCGUCAUCACCCUUUCGACUUCUUUCGCGAUGUUUCCCUAUCAUGUUAUCAUCCUCUAGACACUCGUAAGGGCUAAGGACACGAGCGCUACUUUGGGGAUCCUACUGCCAUGGGAGAUAUGAUCCUAGUAAUUGUGUGAUCACCUGAUCGUGUUGUAUCCCAUGAAGAUAGCUACCAAAUUACCGGCCCCGGUAUGCCUUUAUAAGGGCUGACAAGAGCCUCGUCGGUGGGACAAGGUCAUGGAGGAGCACAUAUCUGUAACUGUCGGCCCAGUUGAAAGAACAUGCGGUGCGCCCAUGUUUGGUUUUGGUAAUUAAUGACAAUCUCUAUGGACUAAUGGUUUCCUUGAGUUAUAUUUGAAGGAUUUGUCCAUAGGCAUUUCUUGAAGUCCAUGGGUUGGUAUCAAGGAGUUUAUGUGACCACCAAAGCGCUAUUCAAGCAAUUAUCCAAAGAUUGGUCAUGUAGAUGACAUGAUACAAGGUUAAUCAAGACCAAGUCAAAGAGUGAAUCAAGUUGAUCAACACACAAAGCAUAAAAGAUGUUCCAAGUGGGACCAACGGAUCCCAUGGUAUGGUAAGCAUUGUCCAUUACGCUUUGUAUACUAACCCAUGGUCUACAUGAGACUUCUAUGUGUGGUUAGGCAUGUUUCCAAGGGCUUGUGUCAAGAGAAAGAUCUCAUACAACCCAUGGAGGAUGACAUCAAGUGAUGAUCGUCAUUAAGAUUGCCGUGUGCAAAUUCAGUGGAGCAUCACGAAGAGAUCAUGCUUGAAGCUUGCUGCCCAUUGUGGUGACAACGGACUUGUGAAGAUGUGUGAUACGUCUCCAACGUAUCUAUAAUUUUUGAUUGUUCCAUGCUAUUAUAUUAUCUGUUUUGGAUGUUUUAUAUGCAUUAAUAUGUUAUUUUAUAUGAUUUUUCAGACAACCCUAUUAACCUAGAGCCUAGUGCCAGUUUCUGUUUUUUCCUUAUUUUAGAGUUUCGCAGAAAAGGAAUACCAAAUGGAGUCCAAACGGAAUGAAACUUUCACGAUGAUUUUUCUUGGACCAUAAGACAUCCAGAGGACUUGGAGUGCACGUCAGGGCAGCCACGAGGUGGCCACAAGGUCGGAGAGCGCGCCCCCACCCUUGUGGGCCACUCUUGACUCCAUCGACCUAUUUCUUGCGCCUAUAUAUUCUAAAAUAUUCCAAAACCUACCAGGAGAGCCACGAAAACACUUUUCCAUCGCCGUAACCUUCUGUACCCGUCAGAUCCCAUCUAGGGGCCUUUUCUGGCGUCCUGCCGAAGGGGGAUUUGAUCACGGAGAGCUUUUACAUCAACACCAUUGCCUCUCCGAUGAAGCGUGAGUAGUUUGCCAUAGACCUGCGGGUCCAUAGCUAGUAGCUAGAUGGACUCUUCUCUCUCUUUGAUUCUCAAUACCAUGUUAUCCUCGAUGUUCUUGGAGAUCUAUUCGAUGUAAUACUAUCUUUGCUGUAUGUUUGCCGAGAUCCGAUGAAUUGUGGAUUUAUGAUCAGCUUAUCUAUGAAUAUUAUUUGAAUCUUCUCUGAAUUGUUAUAUGCAUGAUUUGAUAUCUUUGCAAGUCUCUUCGAACUAUCGAUUUGGUUUGGCCAACUAGAUUGGGUUUUCUUGCAAUGGGAGAAGUGCUUAGCUUUGGGUUCAAUCUUGUGGUGUCCUUUCCCAAUGACAGUAGGGGCAGCAAGGCGCAUAUUGUAUUGUUGCCAUCGAGGAUAAUAAGAUGGGGUUUUCAUCAUAUUGUCUGAGUUUAUCCCACUACAUCAUGUCAUUUUUCUUAAAGCGUUACUCUGUUCUUAUGAAUUUAAUACUAUAGAUGCAGGCAGGAGUCGGUCGAUGUGUGGAGUAAUAGUAGUAGAUGCAGGCAGGAGUCGGUCUACUUGAUAUGGACGUGAUGCCUAUAUUCAUGAUCAUUGCCUUAGAUAUCGUCAUAACUUUGCGCUUUUCUAUCAAUUUCUCAGCAGUAAUUUGUUUACCCAUUGUAAUAAUUUCUAUCUUGAGAGAAGCCUCUAGUGAAACCUAUGGCCCCCGGGUCUAUUUUCCAUCAUAUAAGUUUCUGAUCUACAAUUUUAGUUUCCUAUUUACUUCCUUUGCAAUCUUUUACUUUCUGUUCCAUAAACCAAAAAUACCAAAAAUAUUACUUUACCGUUUAUCCAUCUCUAUCAGAUCCCACUUUGCAAAUAACCAUGAAGGGAUUGACAACCCCUUUGUCGCGUUGGGUGCAAGUUGGUGUUUGUUUGUGCAGGUAUUCGAUGACUUGUGCGUUGUCUUCUACUGGAUUAAUACCUUGGUUCUUAAAAUUGAGGGAAAUACUUACUCUACUUUGUUGCAUCACCCUUUCCUCUUCAAGGGAAAAACCAACGCAAGCUUAAGAGGUAGCAGGCAGAAUUUCUGGCGCCGUUGUUGGGGAGAUUUAGGCCAAGUCAAGUCAAGAUUUUUCUCCCGUCAACUUGCCAAUUCCUGGCACUGGUUCCGGGGAGAUCUACGCCAAGACAAGACAUACGAAGUACCCAUCAUAAACUCUCAUCCCUUGCAUUACAUUAUUCGCCAUUCGCCUCUCGUUUUCCUCUCCGCCACUUCUAAAAUGAUUUUCGAAAAGAUUUGCCCUUUUCUUCGCCCGUCUUUCGUUCGAUCUUAUGUUCGCUUGUGUUGCCAUGUGCCUUCUAUUUGCUUGCAUCUUCGCUUGCUAAAAAUCUAUCGAUAUGGAUCCUCAUCCACUUGCUAAUAUUUUUAAGAGAUCCAAUUAUGAUGAACCAGUUGCUAGUGAGUUGAGUGCACUAGCUUAUCUUUAUGAGGUUUUGCUUGAAAUUCAUGAAUCUGAAAAUUGGGAUGAAGUGUUGAAAGAAGAAAUUUAUGAAGUGAUUCACGAUAGCUCCUUGAAUGAAAAGCAUGAUUGAAAUGAUGCUAUUAUAAUUUCCAUUACUAUCAAUUGUGUUAAUGAUAUGAAAAACCCUAAGCUUGGGGAUGCUAGUUUUUCCAUGUCCACUAUUUGUUGCAAUGAUCAUGAUUGGGGUGAUUCUUCUUAUAACCUUGAAAAUUUAUUUAAGCCCCAUGAUGAAUAUGAGAUUGAUAAUAAUGUUUUCAAUAAUACUGAAAGUGGGUUUGGAAGAGUGUCAACUCUAGAUCCCACGUAUUUGGAUAAUGUUCAAUCUUAUGAAGUUUUUGAUAAAAGUGGGUUCAGAGAGGGCAUGACUUUAUUUUAUGAUAAUCCCACUAUUUUGGAAUAGUGUCAACUUUGCAUGCAUGUGGAUCAUGAAGAGAAAAUUUUAUGUGAUAGCUAUAUUGUUGAAUUUGAUUAUGAUCCUGCAUGUAAUUAUUAUGAGAGAGUAAAAUAUGGUUGUAGAAAUUCUCAUGUUAUUGAAUUACCUCUCGUUAUGUCGAGAUUGCUAUUAUUUCUUUCUUGUUCCUUGCAUAUGCUAGUUUUUGCUUACAUUGAUAAUUUGUUUGCCUAUAGGAUGCCUAUGCAUAGGAAGUAUGUUAGACUUAGAUGUAUUUUCCACAUGCUAUUUGAUGCUCUCUCCGUGUUUCAAUUGCUAUCUUUCAUGUGAGCAUCAUCGAAAUUAUCAAUGCCUAGCUAAAAGGCUUUAAAGAAAAGCGUUUAUUGGGAGACAACCCAAUAUAUUUCCUUGUUGUUUUGCAACAAAUAAUUCAUCUAGCCACUGGUUAGAUGUGGUUUGGUGUUUUAAUUAGUGUUUGUGCCAAUUAAGACCUUUGGGAUAGCUUACGGUGAUAGUUGAUUUGAUCUUGUUGAAAAACAGAAACUUUUACACUCAGGAAAACAAUUCUCAUUUUUAGCAGAAGAGUGAUAAAAUACUGAUUAUUUUUGCAGAUGAUUAAUAAAUAAAUUUCUUAGUUCUUCCUAAUUUCUCAUAAUUUUUGGAGUUACAGAAGUAUUCGAAAUCUCCAGAUUGCUACAGACUGUUCUGUUUUUAACAUAUUCUAUUUUCUAUAUGUUGUUUGCUUAUUUUGAUGAAUCUAUGGCUAGUAUCGGGUGGUAUGAACCAUGGAAAAAUUAAAAUACAGUAGAUAUUACACCAAUACAAAUAAUCAAUUAGUUCACAACAAUACCAAAAGUGGUGAUUUAUUUUCUUAUACUAACGGAGCUUAUGAGAUUUUUUGUUAAGUUUUGUGUUGUGAAGUUUUUAAGUUUUGGGUAAGGAUUUGAUGGACUAUGGAAUAAGGAGUUGCAAGAGCCUAAGCUUAGGGAUUUUGUAACAUCCCAAAUUUUCAAUUUGGAAUGUUAUACAUUAGAUCAUCAUUGCAUAUCAUAUUUUAUUGCAUUUUGGCUAGAUCCUAAAAAUCCUACGCAACUCAAGGACCCAUGGAGAGAGUUGAGGAUUUCGUUAUUUUCAUAUUUGGGUUUUCUCAAAUUUUGAAAAUAGGAUCAUUUGAUUUGAUUUAUUUUAUCUUCAGUUAUUUCAAUUAUAAAAAUAAGAGAGAGGGAAUAAAAUGGCUUUCCCAAAAUAAAGAAAUAUUGAGGAUUUAAUAAAAAAAAUCAAAUAAGAUUUUAUUUCGGAGUUUUCUCGCUAUUUUAUUUGAAUUAGGAAAAAAAUACGCGUUUUUCAAAAUUGCGUUUAGGCCCCAAAUAAAUGUUCAUCUUGGCCGGCUUGAUUUUAGAAGUCGGGGAAAAUUUAUUUCAGGAUUUUUGGAGUCCGUUUAGUAUUUCUUUUAUUUGUUUUUCUGUGCAAAAUUAUUAUAAAAAAACAAACGAACCGACCUAACCGGGCCGUGUCCAACUAGGACUCUGGCCCGGCCGGCCCUUAUAAGCCGGGGAGGCCACCCCGUAGCCCAGCCCGAACCGCCCCGCCGCCCCAAACCCUAGCGCCGCAGCCCGUCGCCCGCCGCUGCCACCCGUCGUCCCGCCAUCGCCCACCGCCGCCGCCCGUCGUCCCGCCGUCGUCCGUCGCCNNNNNNNNNNNNNNNNNNNNNNNNNNNNNNNNNNNNNNNNNNNNNNNNNNNNNNNNNNNNNNNNNNNNNNNNNNNNNNNNNNNNNNNNNNNNNNNNNNNNNNNNNNNNNNNNNNNNNNNNNNNNNNNNNNNNNNNNNNNNNNNNNNNNNNNNNNNNNNNNNNNNNNNNNNNNNNNNNNNNNNNNNNNNNNNNNNNNNNNNNNNNNNNNNNNNNNNNNNNNNNNNNNNNNNNNNNNNNNNNNNNNNNNNNNNNNNNNNNNNNNNNNNNNNNNNNNNNNNNNNNNNNNNNNNNNNNNNNNNNNNNNNNNNNNNNNNNNNNNNNNNNNNNNNNNNNNNNNNNNNNNNNNNNNNNNNNNNNNNNNNNNNNNNNNNNNNNNNNNNNNNNNNNNNNNNNNNNNNNNNNNNNNNNNNNNNNNNNNNNGCCGACCCCGCCGCCCGACGCCGGAGCCGCCCCGCCGCCACCGUCCUGCCGCGGAGGUUGACCACCGCCGCCGCCGCCGAUUUCCUCGAGAAAAUCGUCCGGUUUUCGUUCGUUUUUUUAAAAAAACUAGAUCUGUUUUUUAUAUAGAUCGGUUUUUUUCCGGUUUUGUUUAUUUAGCCAACGCCCGUUCGUUCGUUUUAACGAACGGUUUUCGUCUUUUAGCCGCAGUUAGCGAACGUUCAUUCGUUAGCCUGUUCGUCCGUUUUUCUUUUUCUCGGAUUUUCCGCGAUUAUUUCUGAUCGUGAUUUUCGAUCUGUUUUUCGUUUUAGUAUAACUUUUCGCUCGUUUAUCGAAAUCAGGAGAUUCAAGCGCCUAGAGUUUCGUAUCGAAACCCUCUUUCAGUUUAACCAACUCAAACAAGUUUUUGCUUCUGUAAAAUUUGACUUAGGUCCAGAUUAGUAAACAAACCCUGUUUCUUUCGCCGUUUGACUUUCGUUGUUUCGUUUGAAUUGUUUCUUUUUGCAAACCGGAGUUCUUAAGUUGAAUUUUCUGGUUAGAUCUCUUAUUUGAGUUUUACCUGUGCAUUAGAUGAGUGCUUAUUGUGUGCUUGUUUGUUUGCGAUAGAGUACCCGGAGUGCGCCGCUUGCUACUUCGAAUCUCUAGGUUUCACGGGUCAUCAGCAAGGCAAGUAACACUUUGAUCAUACCUCUUACUACCAAGUUUUAUUGCAUUAGAUAAAUCCUCAAACAAUUGCAUGGUUAGGAUCUGAAUUAAAUUGUGGGUUUGGGAAGUAGAUGAGGUAGUACCUAUUCACGUGUUUAUUAUCAAACCCCGGGAGUUACUUCUACGUUAUGCUUAUAUUGCUAUGUUAUGCUCGUAGACGUGGUUUGGGUUUGAGUGUAUUCAUGACAGAUGUGAGAUUGUUUAAUUAAUGGUUAACUUAAGGUGGCAACUCUAAUACACAUCUGGGUGGAUUGAGGCACCUGGGUAUUCCAGCGAUUGCCUGUUUUUCUUUAUGGACCGCCACCCAGGCUCAAAGGGAUCAUGAGAUUAUUCAUACUAGAAACUUCCGUGUGCAGCCACAAGCUACUAUGGGCUCUAGCAUAGUUGAUUAAGUCGUGCGAACUCUUACAGUGGUAGACUAGCAGAUGUAGGGGAAAGUAGGUGUAACGGUCUACCCGAUCGUAAGGUGCUAGCGCUUCUGAAAAACUAUGUCUCGAUCAUCCGUUUCUCAAACUCCAUGUAGUGCGAGAAUCCCAACGGAGGAGAUUGAGUCUUGUGGGGAAAAGUGCGCAAACAUCUGCAGAGUGUAUAAACUAAUCAUGGUUAGCCGUGUCCCCGGUUAUGGACAACUUGAGUAUCUAGUACUUGGAUUAUCAUGUGAAUCUCAUCAUGUGACUUUAAUUAAUUUUGUUGGGUUUUAAUGAUGAUGUUUAAUUGGGAUUGAGAGGGUGUCUACGCUCUCAAUGUUUAACAACCACCAUGAUAGUUAAAUAAAUUUAUUCCUUUAAAGUGGGGAAAAACUGGCUUUACGCAAAACUGUAACCAUAGAGCUUUCCACCAGCCAUAUAUGCAUGUAGUAUAGCCUAUUCUGUUCACUACUCUCUAUGUGUUACAUUGCCAGCAUAUUCCAUGUGCUGACCCGUUUUCGGGCUGCAACAUUCAUGUUGCAGACUUUUCAGACGACGAAUAAGGAGCCUUAGGUCGUGGUUCUAUGCUCAGUGAUGCCGUUGGAGUUGAUGGACUCACUUAUCUUCCAAGCCUUCCGCUAUUAUCGUUAUUAGAUGGCCUUACGCCAUAUUAUUUGUAAUAAGUUCUCUUUUGAGACAUUCGAUGUAAUAAGUGUGUGAUUGCUACUCUGUUAUAAAUCCUUCAAGUACUGUGCGUGUCAGCAUUAUUGAUCCAGGGAUGACACUGAAGCACAGAGAUCACACUGUUUGAGGUCUAAUCGCUACAAGAUGGUAUCAGAGCACACGCUAACUGUAGGACACGACCACUAAGAUAAAGACCUAGAUCACUACUCUCUUCUCAUUUCUGACUCCUCAUCUUUUCUACUCUUUUAGGAUGGCAGAUGCAAGGAACAAGUUCACGCAACCGAAUGAAGAUACACCCUUUGGACACCACCUGAAGGAAGUCACUAAGUACCUGAACAUCAGAGUACCAAGCUUCACCGGGACCUACAACGCCACUUUACCCAAGGAGGAGCGCUGGAUGAUUCAAGUUCAAGUUCCUGGAAGGAUGUUCGCGCCAGUCACCGAGCCCAUAGAGUUUUCCUUUGAUGCACCAACCUGGAGUCUAGGAAAGAGCAUGGAUGCCCACAUUACCAUGGGACGUAUUGGAGAAGUUUACCGCAAUGAUCUCAAGGAUACUAUCUAUCAGAUUUGUGGGCGCCGAGAUGAGAAAUGGGAGAUGAUCAGCAUCAGGAAGGAUAGAUCAAUCGCAGCUUUUAUCCAAGAGUUAAAUCAGCACAUUCGACAUCAGGAGAACCAGAUGUGCGCAGGCAUGAUAGAUCUGAAGAAGGCAAUGACAAGAAUCACGGAGCUGGAGGAAGAACUCAAAGCUACACGCGAAGAUUAUAUGGAGGAAAUCAAAGUAUUAGUGGAGAAGAAUGACGACCUGACUAGGAAUCUAGGAGUUUUCAUGGGAGAUCCCGCGCCAGGAGGAGAAGAUGACGAUUCCACUUGCCCAGAGAACUACAUCAUCAUCGACGACACCGACUCAGACCCAGAUGACAGCGAUGAUGACUAUGUUGAUGAAGCUGGAGCGGAUAUCAUGGAGUCUUCAUCGGAGCAGUUUUUCUAGUAGACCACCAUAACAGUAGUAGUAUUCCACCAUAUAUAUAGCAUAGUCCAAGUACUUUUAUAACGAUAGUUCUAGACCGAUUGUAUGCCCUUGUUUGAAUUGAAUGAAGUGAUUUUGUUUGCAUUUGCCUCAUGUGCAUAUGGGUAGUGUUUUCCCUCUAGACCUCAAUCUAUUCUAUAUUCUCAUCUUUUCUAAACCCUCGGAUGCCUCCAAGAUGUGACAAUGGAUUUGCUUUCCCAUCGGAGCUCACUCAGUUGAUCCAGCAGCAGAAUGCAUUGGUGCAGUUGCUAGUCCAGAAUUAGAAUCAGGGGAACAACAACAACAACAACCAACCACACCACCUGUUGAUCACUUAACCCGUUUCCUUAGACUGAAUCCGCCGGUGUUCUCCAGUAGCACCGAGCCGAUAGUGGCAGAUGAUUGGCUCUGCAAGACAGGGAGGGAAUUGACCACAACAGGAUGCACAUAUGCGGAAAAGGUGCGUUUUGCCGCACAUCAGCUUUAAGGACCCGCAUCAUCAUGGUGGGAGAAUUUCACAUCCACUUAUCCUAUCGACACUGUCACAUGGGAUCGGUUUCAGCAGGCUUUCCGUACUGCCCAUGUUUCAGCAGGAGCUAUGGCCAUGAAGAAGCGUGAGUUUCCCAACUUGCACCAAGGAGGACGGACAGUUGGCCAAUAUGUGGAUGACUUUAGUAAGUUAGCACGUUAUGCCCCGGAUGACGUUGCUACGGAUGCAGCUAAGCAGGAGAAAUUUCUGGAAGGACUGAAUGAUGAGUUGAGCAUGCAGUUGAUGGUAGCAACUUUCAACAACUACUAGGAGUUGGUAGAUCGUGCUCUUAUGAUUGAAGGGAAGCAGCAACAGAUUGAGAACCGCAAGAGGAAGUAUGGAUAAGGGAAAUACAAUUCAGGAGCUCAGCAGAAGCCACGUUUUACCCCGAAAUCGGGAGGACAUUUUCAGCAUACCCAUGGAGGAGGGAGUUCGCAUAAUCAUAAUGGCCCCAAGAAUGGUAAUGGGAAUGGGGGAAGCAACGGUCAGAAUCGUACCAACCCAUCAACCCCAGCCAAGAGAGACUUGAGCCAAGUCACUUGUUAUAAGUGUUAGAAGACCGGGCAUUAUGCCAAUGAAUGUCCUGAAGCCCAGAAUGGAAAUGGCAAUGGAAGCUCAGGGAAGAAACCAAACCCUUUCAACAGGGGACAGGUGAACCACAUUAACAUGGAAAAGGUUGAAGCCCAGCCAGAUGCAACAAUAGGUAAGUUUUUGGUUAAGUCAUUUACUGCAAUCGUUCUUUUUGAUACUGGGGCAUCGCAUUCAUACAUAUCAAGGGGAUUUGUGGAUAAGUAUAAACUACCCACCAAGGUUCUUAAAACACCUAUGUUAGUAAGCUCACCAGGAGCGGAGUAUAUGGCCAGUAGAGGAUGUUUUCAAGUGCCAUUGAGUAUAGGUAGACAUGUGUUUCCCUCGGGUUUAAUCAUUAUGGAAUCGCAAGGUUUGGAUGUAAUUCUGGGUAUGGAUUGGCUAUCGAUGUGUGGAGGAAACAUCGAUUGCGCCAAUAAGUCGAUUUUGCUUACCACCCCAGAGGGAAGAAGGAUCAAGUAUGUAUCACGGCAUGUGCCGAAUAGGACUCAAGUAAAUUCCUUAACAGGAGUUGUGUGGGAGGAAGUAUCGGUGGUAAAGGAUUUUACAGAUGUAUUUCCAAAAGAGUUGCCAGGCAUGCCACCGGAUAGAGACAUUGAGUUUUUGAUUGAGCUUUUGCCAGGCACAUGGCCAAUAUCUAAGAGACCAUACAGAAUGCAUGCAAAGGAUUUGGAGGAGAUUAAGAAGCAAAUUAAGGAGUUACUGGAUAAGGGUUAUAUUCGCCCAAGUUCGUCACCUUGGGGAUCAACAGUACUUCUAGUGGAAAAGGAGGAUGGAUCAUUAAGGAUGGUUGUUGAUUAUCGAGGAUUGAAUGAAGUGACGAUCAAGAAUAAGUACCCACUGCCAAUGACUAAUGAUUUGUUUGACCAAUUGCAAGGAGCUAAGGUAUUUUCCAAGAUCGAUUUGCGAUCAGGAUACCACCAGUUGAAGAUUCGAGAGCAGGACAUACCUAAGACAACUUUUACCACAAGGUACAUGCUGUAUGAGUAUACCGUUAUGUCAUUUGGUCUGACUAACGCACCUGCCUAUUUUAUGAACAUGAUGACAAAGUGUUUAUGGAGUUUUUGGAUAAGUUCGUCGUAGUAUUCAUUGAUGAUAUUCUGGUUUACUCGAAGAAUGAAGAAGAACAUAAAGAACAUUUGCUUUUGGUACUUGCUAAGCUCAGAGAACAUCAGUUAUACGCCAAAUUCAGCAAAUGUGAGUUUUGGUUGAAGGAAGCUGGAUUCCUCGGACAUGUUAUAUCCGGACAAGGAAUAGCAGUAGAUCCCACCAAGGUUGUCACUAUGACAAAUUGGGAAGCCCCAACAACAGUUGGAGAGAUCCGGAGUUUUCUUGGACUCGCAGGAUACUACCGGAGAUUCAUUGAAAAUUUCUCGAAGAUUGCAAAACCUAUGACGGAGUUGUUGAAGAAGGAUACCAAGUUCAAAUGGACUGAGGAAUGUGAGGCCAGUUUCCAGUAGUUAAAGAAACGUUUGGUUACCUCGCCAGUGUUGAUUCUGCCAGAUCAGCGCAAGGAUUAUGAGGUAUAUUGCGCCGCUUCACGUUGAGGACUUGGAGCAGUGCUUAUGCAGGAGGGUAGAGUUGUUUCAUAUGCCUCACGACAGCUUAAGCCCCAUGAGUUGAAUUAUGCUACUCAUGACUUGGAGUUAGCAGCCGUAGUGCACGCUUUGAAGACAUGGAGACAUUUUCUCAUCGGAAAUCAUUGUGAGGUGUACACGGAUCACAAGAGUUUGAAGUACAUCUUCACGCAGAAGGAGUUGAAUCUCAAGCAAAGGAGAUGGUUGGAGCUCAUCAAGGAUUAUGAUAUGAGAUUGCAUUAUCAUCCCGGAAAGGCUAACGUAGUAGCUGACGCAUUGAGCCGCAAGAGCCAUGUUAACACACUAAUGACCGGAGUGUUACCAAAAGAAUUAGCCGAGGAUCUUCGUGAGCUAUGUUUGGUGAUAGUUCCGAGAGGCUAUGUAGCAGCAUUGGAGAUUCAGUCUACUCUGAUGGAUAAGAUCAGAGAAGCUCAGAAGACCGACAAGGAAAUUGCCACCAUAAAGGAGAAGGUGAGCAAGGGAAAAGUUAAAGGAUUUCGUGAGGAUGAAUACGAUACCUUAUGGUUUGAGGACCGCGUUUAUGUGCCUAAUGACCGGAGAUCAGGAAGUUAAUUUUGCAAGAGGCCCAUGAUUCGCCGUACUCGAUUCACCCAGGAAACACCAAGAUGUAUUUGGAUUUGAAGGACACUUUCUGGUGGACUAGAAUGAACAAGGAUAUUGCGGCGUAUGUAGCAGUCUGUGAUGUAUGUCAGAGAGUGAAGGCAGAGCAUCAGAAGCCAGCAGGAUUGCUACAGCCAUUGCCGAUACCCGAAUGGAAGUGGGAUAAGCUAGGCAUGGAUUUCAUCACGGGAUUACCCAGGACCCGUUCAGGCUAUGACUCGAUAUUGGUUAUAGUCGAUCGCCUGACGAAGGUAGCUCAUUUCAUCCUAGUGAAGACCACUUACACCAGUGCUAAGUUGGCAAAGAUAUACAUGACCAAGAUUGUAUGUUUGCAUGGAGUUUUGAGGAGCAUUGUAUCAGAUAGAGAAACCCAGUUUACCUCAAAGUUCUGGAAUCAGUUUCACGAAACUUUGGGUACCAGGCUAGACUUCAGUACAACUUUUCAUCCACAGACCGAUGGACAGACCGAGAGAGUCAAUUAGAUUCUGGAGGAUAUGCUAAGAGCUUGUGCGCUAGAUUAUGGAUCUAGUUGGGAUGACAACUUACCAUAUGCGGAGUUCUCUUACAACAAUAGUUAUCAAUCUAGUUUGAAGAUGGCCCCUUUUGAAGCCUUGUACGGAAGAAUGUGCAGAACACCAUUGUCGUGGGAUGAAGUUGGAGACCGCCAGUUAUUUGGACCAGAUCUGAUUAAGGAGUCUGAACAGAAGGUGAAGUUGAUUCGUGAUAGGCUCAAGGUAGCCCAAUCGAGGCAGAAGAGCUAUGCAGAUUCUAAACGCAAGGAGACGGUUUACGAAGCCGGAGAUAGAGUUUAUCUUCGUGUAUCUCCACUUCGAGGAGUUAAGCGCUUUGGAGUUAAGGGAAAGUUAGCGCCACGUUUUGUGGGACCAUACAAAGUUUUGGAACGCAUGGGAGAAGUUGCUUAUAAAUUGGAACUGCCCGAGGGAUUGUCGGCAGUUCAUGACGUGUUGCACGUUUCCCAGUUAAAGAAGUGCCACGCAGAGAUGGCGGAUAUACCAUUGAGAGAUACAGUGCCGCUGGAAGCGAUUCAGUUGGAUAGUGAUUUGACUUAUGAGGAGAAACCAAUCAAGAUUCUCGAGUAUGCCAGCCGAGUCACUCGCAGCAAGGUUAUCAAGUUUUGCAAAGUUCAGUGGAGCCACCAUACCGAGAAUGAAGCCACCUGGGAACGAGAAGAAGAUCUACGGAAAGACCACCCUCACCUAUUUGCUAGCCAACCCGAAUCUCGAGGGCGAGAUUCAUCUUAAGGGGGGUAGGUUUAUAACAUCCCAAAAUUUUAAUUUGGAAUGUUAUACAUUAGAUCAUCAUUGCAUAUCAUAUUUUAUUGCAUUUUGGCUAGAUCCUAGAAAUCCUACGCAACUAAAGGACCCAUGGAGAGAGUUGGGGAUUUCGUUAUUUUCAUAUUUGGGUUUUCUCAAAUUUUGAAAAUAGGAUCAUUUGAUUUUAUUUAUUUUAUCUCAAUUAUUUCAAUUAUAAAAAUAAGAGAGAGGGAAUAAAAUGACUUUCCCAAAAUAAAGAAAUAUUGAGGAUUUAAUAAAAAAUCAAAUAAGAUUUUAUUUCGGAGUUUUCUCGCUAUUUUAUUUGAAUUAGGAAAAAAUACGCGUUUUUCAAAAUUGCAUUUAGGACCCAAAUAAAUGUUCAUCUUGUCCGGCUUGAUUUUAGAAGUCUGGGAAAAUUUAUUUUGGGAUUUUUGGAUUCCGUUUAGUAUUUCUUUUAUUUGUUUUUCUGCGUGAAAUUAUUAUAAAAAAACGAACCGACCUAACCGGGUCGUGUCCGACUAGGACUCUGGCCCGACCGACCCUUAUAAGCCGGGGAGGCCACCCCGUAGCCCAGCCCGAGCCGCCCUGCCACCCCAAACCCUAGCGCCGCUGCNNNNNNNNNNNNNNNNNNNNNNNNNNNNNNNNNNNNNNNNNNNNNNNNNNNNNNNNNNNNNNNNNNNNNNNNNNNNNNNNNNNNNNNNNNNNNNNNNNNNNNNNNNNNNNNNNNNNNNNNNNNNNNNNNNNNNNNNNNNNNNNNNNNNNNNNNNNNNNNNNNNNNNNNNNNNNNNNNNNNNNNNNNNNNNNNNNNNNNNNNNNNNNNNNNNNNNNNNNNNNNNNNNNNNNNNNNNNNNNNNNNNNNNNNNNNNNNNNNNNNNNNNNNNNNNNNNNNNNNNNNNNNNNNNNNNNNNNNNNNNNNNNNNNNNNNNNNNNNNNNNNNNNNNNNNNNNNNNNNNNNNNNNNNNNNNNNNNNNNNNNNNNNNNNNNNNNNNNNNNNNNNNNNNNNNNNNNNNNNNNNNNNNNNNNNNNNNNNNNNNNNNNNNNNNNNNNNNNNNNNNNNNNNNNNNNNNNNNNNNNNNNNNNNNNNNNNNNNNNNNNNNNNNNNNNNNNNNNNNNNNNNNNNNNNNNNNNNNNNNNNNNNNNNNNNNNNNNNNNNNNNNGGAGCCGCUCCGCCGCCGACCCCGCCACCCACCGGAGCCCCCGCCCGACGCUGGAGCUGCCCCACCGCCGUCGUUCCGCUGCCGAGGUUGACCACCGCCGCCGCCGCCGGUUUCCUCGAGAAAACCGUCAGGUUUUCGUUCGUUUUUAAAAAAAACUAGAUUUGUUUUUUAUAUAGAUCGGUUUUUUUGGUUUAGUUUAUUUAGCGAACGCCCGUUCGUUCGUUCGUUCGUUUUAACGAACGGUUUUCGUCUUUUAGCCGCAGUUAGCGAACAUUCGUUCGUUAGCCAGUUUGUCCAUUUUUAUUUUUCUCGCAUUUUCCGCGAUUAUCUCUGAUCGCGAUUUCUGAUUUAUUUUUCGUUUUAGUAUAACUUUUCGCUCGUUUAUCGGAAUCAGGCGAUUCAAGCGCCUAAGUUUCGUCUCGAAACCCUCUUUCCGUUUAACCAACUCAAACAAGUUCUUGCUUCUGUAAAAUUUGACUUAGGUCCAGAUUAAUAAACACAGUCUGUUUCUUUCGCCGUUUGACUUUCGUUGUUUCGUUUGAAUUGUUUCUUUUUGCAAACCGGAGUUCUUAAGUUGAACUUUCUGGUUAGAUCUCUUAUUUGAGUUUUACCUGUGCAUUAGAUGAGUGCUUAUUGUGUGCUUGUUUGUUUGCGAUAGAGUACACGGAGUGCGCCGCUUGCUACUUCAAAUCUCUAGGUUUCACGGAUCAUCAACAAGACAAGUAACACUUUGAUCAUACCUCUUACUACCCAGUUUUAUUGCAUUAGAUAAAUCCUCAAACAAUUGCAUGAUUAGGAUCUGAAUUAAAUUGUGGGUUUGGGAAGUAGAUGAGGUAGUACCUAUUCACCUGUUUAUUAUCAAACCCUGGGAGUUACUUCUACGUUAUGCUUAUAUUCCUAUGCUAUGCUCAUAGACGUGGUUUGGGUUUGAGUGUAUUCAUGACAGAUGUGAGAUUGUUUAAUUAAUGGUUAACUUAAGGUGGCAACUCUAAUACACAUCUGGGUGGAUUGAGGCACCUGGGUAUUCUAGUGAUUGCCUAUUUUUCUUUAUGAACCGCCACCCAGGCUCAAAGGGAUCAUGAGAUUAUUCAUACUAGAAACUUUCGUGUGCAACCACAAGCUACUAUGGGCUCUAGCAUAGUUGAUUAAGUCAUGCGAACUCUUAUAGUGGUAGACUAGCAGAUGUAGAGGAAAGUAGGUGUAAUGGUCUACCCGAUCGUAAGGUGCUAGCGCAUCUGAAAAACUAUGUCUCGGUCAUCCGUUUCUCAAACACCAUGUAGUGCAAGAAUCCCAACGGAGGAGAUCGAGUCUUGUGGGGAAAAGUGCGCAAACCUCUGCAGAGUGUAUAAACUAAUCAUGGUUAGCCGUGUCCCUGGUUAUGGACAACUUGAGUAUAUAGUACUUGGAUUAUCAUGUGAAUCUCAUCAUGUGACUUUAAUUAAUUUUGUUUGGUUUUAAUGAUGAUGUUUAAUUGGGAUUGAGAGGGUGUCUACGCUCUAAAUGUUUAACAACCACCAUGAUAGUUAAUUAAAAUUUAUUCCUUUGCAGUAGGGAAAAACUGGCUUUACGUAAAACUAUAACCAUGGAGCUUUCCACCAGCCAUAUAUGCAUGUAGUAUAGCCUAUUCUGUUCACUACUCUCUAUGUGUUACAUUGCCAGCAUAUUCCAUGUGCUUACCCGUUUUCGGGCUACAACGUUCAUGUUGCAGACUUUUCAGACGACGAAUAAGGAGCCAUAGGUCGUGGUUCUAUACUCAGUGAUGCCGUUGGAGUUGAUGGACUCACUUAUCUUCCAAGCCUUCCGCUGUUAUCGUUAUUAGAUGGCCUUAAGCCACAUUAUUUGUAAUAAGUUCUCUUUUGAGACAUUCGAUGUAAUAAGUGUGUGAUUGCUACUCUGUUAUAAAUCAUUCAAGUAUUGUGCGUGUCAGCAUUACUGAUCCAGGGAUGACACUGAAGCACAGAGAUCAGACUGUUUGAGGUCUGGUCGCUACAGAUUUCCAAGGCACCCCAAGGUAAUAUUCAAGGAUAACCAAGAACCAAAGUUUGGGGAUGCCCCGGAAGGCAUCCGCUCUGUCGUCUUCGUCUAUGGGUAACUUUACUUGAGGCUAUAUUUUUAUUCACUACAUGAUAUGUGUUUUGCUUAGAGCGUCUUGUAUGAUUUGAGUUCUUUCUUUUUAGUUUGCCACACUCAUCCUUGCUGUACACACCUUUUGAGAGAGACACGCAUGAUUCGUGAUUUAUUAGAAUACUCUAUGUGCUUCACUUAUAUCUUUUGAGCUAGGCAAAUUUUGCUCUAGUGCUUCACUCAUAUCUUUUUAGAGCACGGCGGUGUUUUUAUUUUAUAGAAAUUGAUGAACCCUCGUACUUCACUUAUAUUAUUUUGAGAGUCUUUAAACAACAUGGUAAUUUGCUUUGGUUAUAAAAUUAGUCCUAAUAUGAUAGGCAUCCAAGAGGGAUAUAAUAAAACUUUCAUAUAAAGUGCAUUAAAUACUAUGAGAAGUUUGAUUCCAUAUGAUUGUUUUGAGAUAUGAAGAUGGUGAUAUUAGAGUCAUGCUAGUGAGUAGUUGUGAAUUUGAGAGAUACUUGUGUUAAGGUUUGUGAGUCCCGUAGAAUGCAGGUAUGGUGAACCGUUAUGUAACGAAGUUGGAGCAUGAGAUAUUUUUUGAUUGUCUUCCUUAUGAGUGGCGGUCUGGGAUGAGCGAUGGUCUUUCUCUACCAAUCUAUCCCCCUAGGAGUAUGCGUGUAGUACUUUGUUUCGAUGACUAAUAGAUUUUUGCAACAAGUGAGUUCUUUAUGACUAGUGUUGAGUCCAUGGAUUAUACGCACUCUCACCCUUCUGCCAUUGCUAGCCUCUCUUGUACCGCGCAACUUUUGUCGGUACCAUAAACCAAACAUAUACCUUCCUCAAAAUAGCCACCAUACCUACCUAUUAUGGCAUUUCCAUAGCCAUUUCGAGAUAUAUUGCCAUGCAACUUUCCACCAUUCUGUUUAUUAUGACACGCAUCAUCAUUGUCAUGUAGUUGACACCGUAUUUGUGGAAAAGCCACCGUUCAUCAUUUUAUACAUGUCACUCUUGACUCAUUGCACAUCCCGGUACACCACCGAAGGUUUUCAUAUAGAGUCAUAUCUUGUUCUAUAUCGAGUUGUAAUUUUUGAGUUGUAACUAAAUAGAAGUAUGAUGAUAUUCCUUUUUAGAACAUUGUCCCGUGUGAGGAAAUAAAAGAAAGAAAGAAAAAAGAGGAGAAAAAGAAAAGAGAGAGAGAGAGAGAGAGAGAGAGAGAGAGAAAUGAGAGAAAAAGAGAGAAGGGGCAAUGUUACUAUCCUUUUCCAUACUUGUGCUUCAAAGUAGCACCUUGAUCUUCAUGAUAGAGAGUCUCCUAUGUUGUCACUUCCAUAUAGUAGUGGGAAUUUUCAUUAUAGAACUUGGCUUGUAUAUUCCAACGAUAGGCUUCCUCAAAUGCCCUAGGUCUUCAUGAGAAAGCAAGUUGGAUGCACACCCACUUAGUUUUCUUUUUGAGAUUUCAUAAACUUAUAGCUCUAGUGCAUCCAUUGCAUGGCAAUCCCUACUCACUCACAUUGAUAUCUAUUAAUGGGCAUAUCCAUAGCCCGUUGAUACGCCUAGUUGAUGUGAGACUAUCUCCCUCUUUUUGUCUUCUCCACAACCACCUUCUAUUCCACCUAUAGUGCUAUGUCCACGGCUCACGAUCAUGUAUUGCGUGAAAGUUGAAAAGGUUUGAGAACAUUAAAAGUAUGAAACAAUUGCUUGGCUUAUCAUCGGGGUUGUGCAUGAUUUGAAUAUUUUAUGUGAUGAAGAUGGAGCAUAGCCACACUAUAUGAUUUUGUAGGGAUGAGCUUUCUUUGGCCAUGUUAUUUUGAGAAGACAUAAUUAUUUUGUUAGUAUGCUUGAAGUAUUAUUGUUUUUAUGACAAUAUUAAUUUUUUUUGAGUCAUACGGAUCUGAACAUUCAUGCCACAAUAGAGAAAAUUACAUGGAUAAAUAUGUUAGGUAGCAUUCCACAUCAAAAAUUCUAUUUUUAUUAUUUACCUACUCGAGGACGAGCGGGAAUUAAGCUUGGGGAUGCUUGAUACGUCUCCAACCUAUCUAUAAUUUUUAUUGUUCCAUGCUAUUAUAUUAUCUGUUUUGGAUGUUUUAUAUGCAUCAAUAUGCUAUUUUAUAUUAUUUUUGGGACUAACCUAUUAACCUAGAGCCCAGUGCCAGUUCCCGUUUUUUCCUUGUUUUAGAGUUUCGCAGAAAAGGAAUACCAAACGGAGUCCAAACGGAAUGAAAAUUCUGCGACGAUUUUUCUUGGACUAGAAGACAUCCAGAGGACUUGGAGUGCACGUGAAGGAAGCCACGAGGCAGCCACAAGGUCGGAGGGAGCGCCCCCACCCUAGUGGGCCCCUCGUGACUCCACCGACCUAUUUCUUCCACCUAUAUAUUCUCAAAUAUUCCAAAACCUACCAGGAGAGCCAUGAAAGCACUUUUUCAUUGCCGCAACCUUCUGUUCGUGUGAGAUCCCAUCUAGGGCCUUUUCCAGCGUCCUGCCGAAGGGGGAUUUGAUCACGGAGGGCUUCUACAUCAACACCAUUGCCUCUCCGAUGAAGCGUGAGUAGUUUACCACAGACCUACGGGUUCAUAGCUAGUAGCUAGAUGGCUUCUUCUCUCUCUUUGAUUCUCAAUACCAUGUUCUCCCCGAUGUUCUUGGAGAUCUAUUCGAUGUAAUACUCUCUUUGCGGUGUGUUUGUCGAGAUCUGGUGAAUUGUGGAUUUAUGAUCAGCUUAUCUAUGAAUAUUAUUUGAAUCUCCUCUGAAUUCUUAUAUGCAUGAUUUGAUAUCUUUGCAAGUCUCUUCGAACUAUUUGGUUUGGCCAACUAGAUUGGUUUUUUUGCAAUGGGAGAAGUGCUUAGCUUUGGGUUCAAUCUUGCGGUGUCCUUUCCCAAUGACAGUAGGGGCAGCAAGGCAUGUAUUGUAUUGUUGCAAUAGAGGAUAACAAGAUGGGGUUUUCAUCAUAUUGCUUGAGUUUAUUCCGCCACAUCAUGUGAUUUUGCUUAAAGCGUUACUUUGUUCUUAUGAACUUAAGACUCUAGAUGCAUGUAUGAGUCGGUCCAUGUGUGGAGUAAUAGUAGUAGAUGCGGGCAGGAGCCGAUCUACUUGAUACGGACGUGAUGCCUAUAUUCAUGAUCAUUGCCUUACAUAUCGUCAUAACUUUGCGCUUUCCUAUCAAUUGCUCGGCAGUAAUUUGUUUACCCAUCGUAAUAAUUUCUAUCUUGAGAGAAGCCUAUAGUGAAACCUAUGGCCCUCGGGUCUAUUUUCCAUCAUAUAAGUUUCCGAUCUACAAUUUUAGUUUCCUAUUUACUUCCUUUGUAAUCUUUACUUUCUGUUCCAUAAACCAAAAAUAUUACUUUACUCUUUAUCCAUCUUUAUCAGAUCUCACUUUGCAAAUAACCGUGAAGGGAUUGACAACCCCUUUGUCGCGUUCGCUGCAAGUUGGUGUUUGUUUGUGCAGGUAUUCGGUGACUUGUGCGUUGUCUCCUACUGGAUUCAUACCUUGGUUCUGAAAACUGAGGGAAGUACUUAAUCUACUUUGGUGCAUCACCCUUUCCUCUUUAAGAGAAAAACCAACGCAAGCUCAAGAGGUAGCAAUGUGCUGAAGAGUGGCUCACCCAUAGUGGAGUAUGGGGGAGCAAUCUACUUGUCUUCAUCGAGCCAACGCAAUCAAGAAAUGUGGUCCAACUUGAGGAGGUCAAGAUCAUCAUCAUCUAGGUCAAGUGGACUAUGUGCAAGGCAAAGGUUCAUGGUGGUAGUUGAGAGACCGGGUUAUAGGAUUUGCCGUACUAUUAAGGGGGGCUCCCGAGUGAGUAGCUUGAUCGUAUCAUUCGUAGAGAGCUCAAACCAUUGCAUCCUUGCAUCAUCUUUCUUGGUUCUUGUUUGGUUCUUCUCCUUGUGAGAUUUGGAACUUAUGGUCAUCUUCAUGACAAGCUCGAGUUCAUCGAAAACAGAGUUCACAUGCAUCUUCUAUGAGGUUUUAAAUGUUGGUUUUUUGCAUGUUCUUCAUUCAUAGAGGUUUCACAUAUGUAUAUCAUUGGCAUUUUUAUACUGCCUCUUCUCGCUAUUUGGAUAGUAGUCAUCGUCAUCUGUCGAACAAGCUUGAGUUUGCUCUGUUCGAAGCCCGUAUGGAGAAGUUAUGGCAGUUCUAGUUUUCCUACUUCCAUCUGUUUGCUUGGGCUAUUUUCAAGCUCACUAGCGGUAGUACUGCUUGCGUGGUACUUCUGCGAUCCAUUACCGCGGGGACCACCGCUUGUGUUCAGGCUUCUGGACUUGUUUUCGCUUCGACGACAGUUGGGCACGGUAGUACCGCACGUGCCCAGCGAUAGUACUGUUCCCGCGAUACUUCCGCGAUCGACUACCACUGCUACUUCCGCCUAUUUUAUUGCCACUGGACUCGUCUUUCUCUCCGCAGUUGUAGAGCGACUAUAAGGGACGAUAGUACUACUUCUCCCCUGUAUACUGCAACCUCAGCGAUAGUACCACCACGGCGAGCGGUAGUACCGCUCUUGCGACACCGACGACGACUAUAAUGCCUGGCUCGCUCGCAUCACCAAGCACAUCAAUGUUGCCGGCGUCGCCCUGGCGCCAUCUCGCUCCUUGCCGCCUCCGCCAUUGCGUGACGCGUGGGGGUGGCAAGACGCACCUCCUCCACCUGCUCCGCGCAACGAUGGCGUGCCACACCACCGUCUGGAGCGCUCGCCUGAGCCCUCCCACGGCUCCUCCCGGCUGGGUGGCGACAACCCGAGCUGCCAGAUCAUCCAGCGUGCGCGCCCUGACGCACAAGUGCUCAUCGAGAGCCAACGCGAGCACCAAAACCACACCAUCCAGGAGGUCGUGGCCGUCGGGCGCCAGAACCACACUGCCCUUGCAGGCGGCGGCGUCUCCACCGUCGGGGGCUGCAUGGCUUUCACACGCGAGCUCCAUCGCGUGGUGUGGCCCUCAAAGUUCAAGCCGCACCUGCCUCCCCGCUACGACGGCACCGCCAAAUGCGUGCAGUUCCUGUCGCUCUAUUCCAUGAGCAUCUAGGCCGCCAAGGGGGAUGACAAGGUCCUGGCGAAUUGGUUCCCCAUGGCCCUCAAGGACGCGGCACACACAUGGCUGAUGAGCCUUCCCGAGGGCUCCAUUUCCUCGUGGGAGGACCUGUGCCAGCAGUUCAUUGCCAACUUCAAGCGCAUGUUCGACUGCCCUCUCACACUCAGUAGCCUGCACGCCAUCCAUCAGUGCAUUAACGAGCCCCUUCGCAAGUACAUGCAUCGCUUCAGCCAGGUUCGCAAUAGGAUCCCGUGUGCCUCCAACAUCGCGGUCAUCAUAGCCUUCUCCACAUGGGUCAUGGACGUCAGGAUGCGCGAGAAACCCGUCGUCCGCGACAAACUCGACACCAUGGUUGAGCUCUUCGACCUUGCCGACAAGUACACCAAGGCUAAGGAGGGCCAUUUCUUCACCCAAAACGACCCCGACUAAAAGCACAAAUGCUCCGUUGGUGGUUUUGGUAAUUAAUGUCAAUAUAUCUUUUGUUGGACUAAUAGUUCUAUCUAGAAUAUUUUAGACAAGUUCAACAGUGGCAUGGCAAGGACAAGAGGAUGUUGACCCCUUCAAAAUGCUGAGGACAUGGGUUGGCAAAAGCUCAAGAUUCUACAUUUUUAGUUAAGUGAUCUAAGAUCACAUUGAAUCCAUAGAAAAACCAAUACUAUUAAAAGGGGAUGAGGCUUUGAUAAUGAUCUGUUUACUCAAGUGCUUAGUGAUAUUGCUCCAAAACCCUCAGUCACUUUCUCUAUCCAAAUAUGUCCGAAACCCUACAUUCCAACUCGGUCCCAUCGAAACAUACCUAUUCAGAACCACUGAGUUCAUCUGGGCAUUGCCAUAGCCAAACCCUAACAAAUCGGAUCCACUGAUAUGGAUCUCGGUCUCACCGAGAUGGCCUUGCCAACUCUUUGGUUGCAAUUAUUUCAGUCUUACCGAUUUUUGCAAUCGGUGCCACCGAGAUGUCUUGCCAACCUUUUGUUACUUAUUAUACUUUUUUCGGUCUCACCGAGAUGAUGCAAUCGAUGCCACCGAAGCAAGGUUUUGCUCUACCAUUGCACAUCGGCUCAUCUGAGAUGUUUCCGCUCGGUCACACUGAGACCUCCAACAUCCAUAUCUUUUCCACAGGUCGGUCCCACUGAGAUUUCUGAUAGGUGCCACCGAGUUGAGUCAAAAGUGUGUAACAGUUGGAUUUCGUGUGGAGGCUAUAUAUACCCCUCCACCCCCUCUUACCCAGUGAGAGAGCCAUCAAAAUGUGCCUACACUUCCACUAUUCAUUUUCUAAGAUAGAGCUACCUACUCAUGUGUUGACAUCAAGAGAUUACAUUCCUACCAUUUGAACCUUGAUUUCUAACCUUCCCCAAGUUGCUUUCCACUCAAAUCCCUCUUCUACCAUAGCCAAAUCUGUGAGAGAGAGUUGAGUGUUGGGGAGACUAUCAUUUGAAGCACAAGAGCAAGGAGUUCAUCAUCAUCAUACCAUUUAUUACCUUUUGGAGAGUGGUGUCUCCUAGAUUGGUUAGGUGUCGCUUGGGAGCCUCCGACAUGAUGUGGAGUUGAACCAAGAAGUUUGUAAGGGCAAGGAGAUCACCUACUUGGUGAAGAUCUACCCGAGUGAGGCAAGUCCUUUGUGGAUGAUGGCCAUGGUGGGUUAGACAAGGUUGCUUCUUCGUGGACCCUUCAUGGGUGUAGCCCUCUGUGGACUCGCGCAGCCAUUACUCUUCGUGGGAUGAAGUCUCCAUCAACAUGGACGUACGAUAGCACCACCUAUCGGAACGACACCAAAAAUCUUCGCGUCUCCAUUGCAUUUGCACUUUCCAAUUCCCAUCCCUUUACAUUCUUGCACUUGCAUGCUUUAAUCUUUUUGCUGCCCAUACUCUUGCUAUGCUUGUGUAAAAUGUUGGGAAAUGUAGCAUGCAAUUUCAAAAAAAAUCAUAUGCCCACGCAAGAUCUAUCUAGGAUAUGCAUAGCAUCGGGAGAGGAAGAGUGUGUCCACGUACCCUCGUAGACCGAAAGCGAAAGCGUUUGACAACGUGGUUGAUGUAGUUGAACUUCUUCUCAUACCGACCGAUCAAGCACCGACCGUAUGACACGUCCGAGUUCUGCACACGUUCAGCUCGAUGACGUCCCUCGAACUCUUGAUCCAGCAAAGUGUCGAGGAAGAGUUUCGUCAGCACGACGGCAUGGUGACGGUGAUGGUGAAGCAAUCCGCGUAGGGCUUCGCCUAAGCACUACGUGAAUAUGACCGGAGGCGUAAACUAUGGAGGGGGGCACCGCACACGGCUAACAUAUGUUUGUGUGUCCUCUAGGCGCCCCCCUCCCCACAUAUAUAUUGGUUGGUGUGGGCGGCGGCGUAGGGUGGGGGCAGUGGUGCGGGGCAGCGGCAGCAGCGACGGCGAAUGGCGAUGCGGGGCGGCGGCUCGACUACAGUGGCGGGGCUGCGGGUUUGGUGGAGGGAGAGGGGGCGGUGGCGGCGGCAUAUAAAGGGGGAAAGGGAGGUGGUGGGGUGGCUUGCGGGAGGGGACGGGGUCCCCGUGUCCUGGUCGGACACGGCGGCGGCAGCGGGCGAACUCGAGACUCCAGUCCUGAGCCGGAGGAAGGCGGCGGCGCGCUGGUCCGGCCAAGGAAGAAGUUUUUUUAAUAAAAAUCACCGCAAAAAUAAAAUAAUCCUAAUAAAAUAUAAAAAAAUCUAAAAAAAUUCCAGAAACAAUUUUCACCGUCCAAACCUAAUAUUUAGGACAAGAUGAACAUUUUUCUGGAGUAGAAUGCAAUUUAAUGCAUGUUUUUUCUCUAAUUCAAAUAAAAUAGCAAAUAAAAUACAAAUAAAAAUAAGUUGAUUUUAAAAUUUCUUCUCCAAUAUUUCUCUUCUGUUUGAAGAAGUCAUUUUAUCUUCUCUCAUUUAUUUUUGUUAUUGGAAAUAAUUGGAGAUAAAAUAUUAAAACCAAAUUGAUCCUCUUUUCAAAUUGGAAACUGAAUUCAAAUAUGAAAAUUUGUGAAACCUCCAACUCUCUCCUUGGGUCCUUGAGUUGCUUAAGAUUUCUAGGAUCACAACCAAAUGCAAAUGAAAUAAUAUGAUAUGCAUAUAAUGAUCUAUGCAUAACAUCCAAAUUGAAAAUUGGGAUGUUACAAACCUACCCCCUUAAGAUGAAUCUCGCCCUCGAUAUUCGGUUUGGCUAGAAAAUAGGUGUGGGUGGUCUUUCCGUAGGUCUUCCUCUCGCUCCUAGGUGGCUUCUUCCUCAGUAUGGUGACUCCACUGAACUUUGCAAAACUUGAUAACCUGGUUGCGUGUAACUCAGCUGGCAAACUCGAGAAUCUUGACUUGUUUCUCCUCGUAGGUUAGGUCACUCUCGAACUGAAUUGCUUCCAGGGGCACUGUAUCUCUCAGAGGAAUAUCAACCAUCUCUGCAUGGCACUUCUUCAACUGGGAAACGUGAAACACAUCAUGAACUCCUGACAAACCUUUGGGUAAUUCCAAUUUGUAGGCCAGUUCUCCCAUAUGUUCCAAAACUUGGUAUGGUCCUACAAAUCUUGGGGCUAACUUUCCUUUGACUCCAAAUCGUUUAACUCCUCGAAGUGGUGACACACGAAGAUAUGCUCUAUCUCCGAUUUCGUAGACUACCUCCUUGCAUUUAGUGUCAACAUAACUGUUCUGUCUGGACUGAGAUACCUUCAGUCUAUCACGACUUAACUUAACCUUCUCUCCAUACUCUGGUCCGGUCUCCUACAUCAUCCCACAUCAAUGGUGUCAUGCACCUUCUUCCAUACAAAGAUUCAAAAGGGGUCAUCUUCAAACUGACCUGAUAGCUGUUGUUGUAUGAGAACUCUGUGUAAGGCAAAUUAUCAUCCCAAAUAGAUCCAUAAUCUAGCGCACAAGCUCUCAACAUGUCCUCCAGAAUCUGAUUGACUCUUUUAGUCUGUCCAUCAGUCUAUGGAUGAAAGGCUGUACUGAACUCUAGCCUGGUACCCAAGGUCUGGUGUAACUGAUUCCAAAACUUUGAGGGAAACUUGUUCCUCUAUUUGAUACGAUGGUCCUCUGAACUCCAUGUAGACAUAUGAUCCUGGUCAUAUAUAUCUUGGCCAACUUCGCACUCGUAUAAGUGGUUUUCACGGGUAUAAAGUGGGCCACUUUGGUCAAGCGAUCAACUACUACCCAGAUGGAGUCAUAUCCUGAUCGGGUCCUGGGUAAUCCGGUGAUAAAGUCCAUGCCAAGUUUAUGCCACUUCCAUUCAGGUAUCGGCAUAGGCUAUAAUAAUCCGGCUGGCUUCUGGUGUUCUGCCUUAACUCUCUAACAUACAUCACAUACUGCUACAUACUCGGCAAUAUCCUUCUUCAUACCUGUCCACUAGAAACGUUCCUUCAAAUCCAAAUACAUCUUGGUGUUUCCUGGGUGAAUCGAGUAUGGAGAAUCAUGAGCCUCCUGAAGUAUUAACUUCCUGAUCUCUCGGUCAUUGGGCACAUAGAUUCGGUCCUCAAACCAUAAAGUCUCGUGCUCAUCUUCACGAAAUCCUUUGGCCUUUCCUUUGCUCAUCUUUUCCUUUAUUUCAGCAAUCUCCUUAUCAGUCUUCUGGGCUUCUCGAAUCUUUCCCAAUAAUGUGGACUGAACCUCCAAUGCUGCUACAAAACCUCUCGGAACUAUCUCCAAACAAAGUUCCCUGAGAUCUUUAGCUAACUCCUGUGGUAAUCCUCCAGUUAAGAGAGUAUUAACAGAACUCUUGCGGCUCAAGGCGUCUGCUACUACACUGGCCUUUCCCGGAUGAUAAUGCAGCUUCAUAUCAUAAUCCUUUAUGAGCUCCAACCAUCUCCUCUGCCUGAGAUUCAACUCCUUCUGCGUGAAAAUAUACUUCAGACUCUUAUGAUUCAUGUAUACAUCACAACGGUUUCCAAUAAGAAAAUGUCUCCAUGUCUUGAGCGCAUGCACUACGACUGCUAACUCCAAAUCAUGUGUGGCAUAAUUCAACUCAUGAGGUCGAAGAUGACGUGAGGCAUAUGAAACAACUCUUCCAUCUUGCAUAAGUACACCUCCAAGUUCCAGGCGAGAAGUGUCACAAUACACUUGGAAAUCCUUGCGUAUAUCCGGAAGAAUUAGCACUGGGUUGUAACUAAAUGUUUCUUCAACUCCUAAAAACUGUCCUCACAUUCUUAGGUCCAUUUGAACUUGGUGUCCUGCUUCAACAACUCUGUCAUGGGCUUCGCAAUCUUGGAAACAUUCUCAAUGAACCUCCUAUAGUAUCCUGCGAGUCCAAGAAAACUGCGGAUCUCUCCAACUGAGGCGGGUGCCAACCACUCAGUGAUAGACUAAACCUUGGUAGGGUCUACAGCUAUACCUUCUCCUGAUAUAACAUGUCCAAGAAAUCCAACUUCUUUCAACCAAAAUUCACACUUGCUGAACUUGGCAUAUAGCUGAUGUUCUUUGAGCUUCUCGAGAACUAAGCGCAAAUGUUCCUUGUGUUCCUCUUCAUUCUUCGAGUACACCAAUAUAUUAUCAAUGAGCACCGCAACAAACUUAUCCAAGAACUCCAUGAACACCUUAUUCAUCAUACUCAUAAAAUAGGCAGGGGCGUUAGUGAAUCCAAAAGACAUGACCGUGUACUCAUAUAGCCCAUACCUUGUGGUAAAAGCUAUCUUGGGUAUAUCCUGUUCUCGGAUCUUUAGCUGGUGGUAUCCUGAUCAAAGAUCGAUCUUGGAGAAUACUUUGACUCCCUAUAGUUGGUCAAACAAAUCAUUGAUCAUUGGUAGUGGGUACUUGUUCUUGAUUGUUACUUCAUUCAAUGCAUGAUAAUCAACAACCAUUCUCAAAGAUCCAUCCUUCUUCUCAAAUAAGAGCACUCGGGCUCCCCACGGUGAUGAACUUGGUUGAAUACAACCUUUCUCCAAUAACUCCUUAAUCUGCUUCUUAAUUUCCUCUAGAUCAUUCACGGGCAUCCGAUAUGGUCUCUUCGAUAUUGGUCCGGUGCCUGGCAACAGCUUUAUCAAAAAUUCUAUGUCUCUAUCUGGUGGCAAGCCUGGUAAUUCCUCUAGAAAAACAUCAGGGUAAUCCAUCAUCAGAGGCACUUCCUCCUGAACAACUCCCAAGAGGGAAUUUACUUGGGUCCUCCUUGGCGCAUGCCUAGAUACAUUCUUGAUCCUUUUCCCCUCAGGGGUGGUGAGUAGUAUCGUCUUACUAGCAUAGUCGAUAUUUCCUCCAUACUUCGGUAACCAAUCCAUGCCUAGUAUUAUAUCCAAUCCUUGUGACUCCAAAAUUAUCAGUUUUGAGGGGAAACAUGGCUACCAAUGGUUAAAGGUAACCGAUCACACCAUCGGCUGGCCAUAUACUCUGCUCCUGGCAAGCUUACUAACAUGGGUGACCUAAGGGCUAAGGUUGGCAACUUAAACUUGUCCACAAAUCCCCUUGAUAUGUAUGAAUGUGAUGCGCCGGUGUCAAAUAAAAUGAGAGCGGUAAAUGACUUAAUCAAAAACUUACCAAUCACUGUGUCAGGCUGCUUUUCAACUUCCUCCACAUUGAUUUGGUUCACCUGACCUCUGGUGAAUGGAUUGGGCUUCUUUCCAGAGCUUCCAUUUUAGUUGCCAUUCUUCAACUCAGAACAAUCAUUGGCGUAGUGUCCAGUCUUCCCGCAUUUGUAAUAGGUGACAUGACUUAGGUCCUUCUUAGCGGGUGUUGCUGGGUUCGAACGGUUCUGGCUACUUCUUCCUCCAUUCCCAUUUCCAUUCUUAGGGCCACGUGGUUAUGUGAACUUCCUCCAUUAUGAGUAUGGCCUCCAUGAUUAUGAUGGGUAUGUCCUCCCGAGUUUGGGGUAAAGAGAGGCUUCUGCUGAGCUCCAGAAUUGUACUUCCCCUAUCCAUACUUCCUUUUGCGGCUCUCUACCUUCUGAUGCUUGCCUUCAAUCAUAAGAGCUCUGUCUACCAACUCCUGGUAGUUAGUGAAUGUUGCCACCAUCAACUGCAUACUCAGCUCAUCAUUCAACCCUUCCAUAAACCUCUCAUGCUUCGCGGCAUAUGUGGCCACAUCAUCUGGGGCAUAACAUGCUAACUUACUAAACUCAUCCACGUAUUGUGCCACAGUACAAUUUCCCUAGCGUAAGUUGUGAAACUCACGCUUCUUCAUACACAUAGCUCCAGCUGAGACAUGUGCUAUGCGGAAAGCUUGCUGAAACUGAUCCCAAGUGACAUUAGCCACGGGGAAAGUGGCUAUGUACUUCUCCCACCAUGAGGCUGUGGGUCCAUCCAGUUGAUGUGCGUCAAAGCGCACCUUCUCAGCAUCUGUUCAACUUGCGGUGGUCAGCUCCUUUCCAAUCUUGCAGAGCCAGUCACCAGCAACAAUCAGCUCGGUGCUACUAGAGAACACCAGCGGAUUCAACAUUAGAAACCAGGCUAAGUUGUCAACUGGAGGUGGUGGCGGUGGAUUGUUGUUGUUGUUGUUGUUGUUGUUGUUGUUGUUGUUGUUGUUGUUGUUGUUGUUGUUGUUGUUGUUGUUGUUGUUGCUGUUGUUGUUGCUGCUGGUGUUGUUGUUGUUGUUGUUNNNNNNNNNNNNNNNNNNNNNNNNNNNNNNNNNNNNNNNNNNNNNNNNNNNNNNNNNNNNNNNNNNNNNNNNNNNNNNNNNNNNNNNNNNNNNNNNNNNNNNNNNNNNNNNNNNNNNNNNNNNNNNNNNNNNNNNNNNNNNNNNNNNNNNNNNNNNNNNNNNNNNNNNNNNNNNNNNNNNNNNNNNNNNNNNNNNNNNNNNNNNNNNNNNNNNNNNNNNNNNNNNNNNNNUGCUGUUGUUGUUGUUGUUGUUGCUGUUGUUGUUGCUGUUGUUGCUGUUGGUGUUGUUGCUAUUGUUGUUGCUGUUGCUGUUGUUGCUGUUGCUGUUGUUGCUGAUGUUCAUUUCACACCACUCAAUUCAAACAAGAUCAUACAAUCGAUCUAAGCUACCAUUACAAAAUGCUCGGACUAUUACUAUAUACAUGGGGAAAUACUACUAAUAAUAUGGUGAUCGUCUAGAAAUUUUUAUCGGUGGAAGACUCGAUGAUAUCUGCUCCAGCUUCGUCUUCAUAAUCAUCAUCACUAUCAGGGUCGGAGUCGGUGUCGUCGAUUAUGAUGUAGUCUUCAGGAUGGUUGUCCUCCUCAGGUUCGGGAUCUCCCAUGAAUAUUCCUAGCUUUUUCUUCAGGUCUUGAUUCUUCUCCAGUAGUACUGCAAUUUCUUGUUCAUAUAUAUCGCAUGUAGACUUGAGUUCCUCUUCUAGCUCCAUGUUCCUGGUCAUCAAUUUCUUCAUGUCUAUCAUACUGGCGCACAUCUGGUUCUCCUGACGACGAAUGUGUUGGUUUAACUCCUGGAUGUAAGCUGCAAUGGAUUUAUCCCUCCUGGUGAAAAUCAUCUCCCAUUGCUCGUCUCGAAGUCCACAUAUCUGGUAGAUGGUGUCCUUAAGAUCCUUGUGGUAUACCUCGCCUAUGCGUCCAAUGGCGAUGUGGGCGGACAUGUUCUUUCCUAGACUUCAGGUUGGUGCAUCAAAGGAAAACUCUAUGGGCUCAGUAACUGGUGUGAAUGUCUUUCCUGGAACGUGUACUCGAAUCGUCCAGUGCUCUUCUUCAGGUAGAGUGGCGGUGUAGGUCCCCGUGUAGCUUGGUAAUCCGAUUCUCAGGUACCUAGUGACUUCCUUCAAGUGUCGUCCGAAACGGGUGUCGUCAUCCGGUUGAGCAAACUUGUUCCUUGAGUCCGCCAUCUAUAGAGUAGAAAAUGGAGAAGAGUCACAAAUGAGUAGAGAAGAGUAUCAUGUGGCUUAUCCUAGUGGUCGCGUCCUACAGUCGGCGUGUGCUCUGAUACCAUCUGGUAGCGACCCGACCUCAGACGGUCAAGUCUUUGUGCUUAAGUGUCAUCCCUGGAUCGGUAUUGCUGACACACACAGUACUCGAGGAUUUAUAACAGAGUUCAAUCACACCCUUAUUACAUUGAAUGUCUCAAAAGAGAACUUAUUACAAUAAUAUGGCUGAAGGCCAUCUAAAUAAGAUAACAGCGGAAGCUUCGAAGGUAGAAGAGUCCAUCCAACUCCACGGCAAAACUGAAUGCUUGACAACGACCUAACGCACCUUACUCUUCGUCUAAAAACUCUUCAACAUAAUACGUUGCAACCUGUGUAGGUCAGCAUAUGGAAUAUGCUGGCAAGAUAACACUAUAGAGCAAUGAACGAAUAACAACUAUCACUACAUGCAUAUAUGGCUAGUGGAGGCUCUAUGGUUAUCAUUUUGCAUAAAGCUAGUUUUCCCCUACAACAACGGAAUAUGAUUUAUUUAACUAUAAAGUUGGUUGAAAACAUUGAGAAGGUAACCCCAACUCAAUCCCAAUUUAAAAGUUUAAUAACCCGACUAAUUAAGUAGAGUGAUGAGAUCAACAUAAUAAUUCAAGUACCAGAUACUCAGGAUGUCCAUAACCAGGGACACGGCUAACCAUGAUUAGUUUAUACAUUCUGCAGAGGUUUGCGCACUUUUCCCCACAAGACUCGAUCUCCUCCGUUGGAUUUCUCGCACUACAGGGUGUUCGAGAAACGGAUGAUCGAGACACAGUAUUUCAGAAGAGUUAGCUCGUUACGACGGGUAGAUAGUACCACCUAUAUCCCCUACAUCUGCUAGUCUACCACUAUAAGAGGUCACACAACAUACUCAACUAUGCCAGAGCCCAUAAUGGCUUGUGGCUGCACACGGAAGUUUCCAACAUAAAUAACAUAAUGAUCGCUUUAAGCCUGGGUGGCAAACCAUAGGAAAAUCACACGGAUAACCCAGGAUCUCCUUGGACAACACUGGAUUCCCCAGGUGCCCACAAACCAAUCCACCCAGAUGUGUAUUAAAGUAGCCACAUUAAGUUAAACCUUAGUUAACAAUAAUCUCUCACAUCUUUCAUGAAUUCUCUCAAACCAAACCACGUCUACGAGCAUAGCAUAGCAGUAUAAGCAUACAUAGUAAAUACCCAGGGUUUGAAAGUAAGACAAUAUGUACUGCCUCAUCAACUACUUCCUAAUACCCACAUGUUAAUCAAAUCCUACUCAUGCAAUGUUUAAGGGUUGAAACUAAUGCAUAAAAACUGGGUAAUAAAGGGAUAUGAUCAAAGUGUUACUUGCCUUGCUGGCGAUCGGAAAACCCUAGAUAUUCGUAGUAGCAUGCUCUGCACUCUGGAAACUCUAUCAUGAACAAACAAUAGCAUACAUAAGCACUCAAGCAUAAUAUGCAAAAAGUAAAACCCAAAAGAAAAGAUCCAAACUGAAAGUUCAAGUGAAGAGCUUCGAUUUGCAAAAAGAAUCAAUCGAAUUGGAGCUACGAAACUCAAACUAUGAUCAAAAGAAGUUCAAAAACAAUUCUGCUUGAAACUAAAUUUUAAAUUGUCAAAACCAUGUUCAAGUGGAUUAUUUGGAAAGAGGGGAACAAGACGAAGAUUUUGGCGUUGGUUUCACUGGAUUUGGAUAAACGAGCAAAAAGUAGUGAAUGUUUGAAGAUCAGGGACUAAUCUGCGAUAAAAGUAUUUCUGGAUAGGUCCCUGCCCGAAAAAUAAAACUAAAAAGAAAAACCUAAUGAACGAACGUUCGUCAACAGAAACUAACGAACGAACAUGUUCGCUAACAGAGAGAAAUGGCUGAACGUUCGCUAACUAGCGAACCCUAAAAAAAUAAAACCGAUCUAAACGAAUAAACCGAAAAAACCGGGGCGAGUUUUCACGGUUUUUUCCGGUUCGACGGUUUUCGACGGAUAAACGACAGCGGAUCCGGGCGGUGGCGGUUGCGGUGGCUCCAGCGAAUGGCGCGUCGGCGGGGCUGCGGGGUGGGGCGGUGUGGGCGGCAGCGGCGGCGCGGGGNNNNNNNNNNNNNNNNNNNNNNNNNNNNNNNNNNNNNNNNNNNNNNNNNNNNNNNNNNNNNNNNNNNNNNNNNNNNNNNNNNNNNNNNNNNNNNNNNNNNNNNNNNNNNNNNNNNNNNNNNNNNNNNNNNNNNNNNNNNNNNNNNNNNNNNNNNNNNNNNNNNNNNNNNNNNNNNNNNNNNNNNNNNNNNNNNNNNNNNNNNNNNNNNNNNNNNNNNNNNNNNNNNNNNNNNNNNNNNNNNNNNNNNNNNNNNNNNNNNNNNNNNNNNNGGCAGCGGCUCGGCUGCGGCAGCGGGGCUGCGGGUUUGGUGGAGGUAGAGGGGGCGGUGGUGGCGGCAUAUAAAGGGGGGAAAGGGAGGCGGCGGGGUGGUUUGCGGGAGGGGCGGUGUCCCCGUGUCCUGGUCGGACACGGCGACGGCGGCGGGCGAACUCGGGACUCCGGUCCCGAGCCGGAGGAAGGUGGCAGCGCGCUAGGCCGUGGCCCGGCUACAGCUGGGCCGGCCCAGGAAGAAGUUUUUUUACAAAAAAAUCCGCCGUGAAAAUAAAAAAAUCCUAAUAAAAUAUUAAAAAGUUCCAGAAACAAUUUUCACCGUCCAAACCUAAUGUUUUUAGGACAAGAUGAACAUUUUUGUGGACUAAAAUGCAAUUUUCAAAGAUGCAUGUUUUUUCUCUAAUUCAAAUAAAAUAGCAAAUAAAAUACAAAUAAAAAUAAUUUGAUUUUAAAAUUUCUUCUCCAAUGUUUCUCUUCUGUUUGGAGAAGUCAUUUUAUCUUCUCUCAUUUAUUUUUGUUAUUGGAAAUAAUUGGAGAGAAAAUAUUAAAACCAAAUUGAUCCCCUUUUCAAAUUUGAAACUGAAUUCAAAUAUGAAAAUUUGUGAAUCCUCCAACUCUCUCCUUGAGUCCUUGAGUUGCUUAAGAUUUCUAGGAUCACAACCAAAUGCAAAUAAAAAAUGAUAUGCAUAUGAUGAUCUGUGUAUAACAUCCAAAUUGAAAAUUGGGAUGUUACAAGCAAAGUGUCAAAGGAGAGUUUCGUCAGCACGAUGGCAUGGUGAUGGUGAUGGUGAAGCAAUCCACGUACGUAGGGCUUCGCCUAAGCACUACGUGAAUAUGACCGGAGGCGUAAACUGUGGAGGGGGGCGCCGCACACGGCUAACAGAUGUUUGUGUGUCCUCUAGGCGCCCCCUCACUACAUAUAUAGGUUGGAGGGGGGAAGUGGCAGAUAGGGGGCACCCAAGUAGGCCAAAACCUACUUGGAUUCCCACCCUAAUUCGCCCCUUCCUUGUUUUGGCACUAGGAGGAGGAAGGAGGAUGUGCCCCCCUUUCCUUUCUCCCUUGAGAAGGGGAAGGAAAGAGGGGCUAGCCCUCCUCCCUUGCCUUCCCUAGGGCUGGCCAGCCUGGUGGAGGGCCGCACCAGCCCACUAUGGCCUGGUCUGUCCCCUUAGGCCCAUUAAGCCCAUAUAGCUUGUCGAGGGUUGCCCGGAACCCCUUCCGGUGACCCGAUACGUACCCAGUACCCCGGGAACACUUCCAAUGUCCAAAUACUAUCGUCCUAUAUAUGAAUCUUUACCUCUCGACCAUUUCGAGACUCCUCGUCAUGUCUGUGAUAUCAUCCGGGACUCCAAACAACAUUCGUUCACCAAAUCACAUAACUCAUAUAAUACAAAAUCGUCAUCGAAUGUUAUGCAUGCGGACCCUACAGGUUCGAGAACUAUGUAGACAUGACCGAGACACCUCUCCGGUCAAUAACCAAUAGCGGAAUAUGGAUUCUCAUAUUGGUUCCUACAUAUUCUAUGAAGAUCUUUAUCGGUUGUACCGUAAUGAUAACAUACUCCCUCCUUCCAUCCAUAUAGGGCCUAAUGCGUUUUUCAAGAUCGCCUUUGACUAUUGACAAGAUUAAUAGUAUAUGAAAUGUAUAAUGUGAAAAUUAUAUCAUUGGAAGAUCAUACGAAUUUGACAGUAUGCUUUGUGUAAGUUGCAUGUCAUAUAUGCUCUAAUAUUUGGUCAAACUAAGCCUCAAAAAACAUAUUAGGCCCUAUAUAGAUGGAAGGAGGGAGUACGUUAUUCCCUUUGUCAUCGGUAUGUUACUUGCGCGAGAUUCGAUCGUCGGUAUCUUCAUACCUAGUUCAAUCUCGUUACCGGCAAGUCUCUUUACGCGUUCCGUAAUGCAUCAUCCCGCAACUAACUCAUUACUCACAUUGCUUGCAAGGCUUAUAAUGAUGUGCAUUACCGAGAGGGCCCAGAGAUACCUUUCUGAUACUCGGAGUGACAAAUCCUAAUCUCGAUCUAUGCCAACCCAACAAACACCUUCGGGGAUACCUGUAGAGCAUCUUUAUAUUCACCCAGUUACGUUGUGACGUUUGAUAGCACAUAAGAUAUUCCUUCGGUAUCCGGGAGUUGCAUAAUCUCAUAGUCAAAGGAAUAUGUAUUUGACAAGAGGAAAGCAAUAGCAAUAAAACUUAACGAUCAUUAUGCUAAGCUAACGGAUGGGUCUUGUCCAUCACAUCAUUCUCCUAAUGAUGUGAUCCCGUUCAUCAAAUGACAACACAUGUCUAUGGCUAGGAAACUUAACCAUCUUUGAUUAAUGAGCUAGUCUAGUAGAGGCUUACUAGGGACACUGUGUUUUGUCUAUGUAUCCACACAUGCACUACAAAAAAAGACACAUCCGUGACAUUUUGGGCCGAACAAUUUUUUUUUCUGUCAUACAUAUGACACUUCUAUGACGAUAAUUGUGACAAAACCCGAUAUCAUCAUAGAUAUGGUGGGCUCCUACUUCUAUGACAAAAAAUCAUGACAGAAAAUGGGCUUUUAGUCCUGGGCGGGCCGGAGACACAGCUGCAUGACAUUCUUUGGGCCGUCCAUGACGGAAAAAACUGUGGUAGAAGCGAGGGGGAGGAAAAUUUCGGGGAGUUCCCGGUUACGGUGGGAGGUUGGGACCGAGCGAUGCGCGUUUCUCUCGUACACGUACGCGCGUGUGUGCGAGGCGUUGGCUCUAACUGAACCCGAGCGAGGCGUUGGGCUCCAACUGAACCCAAGCGAUUGCAGUGCAGGCUACGUGUUACUGAACCCGAGCGAUCGAUCGAUGGCUAUUAACUGAACCGAUCGAGCGAUUCCUUCGCUACUGCUGCUAACUGAAGCCGAUCGAUGCUGCCUCUGGAUGAACAGUGAGCGUUGCGGGGGGAGGGGGGGUUGGAUGAACAUUUCCCUGUGGGGGUGGAUGAACAGGACCCCGUGGUGUUGCCUCUGGAUGAACAGGACCCCGAUCGAUCGAGCCGGUUGGGGCUAGAUGAACAGGACCCCGUGGAGGGCUGGAUGAACAGGACCACCCCGUGGAGGGCAGGAUGAACAUUAGACGGUGGAGGGCAGGAUGAACAGUAGCCCGUGGAGGGGUGGUUGAACAAGAGCCCGUGGAGAGGGCUGGUUGAAUAGUAGCCGGUGGAGUAGCGCGCGGCGGAGGCUGGAUGAACAGGAGCCCGUGGAUGAACAGUCGCAGGUGGAGGCUGGAGGAGGUCGACGGUGGAUGAACAGUAGCUCAUGGAGGCUGGAGGGAUUCGACGGUGGAGAUGAACAGUAUCCCGUGGAGUCCCGUUUUGCGGUACGCCACACCCCUCCCGAUGAACAGGACCCCCGUUUCGACCGUAGCUCUCCAACACAAGUCUGUUUCGUCCGUUUUGCUGUACGCCACACCCCACCCGAUCAACAAGACCCCCGUUUCGACCGUAGGAGGUCCGUUUCCUCCGUUUUGAGGUAUGCCAGACCCCUCCCGAUGAACAGGAUCCCGUUUCAAACGUGGCCGGUCGAACACAAGGCCGUUUCCUCUUUUCCACGGUACGCCAGGCCUUGUUUCCAUCGCAUGUUCCGUCCAAGCCCUCCCGAUGAACACGACGCAUUUCGUUGCCUCCCCAUGAACACGAUGCAUUCCGUUGCCUCCCCAUGAACAUGAGGCAUUCCGUUGCCUCCCCAUGAACACGACGACGACGCUGUUUCUCUGUUCCGACCCAGCCAUGUACACGAGCCAUGGCCGUACGUAUGCGCGAGUAGGCGUUCAAGACCCCGCCCGUAUGUACACAUACGUGGCCGUAUUUUCUUUCUUGCACCCUGGCCGCCUCUACUACGACACAUGCGCGCCUCUACAUCGACCAGUAUAUAUGUACGUACACAUUCGCGACCAGAAUGACAACGCUACGUAUGCUUCGACCAGGUGGGUCCCGACUGUCAGGCACUUCCUUGCGUGCGAAGAUGUAGCUGGUGGGUCCCAGCAGUCAGGGGGGCGAAAUACGGUAGCCCGUCCGGUGGGUCCCGCUGUCAGGUGGAGGAAUAAUUAUUUUGCACGUAAUAAGGAGGCACUUCCUUGCUGUGGCCGUGGACCCAGCUGUCAGCCUCUCCACGUACAGUCCAUGUCCGAUGGAAGCCGUUCCUUGACCACGUUGACCACGCCGCACCGAGAGCACCAGGGCGGUGGACGGCGGCGAGGCCUAGGAAGGGGACGACGCGGCAGUGGAUGCCCACGCGUAGAGGAGUAUGAGGGUUCACUGGUUCGCUGCGGUGUGAGGCUGCCGUCGCCGCAGAAUAACAGGGGGUGUGGGUGAGUAGAGGGAUGGCCUGGCCAGCGGUGGGAGUAGUUGGGGGCGGUGAGGCCUCCGCCGCAUCGCAGCCGGCCAUGGGAGGCAGGAGCACGAGGCACGACCGACGCUGGUUUGGGUGGCUGGAGCAAGAAGACCAGAGGUUGAAGAAGCACUACGGCCGUUGGAUGGACAUCGUACGGUCACUGGAGCUAGAAUCGUGCAUAUUGACUAAGUUGACAAAGCCCUCCGUCCCCGUCAACUUAGUAGGCCCACAAGUCAGUCUGCCACUAUACUGGGUCCCAGCUAACAAGGGGAGUAUUCAUUUUUUUGUGCGUAAUAAGGAGGCACUUCCUUGCGUGCGAAGAUAUAGCUGGUGGGUCCGAGUUGUCAGUGGCGGUAAUGUUUUUUCGUGAAACACAGAGGCCCUUUCGGUGGGUCCCCGAUGUCAGGUGGAGGAAUCAUUAUUUUGCGCGUAAUACAGAGGCAUUUCCUUGCGUGCGGCCAUGGACCCAGCUGUCGGCCUCUCCACAUAAAGUCCAUUUCAAAUGCAUGUCGGUCGUUGACCACGUUGACCAGGCUGAGCUGAGAGCACCAGGGCGGUGGACGACGGCGAGGCCUAGGAAGGGGAUGACAUGGUGGCAGGGAAGAGUCGGCAGUUGUUUCCUACGCGGAGGGGAGUAUGACUAUACGAGGGUUUACUGGUUCGUCUACCAUCGCUGGAGAAUAACAGCAGGUGUGGGUGAGUAGAGGGAUGGCUAGGCUAGCUAUGGGAGUACAUUUGGGCGGUGAGGCCUAUGCGGCAGCACAGCCGGCCGCGAGGAGGAGGGAGCAGGCAGUCCCGCUGGUGCUUGUUUGAGCGGCUGGAGCAGGAAGAACAGAGAUUGAAGAAGCACGACGGCCUUUGGAUGGACAUCCAACAGUCAGUGCUUGUGCGUCAACCUUUUUUUAGGAAAGCCUCAAAUCUGUGGAAAACAAUAUACAACCCAUCUGCCAUUAUUUCUAAUAAUUUAUAGCUCAUUUGCUAAUUCUUAAGGUUUUUUUGGAGCUCGUAUUCUUUUUGUUAGCAUUACAGCCCAUAUUGUGACAAUUGUUAAAAAAUUAUACGAAAUUUUGCAUAUUUCGGUGCGGUCCAAACUGUUUUUAAUCCCGAAAUUUUGACUCUCAUUCAAACUGAUUUUAAAAAUGAAUGUAUAUCAAUAUAAAAUCCAACAAAUUCUCCACGCAUAAAAAUUAAUGUAAUUUAAAAUCUUGAAAUGAAAAAAAUAUAUUUGAAACUAAUUGCCAGUUUGAUGUGUUUUAAAAAUGUACAACCCAUUUCUCAUUACUGAUGGGCCAUUUUCUCGGCCAGCCGAAUGAAAGCUCUUCCCGUCUUGAAAGAUUUGCAGCCCAACAGGCCUGACAAAGCGACUUACUUGGCAAAUCACAAAAAAACUGGGCUGUGGCCGUGGACCCAGCUGUCAGCCUCUCCACGUAUAGUACUCUUCCGAUGGAAGUCGUUCCUUGACCACGUUGACCACGCCGUGCGGAGAGCACCACGGUGGUGGACGACAGCGAGGCCUAGGAAGGGGACGACGCGGAGCCAGGGAAGACGCGGCAGUGGAAGCCCACGCGGAGAGGACUACGAGGGUUCACUGGUUCGGCUGCGGUGUGAGGCUGCCAUCGCCGCAGGGCCUGGCCAGCGGUGGGAAUAGUAGGGGGCGGUGAGGCCUCUACGGGAGGCAUGACCGACGCAGCUUUGGGCAGCUGGAGCAAGAAGACCCGAGGUUGAAGAAGCACUACGGGCCUUGGAUGGACAUCGUACGGUCACUGGAGCUAGAAUCGUUCAUAUUGACUAAGUUGACAAAGCCCUUCAUCCCCGUCAACUUAGUAGGCCCACAAGUCAGCCACCCAGCAAGGUGGGUCCCAGCUAGUCGGGGGAGUAUUCAUUUUUUUGUGCGUAAUAAGGAGGCACUUUCGGUGGGUCCGAGAUGACAGCGGGGGGAACGCUUUUUCGCGAAAUACGAUAGCCCAUCCGGUGGGUCCCAGCAGUUAGGGGAAACGAUUUUUUUCGCAAAAUACUGGUGGCCCGUCCGGUGGGUCCCCGCUGUCAGGUGGAGGAAUAAUUAUUUUCCGCGUAAUAAGGAGGCACUUCCUUGCGGCUGCCGUGGACCCAGCUGUCAGCCUCUCCAUGUAUAGUACUCUUCCGAUGGAAGUCGGUUGUUGACCACAUUGACCACGCCGCGCCGAGAGCACCACGGCGGUGGACGGCGGCGAGGCCUAGGAAGGGGAUGACACGGAGCCGUGCAAGACGCGGCAGUGGAUGCCCACGCGGAGAGGAGUACGAGCGUUCACUGGUUCGGCUGCGGUGUGAGGCUACCGUCGCCGCAGAAUAACAAGGGGUGUGGGUGAGUGGAGGGAUGGCCUGGCUAGUGGUGGGAGUAGUAUGGGGGCGGUGAGGCCUCCGCGGUAGCACAGCCGGCCACGGGAGACAGGAGCAGGCGGCACGACCGGCGCUGUUUGGGCGGCUGGAGCAAGAGGACCAGAGGUUGAAGAAGCACUAUGGCCAUUGGAUGGAUAUCAUACGAUCACUGGAGUAUUGACUAAGUUGACAAAGCUCUCCGUCCCUAUCAACUUAGUAGGCCCACAAGUCAGCCCAACAACAUGGUGGGUCCCAGCUAGCAGGGGGGUAUUCAUUUUUUUGGGCAUAAUAAGGAGGCACUUCCUUGCGUGCGAAGAUAUAGCUGGUGGGUCUGACCUGUCAGCGGGGGGAACAUUUUUUUCACGAAAUACAGAGGCCCUUCAUGUGGGUCCUAGCUGUCAGGUGGAGGAAUCAUUAUUUUGCGCGUAAUAAGGAGGCAUUUCCUUGCGUGCGCCCGUGGACCCAGCUGUCAGCCUCUCCACGUACAGUCCAGUUCCGAUGGAUGUCGUUCAUUGACCAUGUUGACCAGGCCGCGCCGAGAGCACCAGGGCGGUGGACGACAGCAAGGCCUAGGAACAUAACGACACGGAGCCAGGGAAUACUCGGCAGUUGUUUCCCACACGGAGGAGUACAAGGGUUUGCGGUUCGCCUGCCGUCGCCGGAGAAUAACAGCAGGUGUGGGUGAGUAGAGGGAUGGCUAGGCCAGCGAUGGGAGUACGGUGGGGCCGUGAGGCCUGCGCGGCAGCAUAGCCGGCUGCGGGAGGAGGGAGCAUGCGGUCCCGCCGGCGCUUGUUUGAGCGGCUUGAGCAUGAAGAGCAGGGAUUGAAGAAGCACGACAGCCGUUGGAUGGACAUCCAACAGUCACUGCUCUCGUGUGUUGACUAAGUUGACAGGGCGUUGCGUGUGCGUCAACCUUUUUUUUAUGAAAGCAUAUGCGUCAACCUGUAGUAGGCGCACAAGUCAGCCUCAAAUCUAUGGAAAGCAGCAUACAUCCCAUCUGCCAUUAUUUCUAAUAAUGUACAGUCCAUUUGCUAAUUCGUAAGAAUUUUUUUUGGAGCCCAUCUUCUUUUUGUUAGCAUCACACCCCAUAUUGUGGCCACGGUUAAAAAGUAUAUGGAAUUUUGCUUAUUUCCGUGCGGUCAACUGUUUUUAAUCCAGAAAUAUCGAUUCACAUUCAAUCUAUUUUGAAAAAUAAUUUAUAUAAAUAUAAAAUCCAAAUAAUUGUCCACGCAUAAAAAUCAAUGGAAUUUAAGAUCUUGUAAUGAAAAAAAUUGAAACUAAUUCCCGGUUUGAUGUGUUUUAAAAAUGUACAACCCAUUUCUGGGCAAACCGAAUGAAACUCUGCUCGUCUUGAAAGAUUUGCAGCCCAGCAGGGCCGAUAAAGCAAGUAGGCCUUGUUUGGGUAUUUCUUUUAAAAAAUAGAACUGGGCUAGCCAUUUUUCAGCAAGAAAAAAACACAACUGGGCUCAUGAUGUGGUAAACAUAAAUAAAACCCUGGCUAGAUGGGCCACAGCCCCCGCACAACCCCGUUGUUACCCUGAUCUGUCGCAAAAACUAGUAUAAAUAACAACUGCUUGUUCCUAAAAAAACGCGCGACUUGCUGGGUCCCUCGUGUCAGCCACUCGUAGUGUAAUUUUCUCGUUUAUUGACUAGUUGACAAUGGCGUGAGCCCCAGAUGUCCAACCAUUAGGAUGAACCAUAUUUUUGGGCUUGUACUAUAGAGGCACUUGCUUGCGUACUGCCAUGACGCUGGUGGGUCCCUACUGUCAUCCUCUCCACGUACAGUCAUCUCCUUGUUCCUCUUGGUUGUUGACGACGUUGACAACGCAAGAGGGCGGCGCACCGCGCACGGCGAGCGAACUAAGUCCGCAAGGCGGAGGACGAGGCGAGGCCUCGGAUGGAACGAACAGGAGCCGUUCAAGAUGCGCCGGUCCAGUCGCAGGCGGAGGGGAGUGCGAGGGUUGACUGGUUCGGGCGCGGGUGCGUGUUGGGGCUGACGUUGCCGGAGAAUAAUAGGACGUGUGGGGGAAUAGAGGGAGGGACUGGCCAACGUUGGAGGGUAUGUACGGUAGGGCGGCGGAGGCGCAGCCAGCCAUGGGAGGCGGGAGCAGGCAGAGCCGACGGGGUGGUUUGGUUUGGGCGAUUGGAGGAAGAAGAAGACAAGAGAUAGAAGAUACACGGCAGAUGUUGGAUGUCAAUCCAACGGCUGGUAGGCAGAAUCGUUUGUUGACUGGCUAGUAAGUCGACACCACCUUGCAUAGGCUAUUUCCUUGCGGGUCCCAAAUGUCAGAAUCCAAAUCUGUCACGGUCAUGCAGCCUUUCCUAUGAAAAUUUACAGCCCAUUUGAUAUGCUAGUUCGAAAUAAGUUUGUGGGUGCUGGUGGGGGCUAAUCACUUGGCUUCUGUAAUGCACAGUGAGCUCAAGCAGCCGGCGAGAGUGAUGUUAUUUCCCUUGGUUUAGAUUUGUUACAAUAUUUCACUCUAAAUUAAACGAAUGGCAAGCCAUUUGCCUUGUUUCAAAGAAAAUAUGACAGUCACAGCCGAGUUGAAAAGGGCAGGAACAUCUAACUCCAGCUUACAAACUGUACAAAAGCACGAGGGUUAAUUGUUCAUCAGGUUUACAAAAAAACCAGAUUGAAAAGGGCAACAACAUCUAACUCCAGCACUAUUUUCGGCAGUCACAGUCAAAUGGAUCGGUCAGGUCCAUAGUAUGAACAUCCUGGGUCGUAAAAUUUACUGGAUUAUGACCACAAUAUGUUGUAAAUAGAAGCCCGGCACGUUCAGAAGUUCUUUUGCCCACCUGAAACUCCUUUUUUGCUCUUUGACAUACCCAUCCGUCAAAACCAUGCUGUUGAUAAACUUAAGCCUGAUGGACAAUAGUAACCUCGCAUUCAGCAGGAAGAAUGUGACAAAUCUUGUGUUUGCACGGUUGGCUACAUAUCGUUCUAACGUUAUUGUCUUCAAUCAAAUCUGAUGAGAAGUGAGAAAAUCCCGAUGCUUACGAAUCCACCGAUUGGUUAUAACUUUCUUGCCCUAUCAUGUUGCCUAAAUAGACAUGAAGAUUGAAAACAGUUAAGGUCUAAAAGAAGAGUGUCGAAAGAGAAACAGCUGAACGGUUAAUUCUAGUACACUAUAUGCGGGCUUCCAAUGUGCGUGAAAUUAUCACCUUUAUAUACAACUUCUCCAGACAUGGAAAGCAUUGCAGCAAGCUAAUAAUCUUAUUCAGAUCAAAACUAUUCAUUUGGAUAUAUAAGAUCUUGAUAGAAUCCAGCACCAUUGAUAGGCCAUCCAUGGAGAAACUCUUCAUUGAGCAUAGAACAUAAUAUUAGUACAAAAUGUGUACUCCAAGCUGAUAUAUAAAUUAUGCACAAAAAUUUAAAAUGCAUCUUAUGGUUACAAGUGUAGAGGAUAAUAUAAAGUACCUGAAGAACUGUGGAGCCAAACACCAUAUUGAAAUGAGCACAAAGAUCAUGUAUUACACCCAAGGUCUCCAGUUUAGGCGCAGAGAGGACGGUUAUUUGCAACGGUGAAUAACUAGAAUCAAGGAUCAACCUUUGAAGUGAAGGGGCAUCUUGGAUGAUGAGCUUCCUUCCGUCAAAAGAAAUUCCAAUUCUUACAAGGUUAGGCGACUUUAUUUGGAGACAACCGAUUCUAAAUGUGAAAACAAGCACCAAGCACUCCAGCACAGGGCAACUGGAGUGGAUGAUGUUGUGCAAUGAGGCCUCCGAUAUACGAACCCGCACAAGUGAAAGUUUCUUGAGAAAUGGGAGUCGAAGGUUUAGUACCAGAUUGUCUGGUAGGUAGCACUGCGUAAAGGUGGCGGUUGAUACGUCUCCGUCGUAUCUACUUUUCCAAACACUUUUGCCCUUGUUUUGGACUCUAACUUGUAUGAUUUGAAUGGAACUAACCCGAACUGACGCUGUUUUCAGCAGAAUUGCCAUGGUGUUUGUUUUAUGUGCAGAAAACAAAUAUUCUCGGAAUGACCUGGAACUCCACGGAACAUCUUAGAAAAAAUAAUAAAAAAUCCUUGCCAAAGAUGAAGACCAGGGGGCCCACACCCUUCUAACGAGGGUGGGGGGCACCCCCCCAGGGCGCGCCCCCUACCUCGCGGGCCCCCUGGAUGCCCUCCGACGCCAACUCCAACUCUAUAUAUUUGCUUUCGGAGAGAAAAAAUCAGAGAGAAGAAAUCAUCGUGUUUUACGAUACGGAGCCACCGCCAAGCCCUAAAACCUCUCGGGAGGGCUGAUCUGGAGUCUGUUCGGGGCUCUAAAGAGGGGGAUUCGUCACCGUCUCCAUCAUCAACCAUCCUCCAUCACCAAUUUCAUGAUGCUCACCGCCGUGCGUGAGUAAUUCCAUCGUAGUAUUGCUGGACGGUGAUGGGUUGGAUGAGAUUUAUCAUGCAAUCGAGUUAGUUUUGUUAGGGUUUGAUCCCUAGUAUCCACUAUGUUCUGAGAUUGAUGUUGCUAUGACUUUGCUAUGCUUAAUGCUUGUCACUAGGGCCCGAGUGCCAUGAUUUCAGAUCUGAACCUAUUAUGUUUUUAUGAAUAUAUGUGAGUUCUUGAUCCUAUCUUGCAAGUCUAUAGUCACCUACUAGUUAUGAUCCAGCAACCCCAAAGUGACAAUAAUCGGGACCACUCCCGGUGAUGACCAUAGUUUGAGGAGUUCAUGUAUUCACUAUGUGCUAAUGCUUUGCUCCGGUUCUCUAUUAAAAGGAGGCCAUAAUAUCCCUUAGUUUCCAAUAGGACCCCGCUGCCACGGGAGGGUAGGACAAAAGAUGUCAUGCAAGUUCUUUUCCAUAAGCACGUAUGACUAUAUACAGAAUACAUGACUACAUUACAUUGAUGAAUUGGAGCUAGUUCUGUGUCCCCCUAUGUUAUGACUGUUACAUGAUGAACCGCAUCUGGCAUAAUUAUCCAUCACUGAUCCGGUGCCUACGAGUUUUCCAUAUACUGGUCCUCACUUAUUUACUUUCCCGCUGCUACUGUUACAAUCACUACAAAAUACCAAAAACAUUACUUUUGUUGUCUUUACUUUUGUUGCUGCUACUACCACUAUCAUAUUACUGUGCUACUAAACACUUUGCUGUAGAUACUAAGUUUCCAAGUGUGGUUCAAUUGAAAACUCAGCUGUUAAUACUUGAGAAUAUUCUUUGGCUCCCCUUGUGUCGAAUUAAUAAAUUUGGGUUGAAUACUCUACCCUCGAAAGCUGUUGCGAUCCCCUAUACUUGUGGGUUAUCAAGACCAAUUUCUGGUGCCGUUGCCGGGGAGCAUAACUCUAUUCUUUGAGUCACUUGGGAUUUAUAUCUGCUUAUCACUAUGAAGAACUUGAGAGAUCCAAAAACCAAGAUCUAUCCCUCAACUACGAGGGGAGGUAAGGAACUGCCAUCUAGCUCUGCACUUGAUUCACCUUCUGUUAUGAGUAAGUUUGCGACACCUACACCUGCUUCUGCUAUUCGUUCUGAUAUGUCGCAUGUUAUUGAUGAUGCCACUUCUGCUAUGCAUGAUACUUAUGAUGAAACUGCUUCUAUGCUUGAUACUACUGUGCCCCUUGGUGAAUUUCUUGAUGAACAAAUUGCUAGGGCUAGAGAAAAAGAAAUUAUUGAAUCUGAAUACGUUGAUGAUAGUGAUGCUGAAAAUAUGACUGUUAUUCCUGAGGGUUAUCUUUUUGAUAUGGAAUCUUCUAUCGCUAUUUUAGCUUGCAAAGAUAGAUAUGAGCUUAAGAGGUUAUUAAUUAAAUGGAACAACGAAUCACUUAGACAUAAAAUGAAACCCGACCCUGCUUUUGCUACUUCACCUAUUUGUGUUCCCGAUAAGGAUUAUGAAUUCUCUGUUGAUCCUGAUAUAAUUACUCUGGUUGAAUCUGAUCCGUUUUAUGGCUAUGAAUCUGAAACUAUUGUGGCACAUCUUACUAAGUUAAAUGAUAUAGCCGCCCUGUUUACUAAUGAUGAGAGAUCACGUUACUUUUAUAUACUCAAAAUAUUUCCGUUCUCAUUAAAGGGUGAUGCUAAGAUAUGGUUUAAUUCUCUUGAUUCUGGUUGGGUGCGUAGUCCCCAGGAUAUGAUUUAUUACUUCUCUGCUAAAUAUUUCUCUGCUCAUAAGAAACAAGCUACUUUGAGGGAAAUACACAACUUCGUGCAAAUUAAAGAAGAGAGUCUCCCACAAGCUUGGGGGAGGCUUCUCAAGUUACUUAAUGCUUUGCCUGAUCAUCCUCUUAAGAAACCUGAAAUACUUGAUAUCUUUUAUAAUGGACUAACCGAUGCUUCCAGAGAUUACCUAGAUAAUUGUGCUGGUUCUCUUUUCAGGGAAAGAAGACCGGAUGAAGCUGAAAUUCUAUUGAAUAAUAUGUUGACAAAUGAAAAUAAUUGGGCACCUCCUGAGCCAGCUCUUGAGCCAACUCCUGCUCCAAUUACUGAACCUAUUCCUAAACCAACUCCAAAGAAGAGAGGUGUUCUAUUUCUCAGUCCCGAAGAUAUGCAAGAGGCAAAGAUUGCAAAGAAAUCUAUGAAAGAGAAAGGUAUUAAAGCUGAAGAUGUUAAGAAUUUACCUCCUAUUGAAGAAAUACAUGGUCUUAAUAUACCGCCUGUUGAAGAAACCUAUGAUCUCAAUUCUUUAUUUACUGAAGAACCUCCUGAUCCCGAUAUCCCGACACAGGUAGUAAAGGUAAAUUCUCUCUAUAGAUAUGAUAAAGCUGAAGUCUCUCCUACUAAAAUUGCUAGUCAGUGCUUGGAUGAGUUUGAUAACUUUAUGUUUAAGCAAGACGACUUCAAUGCUUAUUUUGGUAGACAAUUAAAAGAAAAUUCUUAUGUGAUUAGACGCUUGGGUGAUUAUAUGGCUAAUAUUAAAGGUGAACUUAAACUUGUUAGCAAACAUGCUUCUAUGGUUACCACUCAAGUAGAACAAGUACUUAAGGCUCAAAAAGAAGUGCUUGAUGAAAUGAAUAGUAAGAAAAAUGAUUAUGCUAUUAGAGUGGCUACUAGAACUGGUAGAAUGACUCAGGAACCUUUGUAUCCUGAAGGCCACCCUAAGAGAAUCGAGCAAGAUUCUCAAAGAAAUAAUAUUGAUGUUCCUAGUUCUUCUAAAAAGAAGAAGAAGAAAAAUGAUAGAACUAUGCAAACUUCUAGUGAACCUAUUGCUGAACCACCUGAUAAUCCAAAUGAUAUUUCUAUGUCUGAUGCUGAAACACAAUCUGGUAAUGAACAUGAACCUAAUGAAAAUAUUAAUGAUGAUGUUCAUGAUGAUGCUCAACCUAGUAAUGACAAUGAUGUAGAAGUUGAACCUUGGGAACAUGGUAAAGAAAGGGAACCGUGGGUUCAGAAACCCAUGCCUUUUCCUACGAAACCAUCCAAGAAAAAGGAUGAUGAGGAUUUUGAGCACUUUGCUGAAAUGAUUAGGCCUAUCUUUUUGCGUAUGAGAUUAACUGAUGUGCUCAAAACAAAUCCUUAUGCUAAAUAUAUGAAGGAUAUCAUUACUAAUAAAAGAAAGAUACCGGAAGCUGAAAUAUCCACCAUGCUUGCUAACUAUACUUUUAAGGGUGGAAUACCAAAGAAACUUGGAGACCCCGGAGUACCUACUAUACCUUGCUCCAUUAAAAGAAAUUAUAUUAAAACUGCUUUAUGUGAUCUUGGAGCCGGUGUUAGUGUUAUGCCUCUCUCUUUAUAUCGUAGACUCACUACAAGAAAUAUGUCAACUUGUGACCUUCUGUGAGUGACCCUGGAAGAAUUGGUCAUAGAUCUAUGACCAUUUCAGACCAAUUGGUCAAAAGUUGUUCGGGGGCUCCAAAACCUAAACUAUAACGACCAUUUUGGUCAGAAAGGUCGUAAUUUCCUUACACAAAAUGGUCAUAAAGCAGAUAGCACUGGUCUGCUGCCUUAUUUCUAGCUGAUCAUGACCAAUAUAGAUGGACAUAACCUUGUAAAUUGUGGUGGGUUGCUAUGACUAGGCGCCACCUCAUCAGUUUUGCCUAUGUGUCAUGUCCAUGUGGCAGUUUUUGCCCUAGGUUGUGAAGCAACCUAUAUUUCUGUCAUUCCCAAAAUUCCCAAAAAAUCUCAUAAAUUCUUUGGGUCAUAUCUUCAUCAAAUAUGUAAAAAUCCUUCCUUGCCUAGUUCAAAACUAAUUCAACAAUAUUCAUUUUCCAAUUCUGUUCACGACAGAAGUUUAUGAAGGAAGUGCUAUUUAUAUAUUCUUGAUUGCCCUCGGAAUUUUUGGGCACUCUUUCCUAUCCAAAUCAUUACCACAUGACAAAAUUCAGCUCCACUUGCCUAGCAAAUCUUCCUCGGCAAAUUUCCAAAGUUUUGUCCACCUAGAAGCAUUGUGAAGGAAGUACCUUUUUUAUAUAUCGAAAUGACAUGAAAUUUAUACAGUUCCUUCAUAUGCCCAAAUUAUCAACCUCCUCCAAAUUGCAGCUCAGUCAAAUCAUCUAUGUGAGCCCAGGUUCAAUUUAUAUUUUAUGGCCAAAUUGGCACGUUGCAAAGCAAGUGUUAUCUAGACCCCUCCUAUUAUCCUCAAACUUUUCGGGCACUCUUCCAUACCCAAAUCAUUGCCACAUGAUAAUAUUCAGCUCAAUUUUCGUAGUAAAUCUUUCUCAAGAAAUUUUCAAAGUUUCUACCUCGAGAGAAGCUUUGUGAAGUAAGUACUAGCUAGGCUUACCCAAAUGACCUGAAAAUUUACCAGCGCAUGACCAUACCUAUGUAACUUACCUACACCAAUUUUUAGCUCAUUUCAUUCAUCCAAUCUCUCUCACUAGUUUUCCCAAGUUUUUGUCCAUAGAAGAGAAUUGUGAAGGAAGUACCACUUUGGCAUUUCCAAAUAGUAUCCAUUUUCUACAGUGGUUUCCUAUGCCCAAAUAACCAUCCUCCACCUAAUGCCAACUCAAUCCGUUCAUUAUUUUGAGCCGAGCUUCAACAUUCGUAGUUAUGUCCAGUGUGGUAGUUCGCAAAGCAAGUACCACCUAGGCUCCUCCUUUUGAGCUGAAAAUUUGUGAAGACGGUCUUCUUAGUAACUGGUCAUCCUCAGCCAAAACUCACGCCCAUUAGCCAUGUAGAUUUCCCGUACCGCUAAUCAAACACUUGGUUGUUAAUUCAUGCUUGAGCAUCGAUCGGUCUCCUCGUGAGAAUCUUAUGUUGUAAUUUUCUUCCUAGCACCAACCUGGGGAGUGCCCAACCCAUUAGACAUGCCUAGGCCACCCAGAACGCAUGGCAACACCACGGUCACGCGGUGACCACGCGGCGGGCAUGCGAGUUUACGCGCUCUAGAGUUGGGGCCCUCGGCCACUGCCCAAACCUCUACGUAUCGCCACCAAACCAUGUAUUUAUGAUUAAAUAGGUCCUUAUGUAACUAGAAAUGAUUUUUGGAAAAAAUAAAUAGCAAACUAUGAGGCAGCUGCAGUUCAAAUUUGACCCGCUUCCUACUGAAUUGGUGGAAAUUUGUCUUUUUCAUGAGAGGUGGAUCAAAAAAAUUUACACCCAACCAUUUUUUCAAUUGUGCAUUAAAUAUGGCCUAGUAUUUUAUAAAAAUGAUUUGGUCCAAUUUUGCAACAAUUAUUUGGUAGUUCCUUCACAAAAACCUCCUUUUGGGCACUUGAAAAAUGGAAAAUGUUUUUUCGUCCAACAAAAAUGAAAACUUCCUUAGGCAACAUUGUUUGCCAUUCCAAUAUGCACCCUUGUGCACAAUAUGAGAUCAUUUGAACAAACUAUGCCAUGAAUGUGGCCAUAAGAUUGAUCAUUUGGCUUGAAAGCCAUUGACCUUCACACAUGAUAGCUCAUUUCUGAGAACACUUUUUUAAAAUAAUUAUUGUAUUACAAGUUUAUUAUUUUUCCCGGAAACUCAAUCACAUAUAAUGAGACAAUGCGAAGGUUUUACAAUUUUUUGAUUUUUUUUGAAUUUUUUAUGCCCGUUUCAAAAUGUGGUCAAAACGACAGGCUUGACCGUUCCUAGGUAGCGGUUGAAUCUUAGAAUUUUUUUGCUGUUUCUCUGAUUAAAUAGAUACUUAUGUACCUAUAAAUGAAUUUUGGAAAAAAUAAAGAGCAAACUACAAGGUAGCUACAGUUCAAAUUUGACCCGCUUCCAGCUGAAUCAGCGGGAAUUUGUCUUUUUCACCAGAGGUGGAUAAAAACUUUUUACAACCAACCAUUUUGUUAAUUGUGCAUUAAAUAUGGCCUAGUAUUUUAGAAAAAUGAUUUGGUCCAAUUUUGCAACAAAUAUUUGGGAGGUCCUUCACAAAAAAAACUCAUUUCAGGCACUCGAAAAAUGGAAAAUGAAUUUUCCGUGCAAAGAAAAUGAAAACUCCCUUAGGCAACAUUGUUUGCCACUCCAAUAUGCACCCAUGUGCACAAUAUGAGAUCAUUUGAACAAACUAUGCCAUGAAUGUGGCCAUAAGAUUGAUCAUUUGGCUUAAAAGCCAUGAAUCUUCACACUUGAUAGCUCAUUUCUGAGAACACUUUUUUAAAAUGAUUACUGUAUUACAAGUUUAUUAUUUUUCCUGUAAACUUGGUCACAUAUAAUGACACAAUGCGAAGGUUUUCCAAUUUUUUUGAAUAUUUUGAAUUUUUUAUGCCCGUUUCAAAAUGCGGUCAAAACGGCGGGCUUGACCGUUCCUAGCUAGUGGUUGAAUCUUGGAAUUUUUUUGGUGUUUCUCUGAUUAAAUAGAUACUUAUGUACCUAGAAAUGAUUUUUGGAAAAAAUAAAGAGCAAGCUAUGAGGCAGCUGCAAUUCAAAUUUGACCCGCUUCUAGCUGAAUCAGCGGGAAUUUGUCUUUUUCACCAGAAGUGGAUCAAAUAUUUUGAAACCCAACCAUUUGGUCAAUUGUGCAUUAAAUAUGGCCUAGUUUUUUAUAAAAAUGAUUUGUUACAAUUUUGCAACAAAUAUUUGGUAGGUCCUUCACAAAAUAAACUCAUUUCGGGCACUCAAAAAAUGAAAACAAAUUUUCCGUGCAAAGAAAAUGAAAACUCCCUUAGGCAACCUUGUUUGCCAUUCCAAUAUGCACCCUUGUGCACAAUAUGAGAUCAUUUGAACAAACUAUGCCAUGAAUGUGGCCAUAAGAUUGAUCAUCUGACUUGAAAGGCAUUGAUCUCCACACAUGAUAGCUCAUUUCUGAGAACACUUUUUUUAAAAAUAAUUGCCGUAUUACAAGUUUAUUAUUUUUGCUGGUAACUUGGCCACAUAUAAUGACACAAUGCGAAGGUUUUGCAAUUUUUUGAAUGUUUUUGAAUUUUUUAUGCCCGUUUCAAAAUGCGGUCAAAACAGCGGGAAUGACCGUUCCUAGCUAGUGGUUGAAUCUUGGAAUUUAUUUUGUGUUUCUAUGAUUAAAUAGAUACUUAUGUACCUAUAAUUGAUUUUUGAAAAAAAUAAAGAGCAAACUACGAGCCAGCUGCAGUUCAAAAUUGACCCGCUUCCAACUGAAUCGACGGAGAUUUGUCUUUUUCACUAGAGGUGGAUCAAAACUUUUUACACCCAACCAUUUGGUCAAUUGUGCAUUAAAUAUAUCCUAGUAUUUUAGAAAAUUGAUUUGGUACCAUUUUGCAACAAAUAUAUGGUAGGUCAUUCACACAAAAAACCUCAUUUCGGGCACUCAAAAAAUGGAAAAUGAAUUUUUCGUGUAAAUAAAAUGAAAAAUUCCUUAGGCAACAUUGUUUGCCAUUCCAAGAUUCACUCUGAUGCAAAAUAUGAUAUAUUUUGAACAAAUUAUGCCAUUUCAAAAUGCACCCUCGUGCAAAAAAUACAAGAGAAACAAAUAGAAAAACACAAUUACAUAAGUUUUGUUCUUAUUGGUUGAAAUGUUUGUGCCGUGGAUCGAUGACAUGGCAUCCAUCCAUCCAUCCAUCCAUCCCAUUUAGCUAAUGAAAAAAAUAGAAAGAAAGAAAAAGAACCCCCACCCCCGGGGCAGCCCAACCACCCAAACCCUAUCCCCUCCCCAGAUCCAUCGUCGCCGCCCCCUUCUCCCCCCUCNNNNNNNNNNNNNNNNNNNNNNNNNNNNNNNNNNNNNNNNNNNNNNNNNNNNNNNNNNNNNNNNNNNNNNNNNNNNNNNNNNNNNNNNNNNNNNNNNNNNNNNNNNNNNNNNNNNNNNNNNNNNNNNNNNNNNNNNNNNNNNNNNNNNNNNNNNNNNNNNNNNNNNNNNNNNNNNNNNNNNNNNNNNNNNNNNNNNNNNNNNNNNNNNNNNNNNNNNNNNNNNNNNNNNNNNNNNNNNNNNNNNNNNNNNNNNNNNNNNNNNNNNNNNNNNNNNNNNNNNNNNNNNNNNNNNNNNNNNNNNNNNNNNNNNNNNNNNNNNNNNNNNNNNNNNNNNNNNNNNNNNNNNNNNNNNNNNNNNNNNNNNNNNNNNNNNNNNNNNNNNNNNNNNNNNNNNNNNNNNNNNNNNNNNNNNNNNNNNNNNNNNNNNNNNNNNNNNNNNNNNNNNNNNNNNNNNNNNNNNNNNNNNNNNCCUACGGUGGCUGGCCGCGCCGCCGCCGCCGCGAAGAAGGACCAGGAGCCCGACCCCUACGACGGCCGCUAGCGGGUCGCCCUCUUCUUCGGUACGCAGACCGGCACCGCCGAGGGAUUCGCCAAGGUACGCGCACGCUCCUCCUCCCCCGUGCUGCUCCCGCUCGUCUGUCUGUCUUGUGCAAGGUGCCUAAUAAGCUCUCCCUUCUAUGCUCCUGCCGCCAGGUGCUCGCGGAGGAGGCCAAGGCGCGCUACGACAAGGCCAUCUUCAAGGUGCUCGAUCUGCUACGAACCUCGCCGCAACGCUGCUUCUUUUUAAACCUCCUCCUCCCCCUCCCCUCGGCUCACACGAUUGAUUUGUCAGGAUUCAGGAUGACUACGCCGCCGAGGACGAGGAGUACGAUGAGAAGCUCAAGAAGGAGAACAUCGCAUUCUUCUUCCUCGCAACGUAAGGACCACCUGCAACUCUUACUGACUUCGUUACAGUAGGGAGCAGAAAUCUUUAGUUAAUCCAUGACUUUUCAAAGACCCAUUCCUUCCGCUGAUCGUUUUAUAGAUGAGGUUGAUUCUCUUUCAGAAUACCAUAUCCAUGGUUUGACAGUGGCGAAUCGCUUUGACUACUCGUUUUACAGACAUGGGUUGGUAUCUGAAGAUUGCAUUAUCUUUUGCUUGUUUUAUAGAUCAGAUUGAUGCACAAUGAUUUUAUUUCUUUGUCCAAACCCCAAAUUUGACAUGGCUGAUAUAUAUAUAUAUUCUCAGGUCCUUUUGUAAAUCCUUAUGGGCCAUACUAUGCAACACUAGUUUACUGCCAAAAGCUGUAAUGUAAUCUAAUGACUGCUACGUUUUGUGCACGUACAAGUCGACUCUAUCCUUGAAAGCUAUGGUCUUCUGGCAGUUGGUUGCUGCAUCCAGUAUUGAUUUGUUUGUUGUCGCUUGCGCACACUAAAGAGAAUCACUUACGCCGUGAAGCAACAUUUAUAAUAUUGUUAGCAUGUUCUAUUAGUUCCAGAGAAAAAGCGAAAUCCCAGCUCCGCCUGCUUCAUGAUCUAUGAUAAGUUCACUUGUGUAAGAAUAAGGCAGCAUUUAAGCAAUGGGUAGCAGUAUCCACAAAACUAAAUAUUCUGUUCGUUUUCUUGUGUGCUUGACUGCUUGUGUAUUGUUACAGGUGAGGAAGAACUAGCUGCUGACGGGCGAGGGCAUGGGGUACCUGGAGGCCAAGCACCACCUGCUGCUGAGCAUUGAGUUCAAUCCAUUACUAGGAUUCUUGUUGUUUGUCUUUGAACAAUGCUUGCGUUUUAGCUACUGCCACUUUGAGCUGCUGUAGCUUGUAGUUAUCAAUUCCAGCUGGGUUUACAUAUUGCAUUUCUGGAGCAGUAGAUCGACAUUUCUAAGUUCUUUUGUUAUAUAAGAUGAACAAAUGUUAUGUUUAAAGUGUGAGCUGACUAGUAAUCCUAGAGAGAACCAACUCCAUUUUUGCAAGAGUUAGCUAAUAUAAUUAGUUAGGUACUGUUGUAUUAGUUAGCUAAUAUAAUUUGCAGCAUUAGUUAGGUACUGCUGUAGUCUUUUUUAGACUUCUCUUGUAUGAGUAAAAUGCUAUGAGCAAGAGUAAUGCUAUGAGUAAAUUGAGAUUUCCUUGCUUUAGGCAUAAGAAUAAGCUGAUAAGAACAGAAUAUUGAUACUUUGCAUGCUAUGAGUAAAAUGUUGGUACUUUGCCUGCCAUAUCUGGUUCUUGUUUUGGUAGUAGUUUGCAUUGCUUAUCCAGUAGUAUCAGUCAACUGGCCAGCGUGGAGCAGCUUAGUGUUGUACAUGAUGGUGUUAACUGUGAAAAUGCCAAGUGUGAGAAAAUUAGAAAUUCUGCUCCUUACGUUUAUAAAUUCUACAUAUGGUUUCUCAUCACUUGGUGUACAUAUAGCACGUUUUGGGCAACGAAUUAUUCAGCGUUCUAUGUUAAAGCUUUCGACCUUGAAAUCACAUAUUUGUUUGGGCAUGUGCUAUAUGUACCAUUUUAGAAGUAGUCCACAUAUUUCUGUCUUGCUAUAGUCUUUUUUAAACUUCUUAUGAGAUUGAAGUAUUCGUUCUGAUUUCUGGUUUGCUGAUUGUUGUAGACAGAUGUAUAAAACCUCUUAACUAUGGACGACAACUACUUGAGAAGGACCAUCAUCACCCAUCAAGUACGCCAUUGAGGUAAUUCACCAGUCCCUCCAGCACCAACUAUCUAUUUUCUCUAGUAUGCUUAGGUUUUUCAUGCUGUUGUGGUAGCCCCAUUGCUGUUGCGUUGAAUCUCAUGCCAGCGCUGGUGCGCCUGUGGCUUGAUGUGCUGUGAUCUUUAUCUGUGUAGGUUUUGUUUGAUGAUAUGCUUAGAUUAUGAUCAUAAGCAUGGUGGUUUGAUGAUGCUGAGGCCAGCUGUUAAACCAGGAUAUAGUUGCUGGAACUAAGCUUAAUAUUCAUGUGUGUAUGUGUGUGUGUGUCGAGUAAAGUUGUGGUUUGUGCUGCUCCUUUGUAACGUGAUGAAACAAAGAAUGUCAUUUACUCCUUUUUUGAAUGGGAUGUUCAUAAUAUAUUGGCUUCAGUUUUUCUAAUUUUUAUCAGCUGAUUCAUCUAACAGGGCGUCCGUGGAAGGCCCAGUCCUGACUCUCCAGUGAGUCCGGUAUUUGAUCGCUAUUGAAGGAGAUACAUGUAGAAGAAGAAAACACUUGUAGAGCUUGUAACUGAUUCCCAUAGUUGUAGAGCUUGUAUCAACUAAGCUUGUAUUACGUGUCACUUGUAGAACUUGUAAAUGCUACAGCUUGUAGGACGUGUCAUUUGUAGAGCUUGUAAAUAAGCUUCUAUAUGCUACAGCUUGUAGGACGUGUCAUUUGUAGAGCUUGUAUUGAAUCUGGCUAUUGUUAUUUGAAGUAUCAUGUGUGUUUUUUGCUUGCCAAUUUAACUACUGGUUCUUUUCUUAUUGUCAAAUUGAAAUAUGAAGAAUCUGGGCCUAAUAGCUAGGACCCACUUAUCAGAACCUAACAAGUGGGACCUGUUUGACUAGAGGACCCAUUUUAUUAAAAAAACUAAAACUAUUGUACAAAAAGGCCAUGACCCAUGAAAUAAAAAGGCAGAAUUGUUGGGCUUGGCCCAUGAAGUCUGACCAAAAAUUGACAGGAAAAAAUAUAUAGAAAGGCUGAAUUAAUGGGCUCGGCCCAUAUAAACACCCAAUUGGACCGGGCCGAUUCUUGUGCCACAUCAGAUUGCCACGCUGGAUGCCUACGUGGCCUGGGGAGGUUGCUAGUGACCAAAACGCCAUAGUAGAUGUAUUUUGGUCAUAAACGUCUACAACCAUUCCAGAAGAAAGGUUGCUAUAGUAAGUUUAUGACCGCCAGCUUUUGACCUUAUGUUUUUUGUCACAAAAAGGUCACAAAUUGAAAACAGUGACCUUUCAGUGACCAAUAGUCAAGGUCACAAGUUGACAUAUUUCUUGUAGUGACUUGACUUGAAUAAGCUGACACCUACCGAAAUAUCUUUGCAAAUGGCUGAUAAAUCAACUGCUAUACCUCUCGGUAUCUGUGAGGAUGUGCCUGUUGUGGUUGCAAACGUUACUAUUUUAACGGACUUUGUUAUUAUUGAUAUUCCCGAGGAUGAUAGUAUGUCUAUUAUUCUUGGAAGACCUUUUCUUAAUACUGUAGGGGCUGUUAUUGAUUGCAACAAAGGCAAUUUCACUUUUCAUGUUAAUGGUAAUGAGCAUACGGUACACUUUCCGAGGAAACAACCUCAAGUUCAUAGUAUCAACUCCAUUGGAAAAAUUCCAUUGAUUAUAAUUGGAGGUUUUGAAUUUCCUCUUCCUACUGUCAAAAAGAAAUAUGAUAUACUUAUUAUUGGGGAUGUGCAUAUCCCCGUUGAGGUAACUUAGUGUUAUUCGAAAUUUCUCCGGUUUCAUGAUUAUCGGAAUGAGUUUGUUAACAAGACUUGAUCAACCUUGUUAGUGGAUUCUUUUUGAUGAGCAUGAGAUGGAUGAAACUAGAAGCACAACCUUCUGUACUCUCUCUAUACUUUCUGUUAUUUAUAUGAAAUAAAGUAAAAAUAGUAUUUUCUGUCUGUUUCCUGACUUAUCCGUGCAACAUAAAAAUAUCCUGAAAAUAAAAGUCCUCAGAAUGACAUGCCAAUUUAAUAUGAUUUUUCAGGAAUAUUUGAGGAUUUACCGUGCAAAAAUUACCGCGGGAGGAGCUGCCACCUGGCCACGAGGGUGGUGGGCCCCCCCUCUAGGGCGCGCCCCCUACCUCGUGGGCCCACGGUGGCCCUCCUCCACUUAUCCCAGCACCCAUCUUCUUCCUCUAUCUCACACAAACCCGAAAAACUAACUCAAGCACGAGUUCCAACCACUUUUGCUGUGAUUUUCGAUCUCCUUGCUCAAAGCACCUCUCGCAAAACUGCUUGGGGAGAUUGUUCCUUGGUAUGUGACUCCUCCAUUGGUCCAAUUAGUUUUUGUUCUAGUGCUUUAUUCUUUGCAAAUUUGUGCUACAUAGGUGACCAUGUUCUUGAGCUUGCAUGUCAAAUUUAUAUGGUUCUAAGUAGUUCUAAUGCUUGAUAUAGGCUCUAGGCACUUGUAGGAGUAGUUGCUAUCAGUUUUAUUGAAGUUGGUUCACUUUUGUCGUCGAGCCAAAGCUCGAAGGAAAAGGCACCGAAGCCUAAGUAUAAUUUGCCGCGCACCACGGAGAUUCGGGCGUGUGAAUGGCCUUUUGAAGAUUUCUUGAGAGCAGCCGGUAUCUAUGAAGAUUUUCAUGAAUUGGCUCACAAUGCAGGCCUCACCGCUUUCCUCCAGGACCAAUGCGAUCAGUAUCUCUUACUCACAAAUACUUUUGUGCAAAACUUUCAUUUUCAUUCUAGGAACUCACCACCUACGGUGGAGUUUCAUUUAUAUGAUGAGCAUAAGGAGAUGUCACUUUAUGAUUUCUGUCGGAUUUGUUUAGUCCCUUUUGAGGGCAAGAUAGAAGAACCACAUCAUGAUGAUGUGGCUGGGUUUAUUGAUACUAUCACUGUAGGAGAAACUAGGAAGGUUUUCGAUGCACGAAUCACUAGCAUACAUUUUCCUGUUUUACGUUACUUUGCAUUAUUUGCUAGUCGUUGUUUAACUCUACGCGGAAAUUGUGGAAACCUUAGUACUCCUGAUAUAAUUAUUCUGCACCACGGUUUAUACAGUGAUAACACUUUUAGUAUGGGCGGUAUUAUUGCUAGACGGUUAAGUAUGAACCGUACUAAGGGUCCCAUCUUUGGAGGCGUCUAUGCCACACGCCUAGCUGCACAUUUUAACAUACCUAUUAGGCAUGCUGAGAAGGAAGAAAAGGUGCUGCCCCGUGUUUAUCUAGAUCAUAAAAGUAUGGUGGCACAUGAUUUUAUUGUUAAGAAUAGGACAAGAGAGCUUAAAUAUCAAUUGCUCUUUAACAAACAUCAUCAUGAGACUAUUAUCCUGCCUGCUCCUUCUUUGUUUAAUUUUGUAGGACCCUUCCUUGUUACAUGGGCUGCCAUCCAAGCUUACAAGAAUCCUGCACUAGCCCCGAAACAGGAACCACAAGAUGAGCCUCCACGACAAUCUGUUUAUUCUUGGGAUCCAGAGAUGAUUGUCAGCCAGUGGCAGUUAGAGUCUUCUUCUUCAUCACAGUAUGAUCCCAACUAUUCUUCCUCAUGAUAGUACGACCCCAACAACUAUUAUUAUGGAUAUCCGCCAGGCCAGUCGUGGCCAUAGACCAACUUAGGCCAAAAGCCUAAGCUUGGGGGAGUACGUAUUUAUCACCGACAUUACAUUUAUGAUCACAGACACUCAUUAUUAGAUGUCGGUGCUCAUACUUUUUCACUGUAAUAUCCAUGCUAGUUUAUUUUCUUUUUCCUGCUUUCUUCUUGUGUGUAUGUUAAACCUUAAGAAAAACAAAAAAAUUAGUAGUAGUUUAUUUUUCUGAUGUAGUAGUAAUAAUUAAAAACAAAACCCAAAAAUAUUUCCCGUUGUUCUUUUGCUUGUUGGGAGCUUUCCCGUGUAAAUAGUUUUAGUUCUUUUCUUUUAUUUGGGGGUCAGUAGGAGAAGACCAUAAUUAAAUUGCUGAAGUGGCUCUUAUAUGCAUUAUUGUUGAUUUAACCCAGAGCCCAUAUUGCCUUGUCUUCUCCUGUUUAUUGAAUGCUCGCAGAUUCCAGCUUAGUCCAAUGCAAGUACACUCUUAUUAUUAUUCACACCGUUCGACCGUGCAAGUGAAAGGCAAUUAUGAUGAUAUAUGAUGGAUUGACUGAGAUGAGAAAAGCUGGUAUGAACUCGACCUCUUUUGUUUUUGUAAAUAUGAUGAGUCCCUCGUUCUUGAUUCAACUUAUUAUGAAUAAACAUGUUUGCAAUGACAAUUAGAGAUCAUAGUUGCUUGUGCCAUGCUUGAUUAGCUAUGAGUUAUAAUGAUUUACCUUGUGUGCCAACAUGCUAUUGAGAUGAUUAUGAUGUGGUAUGAUGGGGUGGUAUCCUCCUUUGAAUGAUUUAAGUGACUUGACUUGGCACAUGUUCACGCAUGUAGUUGAAACAAAAUCAACAUAGCCUUCACGAUAUUUAUGUUCAUGGUGGAUUAUAUCCUACUCAUGCUUGCAUCCAAUGUUUAUUAAUUUUAAUGCAUGUACAUGGCUGUUGUCGCUCUCUAGUUGGUCGCUUCCCAGUCUUUUGCUAGCCUUCACUUGUACUAAGCGGGAAUACUGCUUGUGCAUCCAAUCCCUUAAAACCCCAAAGUUAUUCCAGAUGAGUCCACCAUACCUUCCUAUAUGCGGUAUCUACCUGCCGUUCCAAGUAAAUUUGUAUGUGCCAAACUCUAAACCUUCAAAUAAACAUUCUGUUUUGUAUGCUCGAAUAGCUCACGUAUCAACCAAGGCUGUCCUUAUCUUCCGUGUUAGGAGGGUUAUUCUCAAGAGGAGUGGACUCUGCUCCUCACUCACGAGAAAAUGGCUGGUCACCGGGAUGCCCAGUCCCAUGCUUUAUGCAAACUAAAUCAAAAUUAAUUGCAAACAAAACUCCCCUUGGGACCUGAUGUAUGUUGGAGGCACUCGUUGUUUCGAGCAAGCCAUGGAUUGAUGCUUGUUGGUGGAGGGGGAGUAUAAACUUUACCAUUCUUUUUAGGAACCGCCUAUAAUGUGUUUAGCAUGGAAGAUAUCGCCAUCUCUUAGUUGUUACGUUGACAAUGAAAGUAUAUCGCUCAAAAUACAGUUUAUCUCUAUUUCAAAACCGAGCUCUGGCACCUCUACAAAUCUCUUCUUCCCUCUGCGAAGGGCCUAUCCAUUUACUUUUAUGUUGAGUCAUCACCCUCUUAUUAAAAAGCACUAGCUGGAGAGCACAGCUGUCAUUUGUAUUCAUCACUGUUAAUUUAUAUUGGGUGUGACUAUGAUUGGAUCUCUUUUACCAUGAAUUACAAUGUCUAGUCAGUCCUUGAUCUUUAAAGGUGCUCUGCAUUUAUGUUUUGCGGUCUCAGAAAGGGCUAGCGAGAUACCAUCUUGUUAUAUCAUAUUAUGAUUGUUUUGAGAAAGUGUUGUCAUCCGAGAUUUAUUAUUAUGACUUGCUAGUUGAUUAUGCUAAUGAUAUGAGUAAUUAUGAGACCUGAGAAUUAUUGCAAAUAUGGUUAGUUAUGAUCUACGCUGAAAACUUAAAUGUUGGCUUGACAUAGUUACAACAACAAGAGCAAACAGAGUUUGUAAAAGUUUUUCUUUCUUUCAGUUUGUCAACUGAAUUGCUUGAGGACAAGCAAGGGUUUAAGCUUGGGGGAGUUGAUACGUCUCUGUCGUAUCUACUUUUCCAAACACUUUUGCCCUUGUUUUGGACUCUAACUUGUAUGAUUUGAAUGGAACUAACCCGGACUAACGCUGUUUUCAGCAGAAUUGCCAUGGUGUUGUUUUAUGUGCAGAAACAAAUAUUCUCGGAAUGACCUGAAACUCGACGGAACAUCUUAGAAAAAAUAAUAAAAAAUCCUCGCCAAAGAUGAAGACCAGGGGGCCCACACCCUACUCACGAGGGUGGGGGGCGCCCCCCUAGGGCGCGCCCCCUACCUCGUGGGCCCCCUAGAUGCCCUCCGACGCCAACUCCAACUCUAUAUAUUUGCUUUCGGAGAGAAAAAAAUCAGAGAGAAGAAAUCAUCGCAUUUUACGAUACGGAGCCGCCGCCAAGCCCUAAAACCUCUCGGGAGGGCUGAUCUGGAGUCUGUUCGGGUCUCCGGAGAGGGGGAUUCAUCGCCGUCGUCAUCAUCAACCAUCCUCCAUCACCAAUUUCAUGAUGCUCUCUGCCGUGCAUGAGUAAUUCCAUCGUAGGCUUGCUGGACGGUGAUGGGCUGGAUGAGAUUUAUCAUGUAAUCGAGUUAGUUUUGUUAGGGUUUGAUCCCUAGUAUCCACUAUGUUCUGAGAUUGAUGUUGCUAUGACUUUGUUAUGUUUAAUGCUUGUCACUAGGGCCCAAGUGCCAUGAUUUCAGAUCUGAACCUAUUAUGUUUUUAUGAAUAUAUGUGAGUUCUUGAUCCUAUCUUGCAAGUCUAUAGUCACCUACUAUGUGUUAUGAUCCGGCAACCCCGAAGUGACAAUAAUCGGGACCACUCCCGGUGAUGACCAUAGUUUGAGGAGUUCAUGUAUUCACUAUGUGCUAAUGCUUUGCUCCGGUUCUCUAUUAAAAGGAGGCCUUAAUAUCCCUUAGUUUCCAAUAGGACCCCGCUGCCACGGGAGGGUAGGACAAAAGAUGCCAUGCAAGUUCUUUUCCAUAAGCACGUAUGACUAUAUACGGAAUACAUGCCUACAUUACAUUGAUGAAUUGGAGCUAGUUCUGUGUCACCCUAUGUUGUGACUGUUACAUGAUGAACCGCAUCCGACAUAAUUAUCCAUCACUGAUCCGGUGCCUACGAUUUUUCCAUAUACUGGUUCUCGCUUAUUUACUUUCUUGCUGCUACUGUUACAAUCACUACAAAAUACCAAAAACAUUACUUUUGCUGUCUUUACUUUUGUUGCUGCUACUACCACUAUCAUAUUACUGUGCUACUAAACACUUUGCUGCAGAUACUAAGUUUCCAGGUGUGGUUGAAUUGACAACUCAGCUGCUAAUACUUGAGAAUAUUCUUUGGCUCCCCUUGUGUCGAAUCAAUAAAUUUGGGUUGAAUACUCUACCCUCGAAAGCUGUUGCGAUCCCCUAUACUUGUGGGUCAUCAGCGGUGUGGAGAGAGGAUGAAAACCGCGAGAUGGACAUCGGUGCUGAGGGCACAAGUUCAUGGCGUUCGGUAUGUGGUAUGUGAUUUCUAGGGGAAUAGUAGAACUCAAGCAGCUGUAGUUCUGUGAAUUCAGGGGAUUCCAGCCAGGCAUCCACCGUGCAGGGCAUGGUAUGCUUGCUCAGGUAGCAUGACGGGAUGCAGAGGCUUUGAACGGAGCCCAGGUGGGAGGAGAUGAUGGCUCUGGGGAUUUCAAAAUCAAUGAAGAGAGAUAGCUGAUGAUAGUCGAGAUUAAGGGGAACGGCGCACCAUAGAGGGCGCCACUGAAUUGAGAGGACUUGGGUGUGGAAGCAAUCCUUGGUGGGGAGAAGCGAUAUGAUCUCCCCAAGGAUGGUGUCCGGGAGAUCGCUGAUGUUGUCCACCCUAGAUUCUACGGGUUCCUGGGAUCCGGUGGGGGCGGGGUCGCCGCUUCUCCCCGCGCUGGCGGGUGCGGGAUCUACAACAGGCGUCGCCGCUGGAGGGAGCCUCAUCUUCUUGGCGCUGGGGUCAGCCGACUCCAUUUUCCUUGAGGGUGUCGCAUCGCGCUCACGGAUUUGAGCAGAGUAACGAAUGACGAGCCUAGUUGUAGUGCGAGCGAAGAAGAAGGGGAGUUGGGGGUUUUCUGUAGGAGUGAGGAAGAAGGGGAGCUGGGGUUUUCUGUAGGAGUGAGGUGAGGAAUUUGGGGGUACAAGUGGAGCGAGCUGACGUGAGGUGGGUGGGAGCAAGGAGGAAGAAGAGCACCCAGGUUUUUGAAUUGAUUUUACUAUUUACUAGUGUGUAUGGGCUGUUUUGUCUUGGGACCCGAGAAACAAUUACUACUAGUACAGUGGAGACACUCUACAGCUACCCAGAAAAACAAUUACUACUAGUACAGUGGAGACACUCUACCGCUUCUGGCUCCUCCUAGGUCAUUGAAACGUCUCCCUCUACUAAAUGCUGUUAUACUUUUGUUCACCGACAUGUGGGCCAUGCAGCGCGUGGGCCCAAAUGCCAUCCACCAAAUUAGAAGGCAGUAUGCAGGCAGAGAGUCACCCCGGUCGUAGUGCGGCAGUAACGAGCCGUCUUUUCACAAAACCCCACCUCCCCGCAGUCUAAGUUUGACUGACAAAGCAACCGUCAUUUCACUCUUCACUGAAUCCCCUUCUCCCUCACCGUCUUCAAGAAAGGCAACACUUGCAUCUGCCACUGUUCUUCUCUCCGAACGAAGGGAAGGUAAGAGGAUCCGUGAUGUUGGUAUAUUUUUCGUUCAUAGAAAAAAAAGGAACUUUUGCAAAGCAGAAACCGAUCCUCACUCUAUUUUUUGUUUCAUUGUCAUUGUGAUUGUGUUUUCCUUUCGGUGGACUCCUAGUAUUCGUCAGUUUCAUGAUGGACCAAGGAGAACCAGGCAAAGAUCUGCCGAUAUUGGAGCAGACGCGGGAGGCUGAUCCCCACGAGACAGAGAGCUCCAAGAAGAUGGAGGCAACCACCAAGGCGACCCAAGAUACUGAGAUGGUCAACGCCCCGUUUGAGGUUACAGCCCCCGUGGCACUGCAGGAGCAGUUUUCCCCCCUUCGAGGAUNNNNNNNNNNNNNNNNNNNNNNNNNNNNNNNNNNNNNNNNNNNNNNNNNNNNNNNNNNNNNNNNNNNNNNNNNNNNNNNNNNNNNNNNNNNNNNNNNNNNNNNNNNNNNNNNNNNNNNNNNNNNNNNNNNNNNNNNNNNNNNNNNNNNNNNNNNNNNNNNNNNNNNNNNNNNNNNNNNNNNNNNNNNNNNNNNNNNNNNNNNNNNNNNNNNNNNNNNNNNNNNNNNNNNNNNNNNNNNNNNNNNNNNNNNNNNNNNNNNNNNNNNNNNNNNNNNNNNNNNNNNNNNNNNNNNNNNNNNNNNNNNNNNNNNNNNNNNNNNNNNNNNNNNNNCCCCCCCACUGAGCUGCCCAAGGUGAUUUCCUUCUUUGCCGAUCUCGAUUGUGGUUUUUCAUCUAAGUAUGUGGUGAUUUUUUUAGAAAAGGAAGUAUGUGGUGAUUAAUAAUGCACAAUUUUAUUAGCUUCGAUGCCAUGGUAUACGUAGUGGUUUAAAUAACUUGUGUUUCUUAUACUGAAAAGUAAUUCAGAAUUUGUUUCUGUUUCAAUUAGAGCCCUGAUGCAGACAAGGAUUGUGUGGUUGUACAUGUCACUCGCUAUGAGGCAGACGACCUGAAUAUACACACUGGGAAAACAGAGUUCUUAGGCUGUUGGAUCCUGGAAGCCAUUUGCGGUUAUACCAAUGAAGAGUUGUAUUCUAGCCUCACUGUUGUCAGGCGUGUUGUCCAGGGUGUACUGAAGCACAAGAAGUUCAAAGCUACUCCUUCGUUUGUGAGGAAUACUGUUCUUGUCAAGCUUACGCAGGAAGAUGACGUGGCAUGCCUCCACAAACAAGUUUAUCAGUGGCAAGGCCACAAGGUUGUCUUCAUGAAGGUUCACAGGAUUGAGCUGUUGCGGGACGUCCUCGAUGAUGUUCAUGGCAAGGUCCGUCUUGUGUCCACCCAAAUUAGAUCGAGGCAUGAAAUAGUUGCCCCAGCUAGUGUUUAAUAGUAGUUUGGAUUGUGUCUAAUUAUCCGAACCUUGCCUGUUAUUGACCCCUCUGGGGCUAGUACUCUGUUUGAAUCCAUCUAUGGGAACUGCUGCUACUUUUAUGUGCCCGUGAAUCAUGUGAGAACAAUCAUAAUUGUUGCCGAAACAGAUGCGUCCUCACUAGUUUUGCAUGAAUAUGGCAUGGUAAGACAUAAGUUGUCACGGUUUAUCAUACGAGCAGUGUGUGUUUUGAUGAAAUAGAGCACUCAUUCGAGAACCAUGCGCCGAUGUAUACGUAAGUACUUGUAAACACUGUUGGUGCUACCCCACUUGUAAGCAGUUGUGCAAAACACGGCACAUUGGCUCAGCUCGCUUCAACACUAGGCUAUCGACCAGCUAACAAUCAACAAUCUGCUGUCUGACAUAUAAGCAACUAUGUAUCUUGUUACAGUGGUUCAUGCAGUUAAUUGAGGCCACAAUGUAAUAAAUUCCAAACGUUCACACGCUAGUCCAGUGCUCAUGUGGAACACUCACAUUAAACUCGUCUUCAUAAAACACUUGAAAAGCAUAAGUUAAGCAAUUUUAUACAUCUCAAUGAUUCAUAGAACAUAACAAACAUAUACUAGUUCACAGCAAAAUACAAAGUCGUGAGAAGGUUUACAAAUCAGGAAAAAACAAGCAAGGCUUCUCUCUGAGCAAAGGGCCUCCCAGCAGGCUUAAAUUUCCUAGAGUUCACUCUGGUUUUUUCUUGUUGCCACCAUUCAGGGUUAGGUUCUCUCAUUCCAGAAUAACCAAUUAUAAUUGUGGUAUCAGCUGGAAUGCUGAACUGAACCAUGCAGUGUACUGACCAGCUGAAAUGCUUGUGCAUUCCACUAAAUUUAAGCACCACUAUUUGCAGAAAUAAGCAGACCACAAUGCCUCUUGUCCGCGCACCUAUCCAAAAAACCGCCGUGCAGCCGUGCCAGCUAGUCCUUGGUCCAUGGAUGAACUGGUAGAAAGUGCAUUCCGGACUAGGAUGCAGUUGUUUUCGCUCGUCCCUGCACUGCAAUCAGGAAGUAAAAUGUACGAAUCAGCUUCUUUUAGAUUGCAUUGGUCAUUCUACCUUAGUUACUACCAAUGUAGGGAUACCUUGAAGACGGGAGGUUAGACGACGGCAGCGAGGGAUAGCCAUCUCAUUUUGCGCAGUUGUACUAAAACUGAGGUGUGUGCUUCUGAUUGCGCGGAUAGAAACGAUACGGAGGCAGACAUCCCGAAACGAUAUGGAGACAGACAUCCCUGUUUGCGCAACUAAGAUAUACGGUUAUUUAAACAGUGACAGAUAUUACUAAUUUCCCUCGUUUCCUCUUAGAACCAAGUCCUAGAUUCAUGCUACAGCUUUCCCACUUUCUUCCCUGUUUGAACCAACGCUUUGAGUCGACUGUAUGAAAUAGCUUUACUUCUAAUCUACUACUACUAUAAUGCGGCAGUUUUGAAAUUGGAUUUACCACUCCAUCUUCGGUUCUCCCGCCCAAACAAGCAUUGGCUCAAAAUCCACCAUUCAUUUCCCCUCUCAUGCAUAUCACUGCCGUCCAUCAAACAAAGGAUGACAUGAUCUGACGGCUAAGAGCUGCUGGAUUCGCUCCCGCUCCUUGUGCACAUGGCCGACUCUGCUCUCCAAGUAAACAAAUAAAGAAGUCCCCGUUGAAUCUGGAUUGCACCUACUGAAGUUGAGAAAUGUCUAGAAACUGCUGCCACCUCCUCACAUGCAAGUAUGACAAGUUGGCAAAUAGGUAGCACAUUAUGGUUCCCCAUUGUCACCUGGGAAAUAAACACUCUACUAUUAACUUAUUUUUUUAGAUUACUGUAAAAAUGGAUUUUUUAGAUGCCGCUAUACUGCAAAGUUUACACUGUUCACAUAACAUAACAUUGCAUGGCUGAUGCUAGCUAAAGUUUUAUUCUGCUUCAUCGAGAAAUGUAAUAUUUUUAUUAUUCGCAGAAAAAGUGUAAUAUUUUAUUUCAGUCAUACAUAAGCUAUAUCUCAAGCUAAUACAGGACAUGACUGUCUGUCAGACCUAAAUGACUUAUUUAGUUGCACAAAAUAGUCCAUAAACAUGCAUGUAAACCGUCAAACAACUCUGGAACUAUACAUCAGUGGAACCCAAGAAACAACAUAUAAUAAAACUACAACUUUUAUCUUGUAAUCAAAUUCUUGCUUGGAACUCAAUUUGAUUUGUGCAAGUGAUUUGCUUCUUAUUUCAGAAUAGUCCUUAGAUCAUGCAAACAAACACACUAUGAUAUCUACUCAAGAUACGAGUACCCAUUUCUCUCUCUAAAAAGAAGGUAUAUGAGUCUCUAUCAUACAGAACAUACGUGCAAAGCACAUGCCUUAGUAGAAGUCUAGGUGGCUUUGAAACAGCGGACGGAAGUAGAAAAGGAUCCACACGAAGGGAGCUGGGGCAGUAGAGCAAGGCGGGUUUCGAAGGAAUAUAUACCUGACGGUCGUCGGCAUGUCGCAAAGACGGCGUCGGGAGGCCGCAUCUUGGCCACAAUAUCGCAGGGAGGAAGAAGGGGUCGGAGGCCCUCCCGAGCCGGUGCUCUCUCGGAGGGAACGGCACGGCCGCCAAUCGGGACGCGCGGGCAGCUGUUGGUCUCCUCCCUCGCCGCUGACGACAGCGUGAACGAUGCACCUACACCCCUGCCCUGGUCGAGGUUGUCCGGCCGGAUUUGUGACCAGCCGUGAGCUGAGAGAGAGUGUGGCCACCUAUGUGUUGCUUAGAUCUAGAGAGCAUGAGAGAGUGAACGAGAGGAACCCUAGUAAAGCAAGCGCUAAGGCUCCUGCUUUUAUAUAUAGUGGAGUGAUUUUGUUGUACCAGCUUCAAAAAAAUGCACUCCUACGUGUACCCACGAGUGGGUGUGAGAGAACUAGUGCGUGCGUGCACCGCUUAUCUUCAUGAGAGUACAAUAUACUAUGCCCAAAGAACGUUCGCCUCAAGAGUAAUAGUACAAGUGUGUGAUGUGUGAGCUAAAAUAAAAUGUGCACGCCGUCUUUUGUUUUUUAGAAGUUCUGAGGGUAGGGUGUGAAGAGCACAUAUGUGCGUGACGUCUACCUGCAGAUAGACGGUUGGAGCGACGUGCGAGUCUGCGAGAGGACUCGGGAGAGUCGUGACUCAUGAAGGUGCGUGUGCAUGAGAGAGAGGGGGCACGUAUCAAUGCAAUGCAUCUGUCCGUAAAUCAUUAUCCGACAAACGAUCGCCACAAGCCUUUUCCUGACGAACGCCGUAAGGAUCGUUAGAUCGGCAUCCGACAGUGUCAGUUUUGCCAUGUCAUUUAACAGAACAGCCACUCCACCUACACAUAAAUCUUCCACGUGAGUGUUAGCAAUUGCAGUAUGCUCCCUCCGUUCCGAAAUGCAAUGCAUAUAGCUUUAUUGAAAAUUCGAACCUCGCAAACUUUUACUGAGUUUUCGUGUACCAAAUUGCACAUGUAGAAUACCAUGUAUAUAUAAUUUCAUUCAUCUUCGAGAGGUAACUAUAAAGUUGGGUGAGGAGUCUACAAAGAAAGACCAUCGUAUCACCCGCAGCAAUUUCAAGCAUCCUUUAGUGUCGAGGAAUAUCAUAGGAACUCUAUAUGAUAUGAUUUUUAUAGGAUUUUUUUCCUUUAGAGCCAAUUGGUUCAUAGGAAUAGAUUCAUAUACUCCACAUUUCAAAGGAAAUAAACAUGAUAUCAUUUCUAUAGCUUUAGAGCCACUUGGUUCAUAUGAAUGGAUUCCUAUGAUAUGAACCAAAUUACAUCUCUUUUCUAAUCCCUCCUCAUAGGAAUUGAGAAACAUGUCAUCUCUAUAUUCAAUAGAAAAGUUACUAUGAUGUGAACCAAAUGACAUCUCUUUUCCAAUCCCUACUCAUAGGAAUUGAGAUGCUCCAUGUCAUCUCUUUCCCUACAACUUCCAUGUAUACAUCUUCUAUUCCUAAAUAGAUAGUACAACCCACUAGUAGCUUUUUUCCAAAACAUGCUACUAUGGCACAAGAACUAUAUAGUGUGCCAAUAACUUUGAAAGAUGGUCGUUGGAUGAAGCUAACCCGGCAGUGUAGAGAUAGGCAAAUCCGAGCACUACGGGCCGUUGGAUAUCAUCAACAUUCCACCAGAUCUGCCACAUGUACAAUUUAGAAGACUCCAUGGUUGAACUUAAGCAUAAUGCACAAACUCAAAACACAAGCACUUAUCCUUUGUUCUAGAAUCUUCUGUAUCAUAAUUGAUUAUUUUUUCUAAAUGAAUUGCCAUUAUUUGUUUUUUACUUUAUGAUUUAGUCCCUCCGUUCCAAAAUAGAUGACCCACCUUUGCACUAACUUUGUACAAAGUUAGUGCAAAGUUGGGUCAUCUAUUUUGGAACGGAGGGAGUACAAUGCACAACCCCAUGAAUCUUAACAUUUUUAUAAAACUUAUUGAUUUUGAAUGAGAUGAACUAUAAGAACUAAACGAACAUCUACAUCAUGCAUAUAUGACUCAAAGCUUUACAUCCUGUAGUGUGUAUUUAUUCAUAAUUUGGUUUCGAAAUCUCAUGUGUUCAAUACAUGUGUACCUUACUAGUUUUGAGUAGAGUAGAAAAUUUCACGCGGCCCCGGGUAUAUCAAAAUGCAGGGCCCAUGCAUCAUUGCUUUCGGUCGAACCUACGUCCACAAUUUUUUGUACGUACUAUAUCUCCACCGAUCCCCGAACCCAAAAUGCUGCCUCGUUCCCGUAAAACCAAGCGGCCCACACAUAUUUAAGGCGUCGGCUCGAACCCGUUUACUACCACGUGGCCCCGCACGCUGUAGUACUCCUACAAACCCUACCGCCGCACUCACCAUCAGUUUUCUUCAAGAGGACGAGGGAGAAGCCGAUUUGUAGUGGAGGCGCUUUCAAAAAAAAGGAUCUGUAGUGGAGACCCCUACCCUAGGGUGCCCUAGGUAGCUGCCGCACGCAUCAUUGUUUUCUCUUUUCUUUAUGCUCUUGCGCCCUAGAGUGAAAUGAUGGUUGCUUCGUCCGUCCAGCUUAAUGCGGGAAAGGUGGGGCUUUGUGAUUUGACCCCUCGUCGCUCAUUUUCUACUACUGCGGCGCUACGACUGGGGUGCCUCCAAUUCCAACUGCUGCUCCGAACUGUAAUUUGGUGCAUCACACGUGGAACAAGACGCUGGAUGAGCCACAUGUCGGCCAAAGGGGUCCUGUUAAGUGUGUCGCCAUUUCGUGUGCGAACUGACCCUGCUUGAGUUGCUAUGCCAACACGACAGGAGCAGCCUACCACUUGGUUUUGCUCCUUGGUGAAUCCUAACUAUAUUGAUCUAAAAAGAUACGUGCUGAACUACCCUCCUCGUCUCGGUUUUUUUAUUUUUAGGCGUCUCGGUUUAUAGGGCCUGCACGUAGUUCUAGGUCAUCCAUUUGACUAACAAAAUAUGAGUUAAUAUGUCACAAAAAGUAUAUCACUGGAUUCUUAAGCGGAUGUAGUUGUAUUUAAAAGUCGAGGGCGGGGCUUUUCCUGCGGUAGGCGGUGGGGCAGUUCCGCCUAGUCGGUUCGACAGAGACGCGAGAAGACGAGGGAGUAGGCUGCUGCAAACGUAGGGCUAUGUGAUUUGACAACGAGUUACUGCUGGACAGGUGGGGCCCCGAUUUGACUUGCCAUUAUCAUUUUAAUUGCGGCGCUAUGACCGGCGUGAGUCUCCCAGAUUCCUGACCACCUCCAUAUAGGUGCCUCUCCCAAUGCCCCACCAUGUAGUAGAGGCUGGCUCUUGCAUGAGAGCCCACUUCUCCACUUUUUCCUUGCCUCUCUUUCCUCCACAUAUGCAAAAAUGCCAUGUAAAGCGCACUAUUGUACUUACUUUUACUUGCUCCUACAGGUGCUUAAGCUUGCCACAUAAACAUAAAGUCUAAUGUGGCAAGUUAAUCAAGAAGAGAGAGACUAGUUUGGUGACCCAAGGAAGAAACGGUGCUAAGCGCAUGUACCUAGGUGAAAAGACAAUUUUGAGUCUAUAGUUAAUUAAAUGAAGCAAACUUAGCAACACCAUUUCAUUGGAAGAGGUCACUCCUUGGCAAAUGCAAUAAAUACACGCGCUUAGCACCAUUUCUUCCUUGAGUACGAAGAAAGAGAUAGAGAGGAGUAAAAAAAAUACACUUAUAGCCAACCUUGUUGUAGUAUGGGUGACUAAGUGAUGACUAUGUAUGACAUGCCAACAUCAGAUAGCCUAACACACCGUGUGAAAUCUCCAAGGGCGCGGCCACGCGAGCGAUGCGACGGUCGUGGUAGGCGCGACCAUGAUAUGGGCUGCUGGCAGCCCUUGGAUCUGAGAUCAAACGGUCGCAUGCUAAGUUGUUGAAAAUUUGCAGAAUAACCCUCCAGUAUAGGAUAUUCACCCAUAGGUCUAGAAUCACGACAUGCAACCGUUCGAUCUCAGAUCCAAGGGCUCUCGGAAGCCCGUAUCAUGGGAGAAUGGAAAACCACUACCCUGCCAUUCGCACGAUGGCAGUUCGCUCCUACUCGUCCCCGCACGUCCUUCAAUACUAUGGUGGUUCGCUCCUAGUCGUCCCGUCGAUUCACAUUACGGCAGUUCCACUAAUCCUAACCCUCCUCCCAAAUCCAUGGCGUCCCAAAUCUCCAUGAUCAGCGGUGAGUACAAGGUUAGAACCAUCACCGACGAUGAGUUCGACGUCAUCUACACCCGUUCUUCCGCGAUGGUGAAAGGAUGCCUUUCUCGCUUCAGACGCAUGUUCGAAGACUCAGAUGAUGAGUGGGUCGCUGGGCUAGAUGUUGAGUACACCAUAGUCCUGGGACGAGAGAAGGAUCUAAAGGAUGAAGAGAGGAAGAAGCCCGCCGUGAUCCAGGUUUGCGUGCAUGACUUAUGCUUGGUCUACCACAUAUGCCAUGCCGACGUUGAGUGCCAGGAUUUUAAGGACUUCCUCAAGAGCAACCUAGUCAAUUUCGUUACUGUAGACUUUGGUAACGACAAAGAAGUCCUGCAUCGGAUAGGCCUCGUUGUAGGCAACACCUUCGACCUCCAGAAGAAUCGGCUGGUGUCCUCUCGUCGGCCUUCAAUGCUGACCCUAGCAGGAGCCAUGGUUCAUCCUUCAUACGGUAAACUGGAGAAACCUCAUUACACGUUUCAUCGUCAUGCAUGGCAGCGGAAUUUACUAGAUAUAGACCACAUCCACUACGCUGCAAUGGAUGGCUACCUUUGCUUCAAUAUCUACAAGGGUUGGAUGAAGAGCAACAACCAAGUGUGCGGUUCAAGCAAAGAAGUAUCAACCAAGAGGAAGAGGGACAAGGACGAAGUCGAGGACGUGGACGAGGACUCCGAGUAAGGUGGCAAUGUCGUUGCUCAUGGUGGUUCUAAUGCAGUGUCUACCGGAAUAGUUGCAAAGUUUAAUUUCAGGUGUGCUUAAUUUAAUUUGAGGGGUGUGUUGUGCUGAGCCCCCAGCAGAACUAUGUUAUGUUUCUUCUCGUUACUUUAACUCUUCAGUACAUACAUACUAGUAUUUGUUACAUUUCAUCUUUUAGUUGGUAUAGUACUACCACUCGUUUCUUCACAUUAUAUACGUACAAUAUAUAUGACCAACAUCAUAUAGCCAGCAGUUUAGUUGUUAAAGAAUUUCAGGGUGCUUAGUUUUGUCAGAGAAUUCCAGGAUGCUUAGAGGGUGCUUGGAUCCAAGGGACUUAUUUUAGUCUGACUAAAAAUAGUCUCUUUAAGAGGCUAAAGUUCCAAGCACCCCUGACUAAAGAGGGGCUAAAACUAGUCUUGAGACUAAAUUUUUUUAGUCAGGGGUACCCCUACUAAAAUGUGGAUUAGUCCUCUCUCUACUCAUUUAACUCCUCUCCUUUAACACAGGCGAGUUCUGGAUUGGAGGGUUUGGAGGAUAAUAAAUGCUCAUUAACUUGAUUUUAGCCUUUUUAGUAUUUGGAUCCAAGCAUGGGUGAGGCUAGCAUGUUUUAGUCCCACUACUUUUAGUCAUGGGACUAAAACGUAUCCAAGCACCCUCUUAGUUUUAUUUGAGGGGUGGGUUGUGCUGGACACCAUUAUUGUGACUAGCCUUUUUAAUAGUACUAUAUGCAUAAUUUGGUGACGAGCGCUCUCUAUAUGUACCACCUCUUUUAAUUUCAAUUUUUGCUCCAUGGCGCAAUCCAUCGAUAGUACUGCUGUACAAAAGUAUACAUUUUUUAAAAGGCUAGAGUACUAUUCAUCACAUAUAUAGCCAAUUAAAUUCUUAACCUAGAAUGACGUGCAUGCCAUGUAGUAAACUGAUACGGAGGAAGUAUAGUAAAAAUGAGGUGAUUUUACCGAGCGAUCGGCGGGGGAGCAUGGCCUGUCAUGCGGUCCCACGUAUCAUGAUGUACCAAGGCGAUGUGCGUGUCCCUCUUGAGGCAGAAGCAAUACUAGUACGUGGUUUGAGAUGAUGGUGAACCGAAGUGUGAAAUAAUGGUUGCUUCGUCCGUCUGGGAAACUGCGAAAGAAACUAACCAAUGCAUGUACAAGUUCAUGGAAAUUUAGUGGUCAUUCAUGCAUUCGUUCUAAUUAAUGCCUCGAUAAACAUAACUUCUUGAGAAAAACUAGCAUACUAAUUACUUGUGCAAAAUACGAAAUUAAUUCGACCACUCACCGUCUACCUUGGUUGGAGAGAUUUUGAAAUUGAGCCAUAAACUGGAAAGGAGGGAGUAGUAACUUUUGUCUCGAUUACUAUUUGUGGCCUUGUAUAGAUGCAAAAUGUAUUUUUUUAUAGUGGCCUUGUAUAAGUAAAUGGAGGGAGUACUAACCAAAGUACGUAGUAGGAAUGAGGAGUAAACGGAGGGAGUAGUAAAAUUUUCUCCUCGUGCUGCGAGCCACCGCGCGCGUGGGUGAGGGAGCGGGCGUAAGGCGUACUAGUAAGCAAGCUUCACCUCAUCCUGCGAGCCACCGCACCCGUGGGCGGGGGAGACGGCGUACUAAGCAAGCUUCUCCUCGUUCUGCAAGUUGAUGGGACACAUCAAAAGUACUCCAGUGUAUAGAGCCCUGCCUCUAAGGUAGGCCCCACAUGGUUUGCCUCUUUUUUUAAUUUAACAUAACGCGUCAAGUCGCAAUUUGUUUGUUCACCCGUGGUAGACGAUCCUCCCUCCACCAAGUGGACAACCAGUACACGUGCCAAAUUACCACGUGGACUGCCUUUUUCGUACAGAAAUGAGCUCCACCGUGUACCCGCGCUGGUGUGGUUGGGAAAGAGACGGAAGUACGUGCGCCAUGCAUGCACCUCUUCUCUCCGUGCAUGUCCCCCCACCUACGUGGGUGUGUGUGAGAGAGAUACAAACCUAGACAUAAUGCGCCAUCCAUCCCCAUGCCUCCGCCCAGUCCGACCACCAGUCACCACCACGCCCCACUCCUCCUCACCUUAUCUCUCAUCUUUCUCCCUCCAUUUUUAUAUACAAGGGGCGUACAAUUUGCAGAUAUACAAGGCCACUAACACUAAUCGAUGCAAUAUUAAUGGUGUUUGCCUCGUGGUACUAGCAAAGGAGGACAUUAAUUAUCCCUUGCAGGCAUGCGAGAGUUUGUAAAAAAUGCAUCUUGAUGUUCCGUGCAAUGCACGGGCAUCUUGCUAGUCCAUGAAAACAACACAUGGCAAAAUUCCACGGCUUGGGCGGCAACUAGCUCCGUUGGGCGAGGGGAGGGAGGUGGAUCAGCGAGCUGCAUAGCUCGUAUCCGGCGGGCUACCUAGCCAGCUUGGAUGCAGAAUAACUACUCUUCGUAAGCCAUUGUAAGAGUGGACAAAAUGGUGGAGGAUAUAGGGGAGCGGCCCGAUCAUGAACGGACGUGUGUCCAGAGUGAGUUUCUCAGCUUCCACACGGGCGGGUUUCAUGGAGGCGUUUGAAUGCGGCAUGGAGGCGUGUUCAGCCGGGCGUGCCGCGAGUGGCGUCCUCGACUCUGACCUAGGACACCGCGCCGUUCUUCCACUGACAUAUGGGCUCUUUGGGUGCAUGGCAUGCAUGUCAGUGACCCAACGCAGGCAGCGCACAGCAGAGGAACCUUUGGUGGGCCAGGGCGGUCAGAAGCGGGCAUUUCAUAAACCGAUGAUUGUUCAUUGAGUGUGACGUCAUCUUUUUCAUGUAGAUAAGUCUACUAUGUUGAUAGCCCGUUCGAUACGUUGUGAUUCAUAAAGACCGCUGCAAACAUCAAUGUUCUGCUUAUCACAGAUAACAUUGAUUAAUACUCAUAACAAUCGAUGUCCUUAACAAAGGGUGCCUGCACGUAUAGGUCGAACGUGUGUCUUGUGUCGUGUGCUAUGUGCAUGCAGGCGUGCGAGUGUUGCGUGCGUGCAAGGGUACGUUUCAGUGUUGCAUGCAUGGGUGCGUACGUGCGUGUGUUCGUGAGUGCAUGUGUACGUGUCAGUGUUGCACGCUAGCAUGCGUGCGUGUGUACGUGUCAGUGUUGCACGCCUACAUGCGUGCGUGUCUUGCGUGCGUGCAUGUGUACGUGCGGGGUGAGGCUACACGUCAGUCGACUGACUUUUUCAUCUCUGGUCAUUAGAUUUUCCAGCCGUUGGAUACGAAAUCAAGGGCCUCCAGUUUAUCAUCAAACUCCACCCCCCCUGAGCCGCCAGCCACCACCAGCCGAACCGCCAGCCCCCGCCGCUCGCGGCCGGCCUGCCCUCCCCGAAACCACUCAUUUAUUACCAUUUUUGUCCUUCAUAUAUGCGUUGACGGGUGGGCCCUAUGGUAAAGUGCGCUGCUGAAUGUGGACCGUUUGACUGGUCAAUUGAUCGUGUUAUCAACAAAUUACCGAGCUGUAUGGUGAGCCAGUGACCGUAUGAUCACCCUAAAAUGUACUCCUAUUUUAUUAACACAGUACAGACUCAAACUACCAUUUCUUUCUUUCAUAUACGGGCUGACAGGUGGGCCCCACGGUUACAUGCCCCGAUGGUGCAACACUAGUUGCGCCGCGUGGAACGUUUGACUGGUCAAUUGAUUGUGUCAUCAACAAAAUACAGAGUUGUACGGGUGAGCCAGUGACCGUAUAAUCAUGAUAUGUAUUUGUUUAACACGGUACAGAUGCAAGGGCUCAUAUAUACGCGCAAGCACUCACCGCUAUAAGCGCACACACGCGAACCCUACCCCUAUGAGCACCUUUGAGAGAGUGGGCCAGCAUAUAUGAUCUUGAGAUUUUACGAAGUCACCAUAGGUGCCUCAUAGUCGAGUGGAACGUCUCCUCCCACUGAACGUACAUCGCCAAAAAAUACUGAAAUUAACACAAGAUAAAUGCGAGCACCGGGACUUUAACCUUGGUGGGCUCGAGAAACCACUGUCCUCUAACCAUCCAACCAGAUGUUGGUUAGCACAACAAAAUGUAUGUGGUGACCGUGAUGAGCUUAUUCUGAAGUCCAGUGACCAUAUCGUGCUUUCACUUCAAAUACAAUGACCGUAAGUGUCGCCAACAAAAUACGGAGCACGCAUCAAAUGCAAAGUCCGUCAGUGUCAUCAACAAAAUAUGGAGACGUAUCGUGAGCUAGAUACCGUUGUACUAUUGUAUAUGCUUAUUUUCUUAGUGGCCGAUUGCGUGUGUGGUGUGGUGGGCACAUCAUUUCUAGUUGUGGUGGGUCAACAUGAAGACUCAUGGGUCGGUUCCAUCCUGCGCCACAUAUAGGUUGGACCGGGACAUGUUAUACGAAGACCCAUGUGGAGGACUCGGCGUACAACACGAAGCUACCAGAGUCGCAGAGGACUCUAUCCCCACUGGUGAUAAGCUGACUAUAUAUGAUUUGUAACCCUAGGCUCUUAGUAUGUUAUACAAGCUUGGGGGCUAGUUCGUCGAUAGUAUACACACACGCACAAUGCCUGGUAUUCACGUGUACUUUGUACACACCCCUAUCACUAAUAUACAGUACCAGGAGUAGGCUCUUUCUUCAACUGCAAUUGAAUUCUAGCAUGAGCAUGUGUUUAUUUCAUAUUAUCGACCCAUAGAGUGAGAGCGGUUUGAAAUACAGGCAAUGGAUGCUUUUGCAAUUCAUAUAUAAACAUUAAUUAGUGCACUCCAUGUUGUUAGUGUGAAGCACUUUAUACAUUUGUCACCUGCAUGGAUACAUUCCAAAUUGCUAGCUACAAAUAAGAAUACAUGUCGAAUUCAACAUAAAGGGGGUUUCGAAGAUUCGAAUUCAUAGGAAGUGCAUUCAUCUAUUUGAACCCGAGAUAAUGGCAUUUGUAAAUCAGAUGUAAAAGGGGGCAUCAAUCUUUGUUGUGAGUUUGAACAUGCUAUAUAUAUUCAUACACAUAUCUAACUUUUUUUGCAACCAAGGAGAUUAUAUCUGGAACCAUGCAUGAACUGAGGUAAGUUGCAUAUUUUUUAAUAUAUACUCGUGUACAAUGUAUAUUCAAAUGUACCCCCUCCAUUCCAAAAUAAUCGUAGCUUUAGGAUUUUCAAGAGUAAAGAUUUGUGAAGUUUGACAAAUCCUGAAAGUUCAAUUCAAGAGAACCGAAAACUUUAAAUGCUUCUACUCCCAAAUAUUGAACGAAGCGCCAAAUAGGCCUCUGGUCACCCGAAACCGCGCGAGACUAAUGUUUUGGUGGUAGGAAAUUACUGUCCUAACUCUGGCCCGUGUAGCCUAUCGGCCCGAUGUCCAAAGGUCUAAACCGGGGUAGGUUUGUAACUUCACCAAGACGCCAGACAAGCAUUCAUACACCAUGGGCGCCUACCCAUGCGCUCGGCCGAAAUUUAUCCCGCCCACAUUUGGGACACCAGACAUGACUGUCCUACCCCCAACCCGCAAUAUGUCCAAAAUUUUAGAUGGGGGAAAAGUUUGUAACUUUCCCCAAAUUUCAAACAAGCGCGUCUCAAACCGAAACAUUGUCCCCACUUAGUUCCCCGUCUCCCUCCGUUUCCCCAUUCAUACUACAUGGGCGCGAAAACGCCCUCUUGAUACGUCUCCAACGUAUCUAUAAUUUUUGAUUGCUCCAUGCUAUAUUAUCUACUGUUUUGGGCAAUAUUGGGCUUUAUUAUCCACUUUUAUAUUAUUUUUGGGACUAACCUAUUAACCGGAGGCCUAGCCCAGAUUUGCUGUUUUAUGCCUAUUUCAGUGUUUUGAAGAAAAGGAAUAUCAGACGGAGUCGAAACGGAACGAAAUCAACUGGAGAAGUUAUUUUUGGAAGGAAACACACCUGAUGGACUUGGACCCCACGUCAGAAGAUACGGGAGCUGCCCACGAGGGUGGGGAGGGGGGCGCCCACCCCCCUAGGGCGCGCCCCCCUGCCUCAUGGGGCCCCCGUGGCUCCCCUGACGUGCUUCUUCUGCCUAUAUAACUCCAUAUACCCUAAAACUUCCAGAGAGCAAGAUAGAUCGGGAGUUCCGCCGCUAGAAGCCUCUGUAGCCACAAAAAGCCAAUCUAGACCCGUUCCGGCGCCCUGCCGGAGGGGGUAAUCCCUCACCGGUGGCCAUCUUCAUCAUCCCGGCACUCUCCAUGACGAGGAGGGAGUAGUUCUCCCUCGGGGCUAAGGGUAUGUACCAGUAGAUAUGUGUUUGAUCUCUCUCUCUCUUGUGUUCUUGAUUUGGCACGAUCUUGAUGUAUCGGGAGCUUUGCUAUUAUAUUUGGAUCCGAUGAUGUUUCUUCCCCCCUCUUCUCUCUUGUAAUGAAUUGAGUUUCCCCUUUGGAGUAAUCUUAUCGGAUUGAGUCUUUAAAGAUUUGAGAACACUUGAUGUAUGUCUUGCCGUGGAUAUCUGUGGUGACAAUGGGAUACCGCGUGCCACUUGAUGUAUGUUAAGGUGACCAACUUGCGGGUUCAUGAACCUAUGCAUAGGGGUUGGCACACGUUUUCGUCGUGAUUCUCCGGUAGAUCUUUGGGGCACUCUUUGAGGUCCUUUGUGUUGGAUGAAGAAAUGAAUCUGAGAUUGUGUGAUGCAUAUCGUAUAAUCAUACCCACGGAUACUUGAGGUGACAUUGGAGUAUCUAGGUGACAUUAGGGUUUUGGUUGAUUUGUGUCUUAAGGUGUUAUUCUAGUACGAACUCCAGGGCUGUUUGUGACACUUAUAGGAAUAGUCCAACAGAUUGAUUGGAAAGAAUAACUUUGAGGUGGUUUCGUACCCUACCAUAAUCUCUUCGUUCGUUCUUCGCUAUUGGUGACUUUAGAGUGACUCUUUGUUGCAUGUUGAGGGAUAGUUAUGUGAUCCAAUUAUGUUAUCAUUGUUGAGGGAACUUACACUAGUGAAAGCAUGAACCCUAGGCCUUGUUUCAACACAUUGCAAUACCGUUUACACUCACUUUUAUCACUUGCUAUCUUGUUGUUUUUAUUAUUUCAGAUUACAAAAACUAUUAUCUACUAUCCAUAUUGCACUUGUAUCACCAUCUCUUCGCCGAACUAGUGCACCUAUACAAUUUACCAUUGUAUUGGGUGUGUUGGGGACACAAGAGACUCUUUGUUAUUUGGUUGCAGGGCUGCUUGAGAGAGACCAUCUUCAUCCUACGCCUCCUAUGGAUUUAUAAACCUUAGGUCAUCCACUUGAGGGAAAUUUGCUACUGUCCUACAAACCUCUGCACUUGGAGGCCCAACAACGUCUACAAGAAGAAGGUUGUGUAGUAGACAUCAAGCUCUUUUCUGGCGCCGUUGCCGGGGAGGUGAGUGCUUGAAGGUAUAUCUUUAGAUCUUGCAAUCGAGUCUUUUAGUUUCUUGUUUUAUCACUAGUUUAGUCUAUAAAAGAAAAUUACAAAAAAUGGAAUUAAGUUUGUCUCAUACGCUUCACCUUUUUAAUAUCUUUCGUAAGUAUGAUGGAAAGGAUAAUUGUGCCCAAGUGCUAGAAGAAUAAAUCUCUAAAAUGGUUGGCACUAAAUAUUUGAACGAUGAGCAUGAUUGCAAUGUUGUUAGUACGAAUUCUUUGAAUAUCCAUGAUGCUAAUGAUGAUUGCACUAGUUAUGAUGCCUCCUAUAAACAUGUCAAUUUUUGUGGAGUGCAUGUUUGCAAGUACACACCAAAUUGGGAAGAUAGAUAUUGCAAGAGGCAUAAGUACUUAGAAACCAAAUUGUUGCAAGAAGAGCUAGAUGAAUGUGCUGAAAAUUUAUUAUUUCUUAGUCCUACUUGUGAACUUUGCAAUGAACGUGAUCAUUUUAGUGCCCAAUGCAAAUUGUUUCAUGAUUGUAUCGUGUCCAAAAAUUGUGGUGACUUGAUUUCCCCUGCACAUCAUAAUGAACUUAGUUUGCUUUUGGGUUAUGAAGAAAUUAAACGUAGAAUUAAGGAUAUUCCAAAAGUUGCCCUUGAUAAAGUUCUUCAUUUUGAUCUAGAGAAAAUUUAUAUGUAUUGUGCGGUGAAUUGCAUUGAUAAUCCUUAUAUUUCCAAUUACAUAAAGAAAAGAAAACAAAUAGAGGAUGAAGAGAAUACUAAUGAAAGGGAAGAGACUUCCCAAUAUCCUCCUAUUAUUUCUUAUGAUGAAUCAGGUAACGAGGAGGAGCCUUCUACUCAACCAAUCUCAUUAAUAAGGAGCUCCAAAAAGAGGAUUGAACCCCCACAAGAUGUGGUGAAGAGGAAUAAAAUAAAAAGGAAAAGAGGUAAAAAGGUAUCUCUCCCAAGUAAAGUUGCUCCUAUUAUUGUCGUGCCUCAUGAAAAUGAAGAUGAUACACUUUAUGAUGAUCUCAUUAUGUCUAUUGCUUGUUGUGAUGAUUAUGAUUGGGAAGACAAUGAUACUUCUUAUGAUCUUGAAAACCUUUUUGGUACUUGCUUGGAAGAAUAUGAUAAUAAUGUUUGCUUUACUAUUGGUGCUAUCCAUACUAUUAACGAUGAGAGUGAUUAUGCUUAUGAUACAAAAAGGCCCAAGCUUGGGGAAGCUAUGUUUAAUAAGGAUGACAUAUUUGAGAAUAUAUUUGGUGCAAUUAAUGUUUGUCCCAAGCUUGGGGAAGCUAUGAUUUAUGAAGAUGAUAUUUUUAGUCUCCCAAGUUUUGAUAUGCAAGUUUAUAAUGAUGAUAGCAUGCCUCCUACUUAUGAUGAUUAUUGUGAUGAUACUUAUACUAUAAAAAGUAGUGAUUAUGUUUAUAAAACUUGUCAUGAUUAUGAUUACCCCGUCUCUGAACAUUACUCUUUUAAUGUGGAAACAAUUUAUAGUAUCCAAGUCUCUUAUGAUACUCCCACUAUUCAUGAGGAGAAAAUUGCUUAUGUGGAGAGUAAUAAAUUUUCUAUGCUUGUAGAUCAUGAAAAGAAUGCUUUAUGUGAUAGUUAUAUUGUUGAAUUCAUUCAAGAUUCUACUGAAAAUUAUUAUGAGGGAGGAACAUAUGCUUGUAGGAAUUGCAAUAUUAUCAAGGUUCCUCUCUAUGUGCUUAAAGUUUUGAAGUUAUGCUUGUUUUACCUUCCUAUGCAAGUUGAUUCUUGUUCCCACAAGUUGUUUGCUCACAAAAUCCCUAUGCAUAGGAAGCAUGUUAGACUUAAAUGUGCUAGUCAUAUUUUUGAUGAUGCUCUCUUUAUGUUUCAAUUCUUAUCUUUUAUGUGAGCAUCAUUGAAAUCAUCAUGCCUAGCUAGGGGCGUUAAACGAUAGCGCUUGUUGGGAGGCAACCCAACUUUAUUUUUGUUCCUUUAUUUUUGUUCCUGUUUAGUAAAAAAUAAUUCAUCUAGCCUCUGUUUAGAUGUGGUUUUAUGUGUUCAAUUAGUGUUUGUGCCAAGUAGAACCUUUGGGAAGACUUGGGGAAAGUCUUGUUGAUCAUGCUGUAAAAAACAGAAACUUUAGCGCUCACGAGAAUUGCUCUCAUUUUUAUUUGGAGAGUGAUAUUUAGUUAAUUCUUUUUGAAGAUGAUUAAUAGAUAAAUUCCUCAGGUCCAGCGAUUUAUUUGAGAAUUUUAUGAGUUCCAUAAGUAUACGGUUGAUCCAGAUUACUACAGACUGUUCUGUUUUUGACAGAUUCUGUUUUACAUGUGUUGUUUACUUAUUUUGAUGAAUCUAUGGCUAGUAAAAUAGUUUAUAAACCAUAGAGAAGUUGGAAUACAGUAGGUUUAACACCAAUAUAAAUAAAGAAUGAAUUCAUUACAGUACCUUGAAGUGGUGAUUUAUUUUCUUAUACUAACGGAGCUUACGAGUUUUCUGUUAAGUUUUGUGUUGUGAAGUUUUCAUGUUUUGGGUAAGGAUUCGAUGGACCAUGGAAUAAGGAGUGGAAAGAGCCUAAGAUUGGGGAUUCCCAAGGCACCCCAAGGUAAUAUUCAAGGAUAACCAAGAGCCUAAGCUUGGGGAUGCCCCGGAAGGCAUCCCCUCUUUCGUCUUCGUUCAUCGGUAACUUUACUUGGAGCUAUAUUUUUAUUUGCCACAUGAUAUGUGUUUUGCUUGGAGCGUCAAUUUAUUUUGUUAGGAUUUCCUUGCUGUUAUUUAGAACAAUGUUUUGCAUCUUUUAUUUCAAUAAAAGUGGCAUUCAUAGCCUUUACUAUGCCUAUGUUACAAGUAUACAUGUUGCUGUUUGAAAACAGAAAGUUUACCGUUGUUGCAAUAAUUACCUAGAAAAGUCAGAAUGUGAUAAAAUGUUGAAACCUUUUGCAUAUUAAGCACUGAUAAAUUUAAUACAUUGGGAAUUUUCUUUCAUAAUUUUUGGAUCUAUGGAAGUAUGGAUAUUGCAGCAUUCUUGACAGACUAUCCUGUUUAGGCAGAUUGCUGUUAUGUUUGCAUUGUUUGCAUAUGUUUGCUUCUUUAGUGAUUCUAUUUGAGGAUAGGACUAUUAAAUAUGCAAAGGAAUUUAGUAUGCAAUGUUGAAUAAUAAUUUUAGUGAUUUGCUACAUUAGAGUAUGAUAAGGUUUUUGCAAUGGUUUAUACUAACUUAUCUCACGAGUCCUUGUUGAGUUUUGUGUGGAUGAAGCUUUUGAGAUUUAGGGAGACCGUGAUAUGAGAGGAAUUAAGGAGACACAAAAGCUCAAGCUUGGGGAUGCCCCGGUUGGCAUCCCACCUUUCUUCUUCUACAACUAUCGGUUAGUAUCGGUUGAUCCUAAGUUUUUGCUUCUUCACAUGAUGUUUGCUAUUCUUAGAUGUCAUUUUAUUUUGCUUUGCUUGCUGUUUGAAUAGAGUACCAAGAUCUGAAAUUAUUAAAUGUUAGAGAGUCUUCACAUAGUUGCGUAAUUAUUAAACUACUCAUUGAUCUUCACUUAUAUCUUUCGGAGUAGUUUGUUGUUGCUCUAGUGCUUCACUUAUAUCCUUUUAGAGCAUGGUGGUAGUUUUAUUUUGAAGAAAUAGAUGAACUCUCAUGCUUCACUUAGAUUAUUUUGAGAGUCUUAAUAGCAUGGUAAUUUGCUUAAAAUCCUAAUAUGCUAGGUAUUCAAGAAUAAUAAAAUUCUCUUAUGAGUGUGUUGUAUACUAAGAGAAGUUUGAUACUUGAUGAUUGUUUUGAGAUAUGAGGAUGGUAAUAUUAGAGUCAUGCUAGUUCAGUAGUUGUGAAUUUGAGAAAUACUUGUGUUGAAGUUUGUGAUUCCCGUAGCAUGCACGUAUGGUGAACCGUUAUGUGAUGAAGUCGGAGCAUGAUUUAUUUAUUGAUUGCCUUCCUUAUGAGUGGCGGUCGGGGACGAGCGAUGGUCUUUUCCUACCAAUCUAUCCCCCUAGGAGCAUGCGCGUAAUACUUUGCUUUGAUAACUUAUAGAUUUUUGCAAUAAGUAUGUGAGUUCUUUAUGACUAAUGUUGAGUCCAUGGAUUAUACACACUCUCACCCUUCCACCUUUGCUAGCCUCUCUAAUACCGCGCACCUUUCGCUGGUAUCAUACACCAAACAUGUACCUUCCUCAAAACAGCCACCAUACCUACCUAUUAUGGCAUUUCCAUAGCCAUUCCGAGAUAUAUUGCCAUGCAACUUUCCAUCAUUCCGUUCAUCAUGACACAUUCAUCAUUGUCAUAUUGUUUAGCAUGAUCAUGUAGUUGACAUAGUAUUUGUGGCAAGGCCACCGUUCAUAAUUCUUGCAUACAUGUCACUCAUGCAUCAUUGCACAUCCCGGUACACCGCCAGAGGUAUUCAUAUAGAGUCAUAUCUUGUUCUAAGUAUCGAGUUGUAAUUCUUGAGUUGUAAGAUAAAUAAAAGUGUGAUGAUCAUCAUUAUUAGAGCAUUGUCCCAGUGAGGAAAGGAUGAUGGAGACUAUGAUUCCCCCACAAGUCGGGAUGAGACUCCGGACGAAAAAUAAAAAAAA
rnacentral:lncRNA from 1 species